rnacentral:lncRNA from 1 species
UUACUUUUAUCCUUUAUACAUUUCUGUCUUUGCUAUUUCCUCACAUGUUUUUGUGAAUAUAAACUAGAGGUAAUUGGGUUACAAUUUUCUAACACUUUGAAUUUGUAUGCUUGGUUUUCACAGCUGAAAGAAUUGGUAAAAAGUUAUAAUAUUGAGGCAAAAUGGUUUAUUGAAGGACAUAUGCCUCCUGCUUCUGAAUACCUGCGCAAUGCAUUUUUAACUACCACUUACUACUAUCUUGCCACAACAUCGUAUUUGGGAAUGAAGUAUGCUAAGGAGCAGCAAUUUGAGUGGUUUUCGAAAAAUCCUAAGAUUCUUGAAGGUUGUGUGACAAUAUGCCGAGUUAUUGAUCACAUAGCCACAUACGAGGUAUGAGACUAUGAGUUGUAUAUCAUAAAGUCAUUAACAUUUUAAGUUAUUUGAACAAAUAGAUUGUUUUUAACAAUCGAAGAAAUAUAAAAGCUAAACCCUAAUUUAAUCGCCUUUGCAGGUCGAGAAAGACAGGGGACAACUUUCAACGGUAAUUGAGUGCUACAUGAGAGAUUAUAGUGUAUCGACAAAAGAGGCAAUGGCUAAAUUUCAGGAAAUGGGUGAGGCGGGAUGGAAGGAUAUUAAUGAAGGAAUGCUUAGGCCCACUCCCAUAUCUAUGGAGUUUUUAUCUCGCAUUCUCAAUCUUUCUCAGCUUGUUGACGUUACAUAUAAACACAAUGAAGAUGGAUACACUCAUCCCGAGAAAUUCAUAAAACCUCACAUCAUUGCCACGGUUGUUGACUCCUUCAAAAUUUAACCUGACAAUCGUUGGUUUAAGAAAAUCUCCACUCUCUUUGUCGAGAAAGUAAUACGUUUUUUUCUUAUUUUUUUUCACGCUUGUGCAGUGUAGUUCCUACCUAGGACCUGCUUAUAACAAGUUCCUUAUGUUUUUUACUUUCUUGAUUAAACAAGUAAAGUCAGAAUGUUUGUAGUUUCUAAUUCAGUAUGGUCCAUAGUAAUCCCUGUAUUUUGUAAUAAUGCAUAUGAUCUAUUUAUACUAUUCUGUCCUUUUAACCAAAAGUUUCAAUAUUGAAAUAUUUGACGAAGACAACUGUCAAUCAAAAUUGUGAGAGAAAGAUGUAUGUAACACCCCGCGUUUUCAAACUAGAAAUCAAAAUGUUGUUCCUACGUGUGCAAGCUCUAAUAGAAAUUAUUUCCAAGUGAGAAUAAGUGUCAUGAUCUAUAUCUUCGUGUUUGAAGUGCUUUUGAGGUGAAAAAUCUUCAUAGGAAUCACCCAAAACUAUCCAAAACACAAGAUUUAAGCCCCAAAGAGCUUUUGUUACAUCAUUAUUCUCUUUUCCUGUUUAAGAAAAUCCUAGAGCCCCAAAAAUCAAGAAUCAAGCUCCUAAGUAAAUAAUCCCAAGAAACUAAUCAAGAUUUGAAUUUUUAUCCUUUAAACUAAGUAAUCUAAGGUAUGUGAGAUUUCUCUAAACAUCAUAGGCAUAAUUUUUACUGUUUUUAUCUAUAUGAAGGAUCCCCAAUCAUGUUUUAUAAAGGAGUGUUUUGUUAUUAUAUUGAAAAUCAUGGAGUUGUUUUGAAGCAAGCAUAUGUUUGUCUCUAUCUAAAUUAGUCUUUAUAUUUCAUUUUAUUGUAAAGUGUGAAUAAGAGCAUGAAUGAUUAAACUCCCUCUCCUACGAUGUUAUUUUUUAUUUCAAGUAUGGUGGCUUGUGUAAAUGUAUGAAUUUCUUGAAAGGAAACUAAAUGAUGAAUGCUUUACUGAUGAUCAUGAACAAUUCUAUUUACUACAUGUAGAUGGGGUAUUUUUCUAUGGUAAAUGUCUACUUGGUCAAAUUAACACUUUUCAUGAGUUUUAAGUGGUGACCACCUAUUGAUUUUACAAUUGGGAGGAGAAUGUUUUGAUGAAAAUUUAAAUGAAAGGUCUAUUGCGUAACUCUCUCUCAUAAGAUGUUUAAAAGCUAGGGGUGGUCAUUAAUAUAAUAAUUAGUGGAAAGGGUUUUUGAUAUGAUAUGAUGUUAUUUGAUUAACUUACAAGUUAGGGCAUGACGAUACCCGAUGAUUUCAUGCCCUUAACAAGAUAGUGUUGAAUGUUUUGAAAGUAUGAACAUGUUUUCUUUAAAGAACUAAAGGUGGCGUUUGAGUGCAAGGGCUCAUCGUUGGAAAUCGUACUUGCUGAUGCGGGAAUUAUGAUAUAUGAUCCUACAUGAAAGGACAAUUUUAGGACAUCUCACAUGGGGGGAUUUCUUGUGGUAUGCUUACAUUGGGGUAUCACCACUCUAAUUUUGGUGGCUACUUAGAUUGAAGGCUUGGCUGCCGAGUCAAGGGAGGGUUCCACAUAGCCCGUGGAAUUCCAAAUUUGUAGGGUAUACCGACUAGCUCAGAAGAAUAAUAAAGGGUAAGUCUAAGUUUUAAAGAAUUGUUUUGAAAUACACUAAAGUAUGCCCAUGUAGUUUAACUUGCAUUGUGUUCAUGGUUAUUAUGAAUUCUCUCAUCUAUUUUGUAUAAAAAGCAUGCUAUUUUCAGGUUGUUUCACAUACCAGUACAAUUGUAUUGACACCCUAUAUUUUACGAUCUGAGGCACAGUCUCGGGGUCCCACUAAGCAGUUGGUAGAAUCCUGUUAGAGUCUGCAAUUGAUGAGUCUCCCCUUAUUUUGGAAGGCCUGUUGUAGAAUAUUCUUAGUUUAUUUUGAUUUAUGGCUGAAAGGGGGUCUUGUCCUAGUUUUUAGACGUAUAUUGGUCUUGGUAUUGUUAGAGAUUUCACAGACUGGUGUCGUGUGUUUUCAAACAUUAUCAAUUAAAUUUUGAAUUGUUCAUUUAAAGUAAGAGAGUAACCAUGUUUUCGUUUUUCCAUAUUUCCGUAUUUUCUUAUUGUAUAUAAAUUGUGUAUAUGAUUUCCCGAAAUGAGUCGCUUCCCUCUUUCCUUCACCACCAGUUGGAGCACAGUCUUCGCGGUCUCAAGGUUAUCAACAGGACAAGCCCAAUAACAUGGCUAUGAGCUUUUUCCUUACUCAGACCCCAAGUGGGCAGGGUGACAAGACUUUGAUGAAGGGCUCUCAGGCCUUCAAGGUUUGGGAUGCCCGUCACGGCCAGGACCUCAGUUCAGGUCAUGACAAACUUGGUAUCAGAGCAUGAUUCAUGGUCCCAGGGUGUCUCCAAAAUUGCAUCGGGUAGAAUCCUGUUUAUGGGUAUGUAGUGCACCACACUUAUAAGUAGGAAGCUACUAGGCAUUUAGGAAUGUUUCCCUUUUUUCAUGUUCUAGUUCACGCUAUGGAGUUAGAAUAUUCUUCUUUCAUACUCUAGUUCAUGUGAUGGCAUCGUCCAUACGAAAGUUAUCCCAAUUCUUUUCUUACCCUGAUGUUCUUAGAUAUGUCUCCUUGUUGAGGUGAUUCAAGUGUAGAAGCUUAAAGUCUAAAUGAUGUGGUUCUUAUUAAUUGAGUCAUAAACGAUUAUGAAAUUGCACAAGGACUUAAGGGGAGUCCAUAAGUGCUUUAAGGUGCAUUGAUUUAAGAUUGUACCCCUGUUUACAUCAAUCAUGCAUUUGAGCCUGAGGUAUAAAGCGUAUUUAGUCCCCUUCAUGAUUCUUGUUGCAAAUGUCAUGCUUAAGGCUAGUGAUAUAUGUCAGAAUGUUGGAAUAAUAUUUCCACCCAAGUAGUACUAUUUGCUAAGGUGUCAUACCCUAUUGGUAGUAAGAUGAUUAGUGAUAUAACAUCACCAGGUUAGAAUUUAGAAUGAGGGUGACUUUUGCGUAAGGAAGAUAGUUUAGUUAUAUAACCGUUGAUUGGGGGAUGGGUUGCCAUUUGAUAGUGAUAGAAUAAUGUGGUAGCAAUAUUUGUAGAUUGUAUGGUAGUUUGUGGAGAAAGUGUUUGACUAUGAUAUUAUCUAUUCAAAAUGGGGAUGGAGCCUAGAGUGGAUAGUUAUGAUGGUUAUAGAAAUCCCUUAUAGGCAUAGACUCAUUAUUGCAUAUGGAAUUUCGAAGGUAGUUGUGAUGUAUGCAUGGGUAAGUAACGAUGGAGUGAGAAAGUAGAAUAUGUUGAUGAGAUCGUAAUGGGUUAUCUUAUAAGGUUAAGAUCGACCGACUGUCCCUAUUAUGUGACUUUACCCCUUCCUUCUUUGAUUGUCUUUUCUUUGGUAAUUGUAAGCUAGUACUGCAUGUGAGAAGGUGUGCGGUGGAUUCUAAGAUGUGGUAGUAAUGUUGUGGAGAGAAUGAACUUGUGGGCGGUAGUUAAGUUAAAUGGCAUAGUUGGGUUGAUUCCCCAAUUUGAUGGAAUAGUUAGUAUGUGACUUGCUUUAUCGGUGCUAUAUUAUUGGUGUUGUUAGACAAUAGCCUUUGAACUUUAGAUGUGGAGUGUAGUGGUAAAAAUAGUAGCUUAAGAUUAAUAAUGCAUGUUUUGUGGGAGUAAGUAGUAGGCUUGAUUCGAUGUGUGCAAUAGCCUAGGUGAGCAAUUUGUGAAAAAAAAAGGGUCGAUAAUUUUGAUAUAUUUAUAUACAUGGGACUAGUGUUAUAAUGAUUAAUUGUGGUUGAAUCAUUAAACUCAUAGGAGUGUGGGUAUAUAAGAUUAAGUUGGCCCCCCCCUCAUUAGAUAAAGUUUUAUGUGUAUAAGUGUUUGGUGUACCUAGUCUUUUUUCUCAAAAUUUGUAGUAUGGAGACAUCUAGGGAAGACUAAGGAGUUGUUGUAUGGUUUUCUUUAUAGAUAAAUUGAGAAAAUACAGGUAGGCAAUAUGUGCCUUUGGUAUAGUUUGUAAAAUUUGUUAAGUUGUAAUGGUAUAUGGUUAGAGGUCUAAUGUUUGAAUGUUGAGUAGUGGAGGUCAGAUCAUUAUGUGAUAAGGAGUGUAGAUGCGGAUGUUCAUGAGAGUUUAAGUUGUAGGGUGAUGGUUAUAGAGGCUAGCUAAAGUCGAGAGUAGCAUUCCCGAUAAGCAAUGCCUUCAAAGUAUAGUUUAUCAGGGGAAGUUUAGAUUAUAUGUGUAUGGUGAUACCCCGUUGUGUUGAGAGUUGUGCUUGUAGAUUUAAUGACAAGAUAUGUCCUCAAGUCUAGGAUUGCGACUUUGAUCUAAAGGGGAGAUGGUGAAUAAAGGUAGUUCUUAAAUUUUCUCAGUGUGGCAAGUUACGGGGAGGAGUCAUGAUAAACCUAUUCCUAUUCACGAAUAUUCCUCCUGCUUCAAUUUAAGAGGUCAAUGUACCAAUGUCUUAUUUAUUCAAGUUCUGCCUAUGCCUAAGGUAUAAGAUCUCUAUGUAGCUCAUGUAAUGUUCUGACCUCGAAACUAGAAGAAAUGAUGUCUCAGUAAAUCUAGACUUUCAUGUAUUCAAUCUCUAUGUUAUGAUAUUCAUGAUCCAUAAAUCCAUGUCCCGGAUCAUGCUUUGUUCUAAGGAACUAUGUUUUCAUAUGUCGCUGACUUAUUUUAUGUUGGGAUUAGCCAAAAUAAUAAAGUUGUGCGAACUCAUGACAAUUUCAGCACUAAAAAUGAGAAGUGAUAGCUUCGAGUAGAAUUCCUUGUCUUAAGUGUUGACUUCAUGAAUUCCAAACUUAUGUUAUACAACCCAUGAUGUAAGCACUUAUGUUUCUCACUAUGGUCUAUACUAAGGAAUCAUGCUAUAUUGUGUUUAUGCCAGAGUAACUCUCUACUUAUGAUCAAAACACUUGAUAUAUGAAGCACUUCGUGAUUGUAUCAUAUCUCCACCUAAUGUUCUCAACAAAUAUGGUUUAUAAUUGAGUAGUGUUUCUCCCAUUCGUGAUGCUUAUGCUUGGGCCCCUUAAUGACCCAACGAAUGAUAGUAUGAUAAGUAGUUAUGGAAGAGUACCAGUGACUUAGGAAGGGGGAGUAGAUGUUCAUGAAGGUGAAAAUUUUGAUGUGAUUUCCUUAUUUAAGGUUUUAAGUGAUAGAAGAAAGAAGGGGAUGAACUUUUAUUAUGAAUAGUAGUAGGGAUGAAGGUAUGUAGCGAAAAUACUUGUAAGAAUGAUUGAAACUAUGGGUCUUAAUGGAGAGACCCAUUAAGUAGGUGUAGUAAUGAUAGGCUCGAAAGUUGUGAUUGAUGAAAACACAAACCGAUGUGCCAUGUGGUUAGUAUUCCUUGAAUUAAGACUUGAGGUUGUUGGAUUAUAGUGAUGAGGUGAGGUGAUUUCUUAGUGUGAUGUUGAGUACGUGGUCCCAUAGUUUAAGUUAGCACCUUUUAACUUUGAAUUAGGCUUCAACAUGGAAGUAUUGUGUGUGGGAACUCAAACUCUUCUGGUUAGAAGUGUUAUGGGAGAAUUGUGAGUUGGAAAUGAUGAAGAAUGUUAAUUGUUGGUUUGGGGCAUAGAAAAGUAGUGUCUCUAAGUUUAAGUCUUUUCGUUGUAUCUUGUAAGAUGGAGAAUGCUUCUAUUCUUAUGUCUCAUGAGAACCUCAUCUCAUGUCUUGUACCAAUUUUAAUCAGGCCGAGGAUUCUUAGGAAAAUUCAUGCCUUACAAUGUUUUGAUCUUGUGCCAAAAAACACAUGCCAGAAUCAUGUCGAUGUCAAGUUUCCUUAUCUCAUGUUUCGUGUUUACACAUUUCCCUAGGGGUUAUCAUGAAGCUUGUUUGAUGCCUUUGCAUCUUUUGUUGAGGAAAAUGUUCAAUGCGAUAUUACGUUCUUUAUUCUACAGUUUUAGAACUUCCAAAAGUCCCUACCGAUCAUUUAGGGACGAAUGAUACCAAAGGGGAGAUAAUGCAACACCCACAUUUUCAAACUAGAAAUCGAACUAUUGUUCCUACGUGUAUAAGCUCUAACAGAAAUUAUUUCUAAGUGAGAAUAAGUGUCAUGAUCUAUAUCUUCGUGUUUGAAGUACUUUCGAGGUGAAAAAUCUUCAUAGAAAUCACUUAGAGCGAAGUUGAGCUAAGAACCUUUGAUUCGGCUAAAUCUUCAUAUUCGAUUUUACAAGGAUCUACUUUGAACGUGUAUAACUUUUAAUACAAGUAGAAUUUUUUAGCUCAAGACCCACCAAAUUGUAGAUAAUUGAUUCAUCUUUUCAACUAUACCAAUUUUACCUUAAUCUGAUACCCGAGUGAAAAGUUAUAGCCAUUUUUGUGAGAGAGGCAGUGAGGUCACGCGAUUAGCAUGCGACGCACGCUUCAUUUCACCCCUUAUUUUCCAGUUUCUGUUUUCCUUCUUUUUGAGGGCAAUACUGGAAUUUACCUCACCCAAAACCAUCCAAAACACAAGAUUUAAGCCCCCAAAGAGCUUUUGUUACAUCAUUAUUCUCUUUUCCUCUUCAAGAAAACCCUAGAUCCCCAAAGAUCAAGAAUCAAGAUCCUAAAUCAAGAAUUCCAAGAAACUAAUAAAGAUUUGGGUUUUUAUCCUUCAAACUAAGUAAUCUAAGGUAUGUGGGUGUAACACCUCGCACUUUCAGCCUAAAAUUUAAACCAUCGUUACUACGUGUAUAGACCCGAACAAAAUGAUUCUUUGUUAAUAUAUGUGUGGUGAUGAAUCCUACAGUGUGGUAAUAUAUUUGAACAUGAAUUGAGUUUACAAAAAUCCUCUAACACAAAUAUGAGUUGAAAACUCUUCUAUCGAUUAAGUUUUGGUGAACGUCUCAGCUUGGGGUCAACUUCCAUCAGCCAUAACUUCUUGUAUAUAAUGAGUUAGAGGGCCUACUAUAUAUCAAAUGAAAGGUCUUUGAGUCUUAUUUCCAAUUUCACCGAAAUUUCCUUAAUCUAAUAUCUUGGUAAAAAGUUAUGCCCAUAUUACAAAGAGGUGUCAGCCUGCCAAAUUGUGACGAACAGAUUAUCAGACCAUCAAUGUAACACCCCGCACCUUCGGGCUAGAAUUUAAACCGCCAUUCCUAUGAGUAUAGACUCGAACCAAAUGAUAAUUUUUUAAUAUAUGAGUGGUGAUCAAUCCUAUCAUGUGGUAAUACAUUUGAACAUGAAUUGAGGUCACAAAAAUCCUGUAACUCAAAAACGAGUUGAAAACUCUUCUAUCUAUUAAGUUUUUGUGAACGUUUCAACUUAGGUAAAUUUCAAUCAGCCAUAACUUCUUUUAUAUAACGAUUUAUAGGGCUUACUAUAUAUCAAAUGAAUGUUCUUUGAGUCUUCUUUCUAAUGUAACCGAUUUUGCCUUAAUAUGAUAUCAUAGUAAAAAGUUAUACCGAUUUUACAGAGAUGUGUCAGUCUGCAAAAUUGCAAUGGCCAGACUGACGGACCAUCAAGCCAGUGAUGGCCCGUCAAAUUAGGCCAUCAACUUGAAACAAAAAACUCAAAAUCUGUUUUUUUGUGACGGUUUGAGUGACGACCAGUCACGGGAGUGAUGGUCCGUCAUCCAGGCCGUCGAUAAAGGCCAAACAACGUUAAAGUGUAAUUUUAAAGGGAUAUUUUGGUACUUUCUCAUUCCAAACUCCUUCCCCACAUAUUUAAAUAAUACCAUUAGCGUUAUAAUCCAUAUUUUAUCAGUUUUACAACAUCUCAAUCCUCUCUACUGUGAAGAAUAAGAGAUAUUAGGGUUUUCUCUAAGAACAAAAAAUCAGGAAGCUAAUCCUUUCAAUCAAAGAUUCCUAAGAAACGAAUUAAGAUUUGGAUUCCAUCCUUCAACCUAAGUAAUCUAAGGUAUGUGGGGUUUUCCUAAACAACAUUGGAAUGGUGAAAUGAUUUUAAUAAUAUUUUGAAUGUUGAGAAAUCAUAUAGUUACAAAAGGGUUCUUAAAUUUCACUAAGAAGUAUCCAUUAUGAACUUUUAGUUCUCGAGGCCUUCCCUUCAACUUGAAUUUGCUACUCGUGUAUAUCUAUAUAUGGCUUUCUAGUUUUCAAAUAUGAAUUGAGAGUGUGAAUAAUGUAUUUCCCUCUAUCAUUGCAUUAUUUCUUGAUUUCACAUGUUAUGAAUUACUCAACUGCAUGUCUUACAACAUGAACUAAGGGUUUUACUAUCAUUUAUGAACUUAUGUCGAUUGUGAAUUGAAGAGAGGGAUAUUUUAUUGUUUGUAAAAGCUGAAUGUGAAAAUCAAAAGAAUUGCAUGAUUAUUCUGACCACCAUUUAUUGAUAUGCUGAAAAGAGAGGAUUUUGCAUAGUUUGACAUAUGUUUGGAAAUAUGAGUUCUCUUGUACUGUUUGACUAUUUUGGUGGUCUAUACAUUGUUUUGAAUGAAAGAGUUGUAACAUGAUAAUAAAUGGCUUAGACAUACGACUUGAAAGUCUUUCUAUGACGAUACCAAAUAGAUGAAUACCAUAGCAGAUUCAGAACGGACUAGAAUACAAAUUUUACUCAGAUUUUGAAUUCAAAAAAAUGCAUGAUUAGAAAAGGUAAAAAAUGGGCAUAAAGAGAGUUAGAUGGUUACCCGAAUAAAGUACGAGUUGAAAGACUCAACACUGGAAGCCGUGAUUUACCGACAAGGAAUUAUGAUACCCUACUUUGUGAUCUUGUGUUCCUUGAUUCAUGUCAUCCUAAAUUGGGAAUAUGUUUAGGAGCCCUGCUUUGUGAUUUUGUGCACUACUGUGACAUGUUUAUUUGAUUGGAGAUUUUGGGACCCUGCUGUGUAAUCUUGUGUCUCCCCCUUAUAGAUACUUUAAUCCUUACAGCAAACUUGGAUUGGGGGCUUGGCCACCGAGUCAAGGGAUUAUUCCAUAUAGUCCGUAGGAUUGUAAAAGUGUAGCAUUUACUACCUAGCUCAGAAGUAAAACUAAGAGAGAGUUUUGGUUUCAAAGAAUUGUUUCAAAUUCUUUUAAGCUUGCCCAUGUGUUUUCUUAUAUCUUAUGUAACUUGUUUUUAUAAAUUUCUAUCACUUAUUCUAUAUAUAAAUACAUUAUUUUGGAUUGCUCUACGUACCAGUACAUCUGUAUUGACCCCCUAUAUUUUAGGAUCUAAGACACAGUCUCGGGGUCCCACUAAGUAGUAGAUUGGGUUGUCCGAAGUCUGCAGUUGGUGAGCCUGCCUUAUUUUAGAAGGUCUUAUUGAUUUGACAUUGAUAUUUCAUUUUGUCUUAUGGCCUGACUUGGGCCAGACAGUAGUGUUUUUGAGUUUUUAGAGAUUUCGCAUACUAGUGUCAGGUGUUUUUUUCUGGAAUGUUUCAUGAACUCAUUUUCGUAUUAUUCAGUUGAAGUAAAAGAAUGACCAUGUUUCCAUCUUGUCAUAUUUUUCAACAUUUUCCUUACUAUAUAUGAAUUGUGUAAUUGAUUGCCAGUUAGAGAAGGGAUCUCAAACCUUAAUGGUUCGGAAUGCUCGUCACGACCUGGGACUCAAUUCGGGUCGUGAUAGUGGGACUACUCUAGACAUCAUGGGCAUAACUUUUAUUGAUUUAAUCUAUAUACAAGAUCCCCAAUCAUGUUUUAUAAAGGAGUGUGUUGUUAUUAUAUUGAAAAGUAUGUAUUAAGGAGUCCUUAUGAAGCAAGCAUAUGUUCGUCUCGAUCUUAAUUAGUUUUCACGAAAUUAAAAAAUUUCAAUAUAUAUAUAUAUAUAUAUAUAUCAAACUAGGGCUUAAAACAUUUGUUUCAAAACUAUAUAAACACAUGGCACAAUAUCAUGUUCUAUAUACCAUUUAUACAUAUAUAUAUACAUGCACACACACAUAAAUAUAUGAUUUAAUUGUAUUGUAAAGUGUGAAUGAGAGGAUGAAAGGAAACUAAAUGAUAAAUGCUUUACUGAUGAUCAUGUACAAAUUGGUUUACUACAGGUAAAUGUCCACUCGGUCAAAUUAACACUUUUUAUGAGUUUUAAGUAAUUACAAAUAUGAGGUGAUCACCUAUUGAUUUUACAAUUUAGAGGAGAGUGUUUUGAUGAAAAUUUGAAUGAAAGGUCUAUUGUAUAACUCUCUCUCAUCUUAUGUUUAAAAGAUAGGGGUGGUCAUUAAUAUGAUAAUAGGUGAAAAGGACUGCAAAUAUGAUGUGAUGUGAUUUGAUUGACUUGCAAGUCAGUGUAUGAUGAUACUAUAACGCCUCAAUUUUUCUGAACUGAAAUACUAUAUGGUGCUCAGACCCCGAAGGACAAUAAUCUAACCCAUGACUGAUAUUUGUACCUGUACACUGCAUAAUAUUCUGUAUAAAUACGACAACAUGUACUGAGAGGCCAUAAGGUUCAAACUAGAUAAACAUCUGAUAAAACUAUGUCUGAAAGCGGUAUAACAAUACCAAAACAAAUCUAAAAUAAUGGUCUGAUAUCCUAUAGUCAAAAAGCCUCUAAAAUGUCUGAAUAAGGAGUUUAUGGGACAUGUCCCUAACUAACUCCAUCUACUGAAAUAAACUGGAAACUAAAAUAGUAAUGUAAUCAUCAUGUCCUCGAAAAAUGAGGACUCACUUCUAACUCUGACCGCUGAGACUAGAAUCUACUGCUGAUUUGGAGCUCGUUCCUCUAAACCUAUGGUAUAAGACACCAUAGCGCAAAUGCGUUAGUACUUUGAAUGUACUGGAAUGCAAUUGAGGUAGGCUAAAUGCAUGGGGUUCAUAUGCAUGAACAAAUAUAACUGACUGACUAACAUGAAUGUAAGAAUACAUGCAUGACUACAUAACUGUAACUGAGAUCGUAUUGGGACUGAAUACUAUGUUACUGAACAUAGAUAACUGUAUCUAACAGUUCUAAUUAUGAAGAAUUAUUCUGGUUUACUAUAUCUAACAGUCCUGAAGCUAAAAACUGAUUACAUAUGUUUUGAUAACUGAUAACAUGAGUGACUGUAUUUGACAGUCCUGAAUCUAAUGGAACUAGCUGAGUUCUACACUGCAUCUGAUUUACUGAAUCUUAGAUCAGUCCUAUAUAGUGGGUGAUCUCUAAAUCUGAUAAUACUAAUACUAAUUGACCAUAGUUGAGAUCAUUCUUAUCUAGUGGAUGAUCUCAGGGUUUAUUUAUAAUGAUAAGGAGUGACUGUAUCUGACAGUCUUAAAUCUAUACUACUAAGCUAAAUUGACUGUAUCUGACAGUCCUGAUUCUAUAACUAAAACUGUGGGAUGUGAUCAUCUAACCGACAUGACCAAUGCUAAGCUAACUGGGGUCCAACCUUUAACCCCAGCUGAAAGGGUAUCAGUACCAUGCCACUAGUAAAGACAACUGCUGUGGAGUCAGUCCUAAUCUAGUGGGUGACCUCUGGGAUCAGUCCUCUGGGAUCAGUCCUAUACAUUUAAAUACGCUAAUGGGUGAUCCCUGAGUAUGUCAGUCAUAUUUAAUGAGUGAAAUCUCAUACCUACACUAGCUACGUAGUUCUGGAACUUAGGGAUUGCUUCUAGGGAUCUCAGUCCUAUCUAGCGGGUAAGUCCCCAUCCUUAGGCUCGCUUGGUGCUGAAUCCUACUCUCAUCUGAAAGACACUAAACUGAACUGAUUGGCUGAACUAAAUUUACUAAGUUCCGUUGACUGACAGAAUGUACUGAGUUCUAAGGAAUGACUGAGAAUACUGAAGUUACUGAGAUUGUUUGGGAAUACUGAUGUUAUUCAGAAUGCUGAACUACUGAAAUUACUGAGAUUUCCUGAGUCACAUAACUGACUGAGUUCUAUGGAUCAUAGCUUGACUGAGGAGAUUGUGAAAACAUGACAUGGCUCUAGGCACACAGCUAAAUGUUCGGGUACAAGUACCCUAAGGACUUGAUAAGAAAAAAUUGACAUAGCAUGUCUUACUUGAACACAUGACCAACAACACAAUUCAUAAUUCAUAUAUUGAAGAACUUCAUCAAACAUGUGAUAUGUAUAAAUUUGUACAUACUGGGGAUUUCAUGAUAUCAUACUAGUUGGGCAUUGUUCGUUCGUUUAGGCAUUUAAUCAAACACAUGGUACGCAUAACAAAUGUAGACAUCAUUAUACAAUAAUUAAUCAUCAUGAUUCAUCUCUAAUUUCAUUAUCCAAGGGUUUUAAUCCUAGGUUUACACGAAUCUACAUCAUUACUAGUCGAUUACAUAUGCAAUUUAUCACCAAACAUGGAUUAGAAUGCAAUUAGUCAUUAUCAAUAUGAACAAGAGCAAUCCAAUCAUGAAAUUCAUAAAGAAAAUCCAUAACUUGAAUUUAGAAAAGAGAUUCUUAGAUUUCAUAGACGAAAGGAGUCCAUGAAUGAACACUACGCACACCUUAGCUUGUGAUUUCUAUGAAGAUUGACGGAGAGAUUCUUGAAAUUUGACGGUGAAUUCCCUUGUAAUUAAACCUUCUAUUAAAACCCUAUGGCUUGUUCUUGAGAGUUUUUGAGAGUAAUUGAGUAUAAGCUACCAAAUUAUGGCCAAAUCUCGUGUUAUAAGGCUUAUAUAGGGUGGAAAAUUGACCCUUUUAACCCUAGGAAGCGUCUUUAAUUUCUGAGAAAAUUUUUCGAUUUUCAUCCUUGGCGCGACGCGCCACUAUCGUGCCAAGUCACUGGAAAGUGACAAAUGGAAAGUUGUACGGUGGCGCGACGUGGAGCUAUCGCGUUGCCACCUUGUUUAUGACUUGGAAGUUUGACACAACACGCCACUAUCACGGAGCAACACUGGAAAUUGACAAUUUCCAUUUGACCUAUCUCCGCGAUGCGCUGAAGGCUCAGGUGAUACAUUAUCUCACUAAAAAGGCUCUAACUCUUCACCCGGGUGUUGGAUUUGGGUGAAUUUGGUAUCGAUGGAAAGUUUGUUUGAUUCCACGCAUGAUAAAAAGUGAAAAUCUUGAAAAUACCUCGUGUAAAAAAGUAGAUUCAUCUUUCAAAGAAAGCUUGUAACAUUCUUGGGGAAACUUUUCAAGCUAGGAAAAGUACGGGGUAUUACAGAUACCCUAUGAUUUCAUGCCCUUAACAAGAUAGUGUUGCAUGUUUUGAAAGUAUGAACAUGUUUUCUUUAUAGAACAAAAAGUUGGGUUUAAGAGAGCUAGUAGGUUACACGAAGAAGGCAUUUGAGUGCAAGGCCUCAUCAUAGGAAACCGUAAUUUCCGAUGCAGGACUUAUGAUUGAUGAUACUACAUGAAAGGAUAUUUUUAGGACAUCUCAUAUGGGGGGAUUGCCUGCAGUGUGAUCACAUGGGGGUAUCACCACCCCAAUCGUUACGGUUACUUGGAUUAGAGGCUUGGAAGUUGAGUCAAGGAAGUGUUCCACAUAGCCCAUAGAAUUCCAGAUUUGUAGGGUGUACCGACUAGUUCAGAAGAAUAACAAAGGGUGAAUUAAUGUUGUCAAGAAUUGUUUUCAAGUACACUAAAGUAUGCCCAUGUAUUUUUACUUGUAUUGUGUUCAUGGUUAUUACGAAAUGCUCUCAUCUAUUUUGUAUAAAAAGCAUGCUAUUUUUGGUUUGUUUCAUACUAGUACAAUUGUAUUGACUCCUAUAUUUCAGGAUCUGAGACAUAGUUCUGGGAUCCCACUAAGCAGUAGGUCCAAUAUUGUUAGAGUUUACAGUUGGUGUGCCUCCCCUUAUUUCGGAAGGCCUGUUUAAUAAUAUUUUUAGUUAAUUUUGAUUUAUGGUCUGACUGGGGGUCUUGUCCUUGCUUUCAGAUAGAUAUUGGUCUUGGCAUUGUUAGAGAUUUUGCAGACUAGUGUUGUGUGUUUUCAAACGCUAUGAAUUAAAUUUCAUAUUGUUCAUUUGAAGUAAGAGAAUGACCAUGUUUUUGUUUUUCCAUAUUUUCACAUUUCCUUACUGUAUAUGAUUUGUGUAUAUGAUUUCCAAUUAGAGAAGGGCUCUCGGUCCUUCAUGGUUUGGGAUGCCUAUCAUGGCCUGGGCCUCGGUUCGGGUCGUGGCAAUGUACCUACUAGAAUUGGAAAUAAAGAAGGAAAAAUGUACCCCCUUCUCUUCUCUUGUUUAUUCUUUUGGUCAACGGGAAACAUUUUAUUAUUCUACUCCAAUAGCUAUUUACAAGCCCCACGACCAAAACCAAAAUAGGAAAACAAAAAUCUCAAAAAGGAUCCAGUUGUUCUAUAGUUCCUGUCACUGGAAAGAAAAGAAGAACUGAGAAGUAACAAGUUAAAACAACAACAAAAUGGAUCUGUAAAUUGCUGCUAGAAAACAAACUAUGGAGAAAGAAGAAGAGCUGAAAUUUGUUGAGUACUCUAUUUAUUUCUCUUGAUAGAUAACUACAUAGGUGUCAUGAGCUGAGCUGAGACACUGGCCGCGAUAAGCAUGUCGAACCAUAAAGGCCCGAGUUCCCCUUCUAACUGGUAAUCAUAUGUAUAAUUCAUCUACUAUAAAUGAAUGCAGAAAACAUAACAAAACAGAAACACGGUCAUUCUCUUACUUCAACUAAUCAAUACGAAUAUGAGUUCAUAAACAUUUAGAAACAUCUAACACCAGCUGCAAAUAUCUAACAAUACGAAAACAAUAACUGUUUGUGACCAGGACAAGGCCCCCAUUUUGACCAUGAACUAAAAGAAAAUAAAGAUAUAGCAUGAACCAAGGUCCUACGGAACGAGGGAGGCUCACCAACUUCAAAGUCUAAUAAACUGAUCUACUGCUUAGCGGGACCCCGGGACUGUGCCUCAGAUCCUGAAAUAUAGGGGUCAAUACAAAUGUACUAGUAUGUGAAGCAACCCAAAAUAGCAUGUUUUUAUUUAAUAUAAGUGAGAGCAUUUCACAAAAACAAUAAACAUAAUACAGGUAAAAAUACAUGGGAACCUUUUAAUAAAUUCCGAAACAAUCCUGACAACUUUGAAUCACUCUUUAUUUUUCCUCUGAGCUAGUCUGUACACCCUAUAAUAUGUAAUUCCAUGGGCUAUAUGGAAUCGCCCUUGAUUCGAUGUCCAAGCCCCCAAUCCAAGUUUUCCACAAGAAUUAGAGUAUUCAUGAUAUGGUACACCCCUUACACGUGUACCGUGGCAUCACCCUUGCAUAAUGUCCAAAAUUAUCUCCUUUUGGAUAAUACCCGUAUCGGCAAACCAUGGUUUCCAGCAAUGAGCCCUUGUAUUCAAAUGCCUUCUUUGGGUAACCAGCUAGAUCUCUUAAGCCCAAUUUUUAGUUCCUUCAAAACCAUGCUUCACAUUUUCAAAUCAUUCAAUACUUAUUCUGUUAAGGGCACGUUAUAAUCGGGUACCAUCAUACCCAGACUUGUAAGUCAUUUAUGUUACAUCAUAACAUAUCAAUAGCCCUUUUUAUUAAAGAAGUCAUAUAGAUGGACACCCCAAAAGAUUCAAAUGUUUCUUGAGGUCAUUAAUAAUUCAAAACAUAUGAAAAUGUAUAUAAAACACUUUUCUGAAACACAUAAUCAUAUGAUGGCCUGUCCUUCUUUGAAACACAUGCAUUUCUUUCUCAUACAUAAUCAUAUGAUGGCCUGUCCUUCUUUGAAACACAUGCAUUUCUUUCUCAUAACAAAAAUGAACACUUGUAAAUAAGGAGUGCUACCCUUUCAUAAUGUCAUAAACCAUGUCAACCAUGAGUAUAUGGAGGAACUUAAUUUCAAAACCUUAAUUCAUGCAUUCGAAAUAACUCACAAUUCAAAUAGACAAUAUAUUUCAUAUCAAGAGAGGGAAUUCAUUGUUCAUGCUCUCAAUUAAACUUUUCAAAAUUGAGAUCAUAUAUAAAUAAGGCACUAUAAUUUGAUUACACGAAAAAGAGUCCAAAUACAAUCUAUACACUUUCAUCAAAAUGAUUUCAUGACAUGCUUUUCGAAACAAUAUUCAACACACUUCUUGCAACAUGAUUAUAAAUCCUUACACUUUAUAAAAAUAAAAAAACCUUAGGCCCAUAGAGUGUAGGGUAGUCCCAUAUACCUUAAGUCCCUUAAUUUGAAGAAUGAAGCCCUAAUCUUGAAACUUUUCUGGAGAAUCUGUAAGUUAGAAGGCUUGAAUUCUUGUUUUGGGGAAAGGCUAGGGUUUAGUUUAGAGAAAAAUUAAGGAAUUUUGGGAACAUAAUGCCCUAAUGAUGACUUAAUCUUGCAAUAUUAUGAUUUGGGUUGAUGUGGGAAAAGACCCAGUUGCCUGUCACUCAUUUAAACCAAAAAUUCAUAACUGAAAUGCAGAUUGAAGGCUCAUCGCGACGCGGUCUAAUCGUAGUGACCUGUUGGUUCUGAGAAAAAUGAUCGUAAAUUUUCACUUAGGUAUCAGAUUAAGGCAAAAUUGAUAUUGUUGGAAAUAGAAUUCACUUAUCUACAGUUUGGUGGAUUUUGAGAUGAAAAAUUUCACAUACAUCAAAAUUUAUACACUUUUAAAGUUGACCCUCAUAGAAUCGAAUACCAAACUUUAGAUGAAUCUAAGAUUCUUAGCUCAACUUGGCUUUAAGUGAUUCCUAUGAAUAUUCUUCAUCUCAUAAGCACUUCACACUCUAGGAUAAAGAUCAUGAAACAUGUAUGCAAUUAUUUAUCAAGAACUUGAAGAAAACACUUCACUGCAAUGUGGUUAUAUGGUCAUCGCUAAACCCACCAUGACGCGCCACUAUCGUGGUGAGGAUCUGGAAUAGAAAUCCAAGCGUGCCCUAAAACUUGUCCAAAAAAUUCAAAAUUCCCCUGAGACAUACUUCUUAUAUCUCUGAACAUGAAUCAACUCAAAAAAUUAUGUCUCAGGGUCGAUAAGGUCAGUUUAGAAGCCCUCAAAGUUUAGAGGUCUUGAAGAUGACUAAGCACCCCAACACUUAGUGAAAAUUUUGAGCCUUAAGUCCCUUAAACAUACAACUAAAAGAUGAAUUAAUAUAAGAAUAGUAUAGAGUGUUACAGUUAGGUUCAUAAAUGUAUGAAAGACUGUUUAACCUUAGCUCGAAAGUGUGGGGUGUUAUAAUAGGCUACACAUUUAUAUAGUUUGUGUGUGAGGAAUAUAAACCACAAAAUAAGAAAAAUAUCUCAAACAGUACUAAGUACAUAUGUUGCCAACUAAUUACCACUCAUUAUAAAUAGAACACUUGUCUACUACAAAAUAUCUACUAACUAGGAGUUUCUAGAUAAAUCAUAAUUUCCUAACACUUCACCUUAAGAUUUUUCAUUGAUAUUCCCUGCAAUGACCUUUGAAACUCAAACUUAAUAGUGGGAAGAGCCUUAGUUAUAAUAUCGGCUUGUUGUUAUUCACUUUUGCAAUGCAUUAGCUUAACUUCCCCCUUCUUCUCGGCAUCUCGCAACACAAAGAAUCUGAUGUUGAUAUGCUUCGUCCUUCUAUGCUGCACUAGAUUUUCAGCCAUAGAAAUAGCUGAUUUAUUGUCAAUAUAGAUAAUGGUUGUUUUUUUUUGGCAAAAGAUCCAAUUCAAAUAAGAUUUUUCUCAACCAAAUUUCUUAUUGCAACCACAUACUCGGCUUUAGCUGAAGAUUGAGCUAUGAUAUCCUGCUUUUUUGUGGUCCAUUAAAAAAUGCCUGAACCAAAUAAAAUAGUGUAACCAUAUGUGAUUUCAUAAUUUUAACAACCCCAACUUAGGAUAAAGAGUCCCAUAAGUAAGACUUACUCCUUAGUGAUGUAUUUUAAAGUCGUAUGGUCCUGGUCCUAGAACGGAUAAUAUCACUAGUGGGUUGGUCCAUUAUAGGGGUCUCUCGGGCCUUGAUGGUUUGGGAUGCCCAUCACGACCAGGGCCCCAGCUUGGGUCAUGAUAGAAUAGUAUCGGAGCUGCUCCUGUAUCAGCCUUGUCUGCCAGAGUUCAAAUUCCGAGUUUAGGAAAAUCAUAAUAAGGCAGGGCAAACCUCAGUCCUGAGUCUAGGAAAAUCCCAUUUAGUAUGGAAAAUCCCAUUCAGUAUGGGAAACCUCAACGAGUACUCUGAGUCCAUAAGGGGGUGUAUUUAACAACCCCAAUGUAGGAUAUGGAUUCCUACAUCGGCAAAAUAUAAAAGGGUUGCUGGUUAUAUAAGUAAGCAAGACAUACUCCCUAGUGAUGCAUUUUAAAGCCGUACGGGCCUAGACACAGAUAGAAUAAUAUCACUAGUGGGUUGGGCCAUUACAAGGGUCUAUUGAGGCUUGAUGGUUUGGGAUGUCCAUUGCGGCCAAAGCCCUGGCUCGAGUGGUCACAGUAAUCAUCCAAGCAUCCACCCUAGUCACUAUUUGAAUUGACAAUAAGAGACCUAUUCUCCACACUUUAAUACAAAAUUCCCUAAUCUGUUCUCCCUUUAAUGUACCUCAGCACCCUUUUAGCAGCUCCAAAAUUCUUGGUGCUGGGACAUUGCAUAUAUCGGGAUAAUAAACUAGCAGAAAAUAUCACAUCUAGCCUGAUAGCAGUCAGAUUCAACAAGCUUCCAAUAAGGCUUCUAUAUAGUUGUGAAUCUUCCCUCUCUUCUCUAUCAUCCUUCAUUAACUUUUCAUUCACAACAAGUGGAGUUACAACAGGUUUGCACUAAUCAAGCUUGAACCUUUUUAAGAGAUUCAGGGCAUACCUCUUUUGGGACAAGAAAAUUCUUCCAGAAGAUUCAGAAAUUUCCAUUCCCACGAAGAACUUCAUCUCCCCUAGAUCAGACAUUUCAAAAACUUUUAACAUCGAAUUAUAACUUUUUGAACCACAAGAGAAUCUUCACCUGUGAUCAUCAAAUCAUCAACAUAAAUGGAUAUCAUAAUUAAACUCCCAUCAACUUUACUUUUAACUUUCCUUUUGAAGUAUAAAGUAGGCUCAUUUAGGAUUCGGUUGAAACCUUGAGAUUAAGAGGUAGCAAAUGAGUAUCCAGGCUACUGUACUUAGCUUUCAGGGCACUUUUAAGGCCAUAAAGAGCUUUUUUAAGCUUAUACACCUUGUCUUUUUAAGGCCAUAAAAACCUUUAGUUGUUCAACAUAAAUAUCUUAUUUAAGAAAUCCAUUUAGAUAUGUAGAUUUGACAUCUAAAUGGUAGAUUUUUCACUUGUAUUGUGUUGCAAGAGAAACCAGAAAUUUUACUAUUUCAUGCCUCGUGAUAGGAGAAAACAUAUCUCCAAAGUCUACUCCAACUGCUGGAAAUAGCCUUUAACUAUGAGCCUAGAUUUAUGUUUGAAGAUGAAGCCAUCUAGAUUGAGCUUUAUUCUAUAGACCCAUUUGACACCAAUCAUGUUCUUUUGUUUAGGCCUAUCAUCCAGCACCCAAGUAUCAUUUUUAUUAAUCAUGGCAAGAUCAUCCUCCAUUGCAGAAAUCCAAGCUUCAUAACCUGCUUCUUCUUUAAAGGAAAAUGGUUCCACAAGAGCAUAAUUGCAUUGCUCAUAAACUUCAGCUAGUGAUCAGAUUUUGAGCUGCAAUUGGAGUACUCCCAUCUUGGUUCCUUACAAUAGUAUCUCGAUCCCAAUCAUAGGGGCUAGACUCAUCUACCAUAAUAUUUCUACUGAUAAGCCCCUUCUUUGUAUGAAUAUUAUACACUUUGUACCCUUUUACAACUAUGCUAUAGCCCACCAAAAUACAAAGUUCUGCCUUGUUAUCCUAUUUGCCUCUUUUAGCAUCAGGAACAUGUGCAUAGCAGAUUGAACCAAAGACUUUUAAGUGUCUCGGAGAUGGAUUUAUACCUUUCCAUGCUUCAAAUUGUGUCAUUUCUUGGAUUUUUCUAGUUGGUAAUGUGUUCAAAAAAUAGACUACGGUGUUAACUGCCUCAUCCCAAAAACAUUUGGGUAUCUUCUUUUCUGCUAGCAUACAUCUCACAUCUCCAUCACCGUUCUGUUCUUUCUCUUAGAAACCCUAUUUUGUUCUAGAUUGUAGCUCACAGUAAAUUGUUGUUCAAUGCCCACAUCUUUACAAUACUUGUUGAACUAAUGUGAAGUAUAUUCAGUUCCAUUAUCAGACCAAAUAUACUUCAACCAGCAGCCACUCUGCCUUUUCUACCAUAGCCUUGAAUUCUUUGAAAUUAAAAAACUCUUGAAUUUUGCUUCUUAAAAAAUAGACCCAUAUAAUUCGAUUUAAAUCAUCUAUAAAGUGAAAAUAUUUAUUCCCUACUUAAAGAAGAUAUCCUCGUUGGUCCACAUAUAUAUGUAUGAACUAACUCUAGCUUUUUCUUUGCCCUCCAAAGACUUCCUUUAGAAAAGGAUUGUCUAUUUAAUUUAUCAAAUUGACAUGACUCACAAACAUCUCGUUACAUGUCAUUUUGGGUACAUCAAGCACCAUACCCUUGGAUUGCAUACACACCAAUGAACUAAGUUUUUACUGACCGAAUCUUUUAUGCCAAAGCCGAGUAUCACACAUUUCAACAUUGAAAGAACAACUUUCAACAGAAUAGCAUGAAAUUGGAAAGGGAUUACCAAUCAUGCUAAUUUUAUCUACUUCACUACCUUUAGGAUCAUAAAUGACAUAUUUUUAUCCUUAAAAGUAAGUGAAUAAUUAUUGUGAAACAACUGCGCAACACUCAACAAGUUUUGAGUCAGGCUUGGCACAUAAAGAACAUCAUUUAUGAUUUUCAUACCUUUGUACGUAGGGAAUUUCACUGAUCCUCUUCCUUGAGCUUGCACUAGUGUACCAUCUCCAAGCUUUACUUUAUUCCUAUUAGGCCUGUCCAAGCUAAAAAUAAACUUUCAUCAAUCUCCAUGUGCCUUGUGAACACACUAUCAACAUACCAAUUAUAUCGAUCAAUAUAUGAUGUGUGCAAAGCCAUGAAUACCUCCUCCUCUGAUUUUUCAACUUAAUGAUUUUUCACAAAAUUUACUCGUUGGGAAGACUGACCACUUUGAGCUUGCUUUGCCUGCAAUACUUCUCAAUGUGUACAUACUUUUUACUAUAUCUACAUUGAAUUGGAAACCCCUUGGACUUCUGCCAAUAAUUCUUCUCUCAGUGGUUUGUCUUCAUACAAAUAUCACUAGGUGGAAAUUUUCCUCUCCUCUAUGAUUCGCCUUGGUAUCCACCAGAUUUCACCUCUCCAGAGUGGUCUAAAGAGGAUUUUUGGUCUUUCUUUUGUUGAUUGAAUUUAUGGCUUACUUGAAAGGCAUCUUUUACUGUCCCUUCACUUCUCAUAGUUACCCAUUGCUCUUGGAUUUUCAAUUUAGAGAUCAACUCAACUAUAAAAAGAGUAGUCAAGACACAAGACUCUUCAAUAGUUGAGAUUUUUGAUUCAAGCUUGUGCGGAAGGCCGACCAUGAUCUUCUCUACAACUUUUUGAUCUAGAAAGUUUUCUGGUGCCAUGUUUAUUCAACAAAAAUAUCUAAUAAAAAGGAGCUAAAAAUAAGAUGAGCCAAUCAACUAAAAACAAAUUCAUAUCCCACGAAAAAUGGGCUCUGAUACCAUGUCACUAGAAAGACAAGAAGAACUGAUAAGCAACAAGCUGAAAUAGGAACAAAAUUGAGCUGUAAAUUGCUACUAGAAAACAAACUCCAGAGAAAGAAGAAGAGUUGAAACUUGUUGAGUACUCUAUUUAUUUCUCUUAAUAGUUCACUACAUAGUCUACACAUAUAUAUAGUGUGUGGAUGAGGAAUAAAAACCACAAAAUAAGCAAAAUAUCUCACACAAUACUAAGUAAAUAUGUGGCCAACUAACCACCACUCAUUUUAAAUAAAAGACUUGGCUACUACAAAAUAUCUACUAACUUGGAGUUUCGAGAUAAAUCAUAUUUCAUAACAGUUCCUCUAACUCAUACUUUCGAUCCCAUCCGUUAUAUAUUAUUGUAUUAUUCAACUUCUGUCUAGGUACUAGUCUCUUUAAACAAUUAAUCAAUUACUCUCUUACUUGUGUGCAGGUUCUCCGUGUAAAAAAGUCAUAAGUUCGAUGAUUGCAAUCUCAUUUAAUCCCAUCAAUCAACCUCUGAGGUUGGUGAACCCGAUGCUUCAUUCCUAGGCAGCCAAGACAAAAUCCCUUCAUUUGAUUCCUUUUAUUAACCUAACCAUCCAUUUCCACAGUACCUUUCCUUCUAUGUUUUAUAUAUUCAAAGACAACCAGUGCAUCAUGCUCGUUAAGCAAGUAGUAGCGAAUGGAUACUCAGAGAAGAGAUGAGUGACAUAAUCAUCAGUAUUCUCAUAGAUCGUACAUCAUUUGUUUAGAAAUAUGCCAUGCCUGUGCAAUCAAUCCUUUGUUUGUGGUCUUUGAUGACUGCCAACCAUGCAAUAACGCUAUACCUUCGUAUAUUCAUUAUAUUCAAAAUCCGUCACCUCCAAAGUUCUUUUUCUAGGAUUCCCCAUAGCCAUUUUUAGCCACGACUGAUUGAGUAUUUGCUUGAUUCAUUUAGCCAACUCUCUUGUACAUAGCCCUUUUCCACUUUAACUCUAGUAGAGAAGAUCUUCUUCCAGUACCACUUUCACAAGGAGGCUCGUAUUCCACCAUUAGAUGCCCUUCAGAAAGAUUGAUCAACCCAUUUCACUCAUAGGCUGUUGGAUUUUCGUUCUAUGUUUCAAACAUUCCAUGGCCGCCUCAUUCCAAGUAACCCCUUUAUAAUUCCCAAUCUUCCUACUUUCGUUGGUCUGCAUACUAAAAUCAAAUCAACCAAUGGGACUUUAUUGUUGAGUUAUGAGCUUCGCCAUAAGUAGCUUCUACAAGUAGCAGUUAUGGUCUUCAUCACUUUCUGAGGUAGUUUGAGCAUUGAGGCAUGUUUUAAGCAUAUAUAUUUGAUUUUGCUGGGGUAGUGGUCAGACCAAAAGCAUUGAAAAAGGUUUUCAGACACUUUAACAUGAACAUAGUGUUUGGUGGAAGUCUCCAGCAAAAUGAGUUCAACCUACAAGGCCAAUUUGAAUAUCUGAAGCUUGUUGUGAUUGAAAAAUCUAUUUCCCGAAUUAUUUUGGCUUUUGAAAAAUCUGUUUCCCAUAUCCCUCAUGUUGAUGAUGCUAGAUUGCUGAGUUUUUCCCAUGCUUGUUCAACCAGUCAUCUUUGGCUGAUUUGGGGAGUGGCCAUAUUUAUCCGUGUUGGAAUUUGAUAAGAAUGGUGAUCAUCUUGCUUCUUUUGAUGCUCAAGCUGGUGGUCUCACAAUUGUUGGCCAUGAUGCGACCUUUCUUUCUAGAGAUGUCUAUAGGAAAUACAUGUGGUUCAUAGAGUUUGUCACCAUGAGUUAGUAUUGAAGAGACGUACGAAUUUCCCUCCUACUCUGGGACCUAGUACUAUAGUGACGUAUGUAACAGGAAGCUAAAUAAAACGUAAAGUAAAUAAACAAUGAAUGCAACAAAUUUUACGUGGAAACUCCUUGAUCAAGGGAGAAAAACCACGAUCUUCCUCCAGGAUUUCCAAUAGCUCCAUUCAAGAAACCUUAAAUACAAACCCAUGGCUUUAAGGAUUAGACUCCUAAUCCUUAUUCACCUCAAAAUAACUCUAUUACAAUGAUAUCAACGCAAUAACUCUAUUGCACACUGAUUUAGCUACCUCUAACUAAAUUAAGAAGCUUACUCUAGCUUCUAAAUCACCUAACUCUAGAUGAUUAUUUGGCAAUAAAAGCUUGCUAACAAUGCACCUACAUUUAAGUAAACAUGAAAGUAGGCUACGUUUCUAUAAUUACAAAAGAUAGAAGUAAGCUUUUUGUUUAUUCAACAGUAGAGGAAGUACAGAGUUUGUUAGUUUUAGUAGAAGAAAGAAGGAAGAGAGCUGAGAGGAGAAGAAGAUGAAAGAGAGAAGUAACUACUUGAAUUGAUUAGAUAAGCACAAUGUACACGGUCAUAUAUAUACUAGCUUGUGAUAUGCCUAACUAACUCAACUAGCCAUCAACGACCUCUUAUAACUAACUGCUAAAAUAGUUACAAGUAAAAACUAGAAACAAGUCUACUUUAUUUUAUAUUUGAGGUCACCACCUCUUCAAUGUCUUCAACACUCCCCCUCAAUCUAGAAAGGUGUGAAUAUGUCAUAGAUUCCUAGCUUGGUAUUAAGAUAAACUUGUUGAUCUCUUGUCAGUCCUUUUCUCAGCAUAUCUGUAGGUUGGUCAUGAGUUGCAAUGUAGUGAGUCUUGGUCAUUCCUUGGACUGUUUUUUCCAAUAUAAAAAAGUAGUCAAUGUUAAUAUUAUUUUUCCUCUCAUGAUAUAUUGUAUUAGCUGUUAUUUGUAGUGCAAACUUCUAUUAUUGAAUACAUCCACAGGUACCAUUAUUUCAUUUCUAAUUUCGUUCAUCAGACCUAGAAUCCAUACCAGUUCAGUUGUUACUGCUGCAAGACUACUAAAUUCUGCCUCAGCUGAGCUCUUGGAGAUAGUGUUUUAUUUCUUUGAUCUCCAGGAUUGUACUGAUUCUCCAAUCUUCACAAAAUAACCAGUCAUAAAUAUUCUAGUUUGAGGACAUGAGGCCUAGUCUGCAUCAUAGUAGGUACUCACUUUAUUAUCAGAGCCACUAGACAAAAACAUACAUUGACGUAGUUGUCCUUUCACAUACUUUACUACUCUAAGUGCUGCCUCCAUGUGUGAUAUUUUAGGGUCUUGAAGAAAUUAACUGAGUGUUUGAACACGGAAGGCUAUGUCUGGCCUUUUCAUAGUUAGGUAUAACAACUUGCCAAUCAAUUUUUGAUAAGAAACAUUAUUUGUUGGUGGAUUAUCAGUAGUCUGUCCAUGCUUAGCUUGAUCAUCAAACUAUCUAGAUGUUAGCUUGAUGUUGUAUUCCAUAAGAGUAGUUGUAGGCUUGGCUGUUGUUAAGACUAGAUCAUAUAGUAACUCUAAAGCAUAUUUUCUCUGAUGUAUCAAUAUUACUUUGUCAGACCUUGCAAAUUCUAUUCAUAGAAAGUAUCUUAGCUCACCUAGACCCUUCAUCUUGAUGCCUAGUGAUCAGCAUAUUAUCAAUAUAAACAAGCAUAAGAAUGAUGCCUCCUAUUAUCUUUCUAAUAUACAAGGAUGAAGCAUAUUGACUCUAAAUGAAUUAAGAACUUACCAAGAUCUCUGAUAGUUUGGUAUUCCAUUGCCUUAGUGCUUGUAUAUAGGGAUUUGAGUAGUCUACAUACUGUAUUCUCCCCCUGACUAGAAAAUCCUUGAGGUAGGUACGUUUACACUUCAUCAUAUAAUCACAAUUUAGGAAAUCAUUAUAGACAUCCAUUUGUUGGACACACUAGUGUUUUCUAGUUGUUGUAGAAAGUACAGUUCUCACUGUCUUUAUCUUCAUAAUAGGAGAGAAUGCUUCUUGGUAAUCAAUGCCUUCUCUUUGUCCAUACCCCUUUACUACUAGUCUUGCUUUAGACCUAUCAACUUCACAUGAGGCCUUAUACUUUACUUUAUAUAUCCACGUACAACUAAUAACCUUCUUUCCUUUAGGCAGGGUAACAACCACCCAAGUGUUGUUAAAAUUCCAGGCAUCUAUUUCAUUCUUCAUUGCUUCAACCUAUCUAGGAUCUUUGUAGGCUCUAAAGUAGCUUCUAGGUUCAACAACACAUAAAGUACUCACAACAUAGUUCUUAUAGGACUGGGAAGGGCCAUCAUAAGACACAUGAUUUGCAAGAGCAUGAUAUACCUUCUUUGUGUUUUUGGAAACAAAGUCAUUCAUCCAUGCUGGUGACGUUCUUUCUCUAGUUGACUUCCUAUGAUCCUGAGAUACAACUUGUGUAGUGGUGGGAAUUGUCUGUAGUUGUUGUUCUUGCUGAGUAACUCAUUGACUUCUACAUGACCUCGUUUAAUAUACCAUAGUUAUGGAUUGUUUGGGAGUAGGUUUACUUGGUGGUAGAUGCUUUUGCUAAUUGUAUGAGGUAGUAGUACUUUGGGACGAGAUAUGUAUUAGAAUCUAUAUAAUAUCAAUAGUUACUGGAUAUUGAUCUUCCAAAAGAAACACAUAUUGAGGUGGCUGAGGCUGCUUCUUGAGCUCCUUAAAAGGAAAUAUAUCUUCCCUAAUUGACAUAUCUCUACAUAUAGAAAAUAUGUUAGUAGAUAAAUCAUAUAGAACACAUCCCUUUUUAGUUCUAGAUUACCUCAUCAUAAUGCAUGUUCUUGUUCUAGACAUGAGCUUAUCAUGCCCAUUCAGUACUUUUUCAUAGCACAGUUACCCCAUUACUAUGAGAUGAUCACAACUUGGCUAUUUACCCUAUAGUUUCUCCUAAGAACUCACAAGAUGAAUGACUUGUCUAGGCAACCUAUUGAUGAUAUAUGCUGCAGUUAGAAGACAAUAAUCCCAAAAACUUAUUGGAAUUUCAGCCUGAAAUUUGAUAGCCCUUGUCACUUCUAGGAUGUGUCUGUGUUUUCUUUCAACAACAUCAUUUUGCUUAGGGGAAUAUGGACAUGUAGUUUGAUAAGCUAUGACAUGUUCCUGGAACAACUUCUUACAUAUUGAGUUGACAAACUCAGUACCAUUAUUAUUCCUUAUAACUUUGAUAGCCUUGUCAAAUUGAGUUUUGAUAUACACAAGAAAGUAUUGAAGCUGAACACACAUAUUAGACUUAUGUUUUAAUAGAAAUAACCAAGUAUAACUUGAAAAAUCAGAAACCACUAUUAGAAAAUAUCUAUUUCCAUUCAUAGUUGGUACUUAGUAAGGUCCCCAAACAUCCAUGUGCACAUGACCAAAACAACAUGUACUUUUACUGUUAGUAGACAGAAAAGGUAACCUAGUUUGUUUAGCAUUAGAAUAGAUAUUACAUUGCUUUAUUCUAUCUUUUAUUACUUGAACUUCUUGAGAUAUAACUCUUUUCAGUACACUAGAUGAUGCAUGUCCCAACCUUUGAUGCCAUGAUAUACCCGAGUUUGAGUUCUUUCAAUAACUGGUUUACUAGAUUCUUUAGUUGCUACUGCAACCUCUUUCCUUGACUAAUUUCCAAGCACAUAUAUUCCUUCAUCAAGCUUACCAAUCCUCCUCAUAUUUCUAGUACCAAGAUCCUGGAAAACACAGAAAUUAGGAAAGAAAUUCACUGAGCAAUUUCACUCCUUAGUCACUUGUGAAACUGAUAGAAGGCUACAUGCAAGCUGUGGAAUGUGAUAGACAUCUAUGAUGUUAUUUCCUUCUAACAGGAAACUAGUUCCCACAUGAGUGACCAUUGUACUGUCACCAUUUGGUAGAUAUACCUUCUUUGGUUUUUUCAAUUCUGUAAGACUCUUUUUAAGUAAAAAGUCUGAGUUUCCCACCAUAUGGUUAGUAUAACGCCUUGAGACUACCCCCUGGACGUCAUACAGUGCUUAGGACCACAAAUGAUCCCAAGCUAACCCUUGUAUUAGCAUAACUCAUGAGCAACGAAAAUAAAUACUGAUGUCUAAAGAAUAAUGCGAAAGAUAAAUAUUUUCUGAAUAUGAUCAAUACAAACUAUAUUAAGAUAAUUAUGACUCUAAUUUUAAAAAACAAUUUGGAAUCAAAUACAUCAACUUCUACUAAUCGUCUAUGAAGCCUCUACUAGUAUUGACUAUAGGUAGCCGGGACAUGACCCUCAGCUAUCCUGAAUCAAUACGACUGAAUGAAGAAAAGAAAAUACUACACAAACUUUGACUAACUCGAGACCUUGAAUCAAAAAGACUCAUCACCUGUUGAAUGGAAGCUACAACUGUCUGAUUCUGAUAUGCACACUACAAGUUGUAUCUAAAUUAUUAAACACUGUAGCAAAAAGACGUAUAUAUGGAUCCGCACUUUUGAAAUUUACUGAGAAUGUGGGGUUGAAAUCAUAAGUAAAAAUAGUAACUAAAUAUUCAUAUAACUGGUAAAGAAUGCACUCUAAGUGUAAAUGACUCACGUUGGCUAGAGUACUGCAAAGACUGCUAAAAAUAAGCAUACUAUAGUAAAGCAUAAAAACAAGUUGUACUUUUACUCUUUCUUUUCGUGGAAUCAGUAAGACUGAAGUUAAGCCUAUUUUUUUUAAAUCAUGCAGGGUAAGUGUAAAAAGGGCUUACCUUUAUCAUCUGUAAACUGAAAGCUAAAAUCUUAUAGCAAAUGUCUUAUGUAAAAAAAUAUCUGAAUAAAAUUGUGAGCCGUUACACUUGAUUUCUAAAAGUUGUUCUAUUAUUCUGUCUUAGGACUGAUAAUGCUCAAAUUACUCUCUUGAAUGGGUGUAAGCGAUCGUUGUCAAUAUAAAACCCAACUACGUUGGGGUUGAAUCCCACAGGAAAUAGGGUGUAAAUUUUGAUUUAUUUACGAAAGACUUUACUGGUAGUUUACUGUUUCCGAAAUAUGAGGGUUUAAGUUCACAGUGUGUUCAAUAUCACUUUCAAUACUUCAGUGUUUGUAAUCAAGUUAAAUAGGAAACCAUAGCUAUGUUCACCAAGGGUUUCGAGAAUUGACAGACACUAGGUAAUGCUAGAGAUUCUCGGAAUGAGUAGAACAGCGGAAUAUCCCUGACGAUUAUACUAUCUGACUUAUCUCUUGACCUCACUAGACAAUUUAUUAUCUAAUUUUCUCCAUCUUAGAUAACUAAUCUAUUUCCAAUAGGAUGUUAUCUCAGGUAGAUUAAUCUAGUUACAGCAUUAAUCAUUAAAUAGAAGGAUGGUAGCUUCCGAAUCCCUGUUGAUAAUUCACAUCCCCUAGUCUAUUUCCCCAUUACAAGAAAAUAAAACCUAAGACAUAAUAUAAUGUUUGCAACCACUAUAUUUUAGUUCAAACAACAGAAUUUCAUGAUGUUCUACUACUCUUUGAAUUCGUUAAUCACCUAGCAUCAUAUCAAACCCUAAUACAUGGAUCCCAUAACUCCGGCUAAUGAAAUUAGCCGCUCAUGACUUGAUGAACAAAAUAACAAUUUGAAUUCAUAAUUAGAAUGAUAAACUUACGAAUGGAUAGAAAACAACAAGUAGUUCCUCCGAUUUAAUCACAAGGUAGAAACUCCAAAAAUAGUUGAUACGAAAACACAUGAAUAUUUUAUGAAAGAGAGCAAAAAUACGUGUCUCUCUUCUUAGGGUUGACGUCAGAUAGAUAAUGUUUCCACCCACUUUAAAAACCCUAAGAGAUGCUAUUUAUGCUAAAGCCUAAUUAAGGAAAUAAAAUAACUAAAAUUAAUAAAAUUCUCAGAAUAGGUGAUGCCCAAGCUGACGUCACGUCAAGAGUCUGACGCCCUAUCCCAGAUGGCAUCAGAAAUGCUUUAGUUACCUUCAAAAUUUAUCUUAGGAUGAUGAUGUAGCUGAUGCCGCAUUACCGAUCUGAUGGUGUAUCACUAACGUCGUCAGAUUUCUUCUUCAAACUCAAUUCUCCGGUUUAGGCUGACACCCUUUGUGAUGCCUUAUCACCAACGUCGUCAGAACUUCUUUUUUUUCUUUUUUUCUCAGAUUUUCAACUCUUUUACUCCAUUGUCAUUUGUUUUUCUUCCUCCACCCUUUUACUGCAAUAUCAUGAGCAAACACAUCAAAACAACAAGACUUGCUUUAGAAUUCACAAUUAUUUUGAGCUCAAAACCAUUAAAUAUGUUAGCUUUUGCUCACACAUCAAGGACUUAGGGAGUUUCUUAUAAAAGCUUUCCUGUUAUUAUUUUCUGUUAAGGAGGUUCUCUUAAUUGACAUGAACCAUGCGAGCUAUCACGGAGUCCAACAUCUAGUUCCCCUAAGGGAAAAAUCUCACAUUAGGGAGAGGUGUCAUACUCUUGCUAAGAAGUAUAACUUGCGCUGAGUGAUCAAAGUCUGUAUCUUCUUCCAUAUAAAUGAGAAUAAUCUAAAUUUGUACCUAUAUUGGCUCGUAUUUCUGAGGUAUGUGAACUAAGAUACAUACCCAACUCGAUGCUAAAUACUACUCCUUUUUAUUUAUAUGCUCAUUUUGAAAGAAAUUCAUAUUAAAACUAGCAUAAGGGUUUAUAAUGAAAAUCAGUUAUGCAUCUUCCUAUUCAAAACUAUAAUCAAAACAAACUAUGUGGAUUCCGUAUCUUAGCUGAGGAUCAAAAGAUCAAAUCUUUCUUAAAAUUUGAAUACAUACUUAUCAAAGAAUGCUUAAACAUCGUCUUUCUUGAAAUAUCAACAUUUAAACUUGGGGCUUCAAUCCAUUCUUGAAACUUAUGUCAUUGACAACAACUUCAUGCUUAAUAACAAUAAUAUUGAAAUACUUUAACAAUUCUAAUUAAGACAAUGAAAUUAAAUUCUCAAUAUAUGCAAUCAAAUCACACACAUGAAUUUGUGAAAGUAGUUAUUCAAUUCAACACUUAAAUCACUUGUAACAUCAUAAACUUCACCUAUGAUAGUUGGGUAUGAAUCCUAAACUGCAAACCAUAUAAUAUCAUGUAAAUUAAUCUUUAAAAACUAGUUUUGGAAACAAGGAUGAAAGAAGUAUCAUUAUUCAUAACCCCACAUGAACUUUGAAUUUGGAACUUCUUGAUUCUUGAGUGAUGUCACUUGGAUUUUUUUCUUGGGAGUGGAAGAGGGCGUUUGAUUUGUUUACUGAUUUCUUAGGAUUAAGAUAGUGGAUUUUACGUGUUUUGUAUCUCAUAAAAAUGUUUUGAAGUAAUUAGGGACGGUUUAGGGUUGUGAAAUGACUUCAACACCCUUAUCUAGGUCAAAACAGGGUGUUUUUGUCACAUGGCAAUGACUUAGGUGGCACCCAAUAAAUCUCCCAAGUCAAGGUGGGAGCUGCGUUCAACUGCCUAAGUUUGGUUGGGCGGCAUCCAACGAAUCACACACCCUUAUUGCCUCUCACGAAAAUGGGCAUAACUCUUCACUCGGGUAUCGAAUUAAGGCAAAAUUGGUAUCAUUGGAAAGCUAAUUCGAUUAUCUACAAUUUGAUGGAUCUUAAUCUACCAAAUUUCAUAUUUAUAUAAAUUUAUACUCAUUAAAAGAUGAUAUUUGUGACAUCAAACACCAAAAAUUGGUUGAAUCAAAGGUUCUUAGCUCACUUGACUCUAAGUGACACUUAUGAACAUCUUUCCCACCUCAUAAUAUUUAUUCACACUAGUUAAUAAUUAUGAAACAUGAAUUCAAGUAUGAAUCACAGGACUAGAGUUUACACUCAUAGGAACAAAGGUCUGAUUCCUAGCUUAGAUGUAUAUGGGGUAUUACAAUAUCUCCCCCUUGAAAUUAUUCAUCCUCGAAUGGUGGGUAGGAACUUAUCGAAACAUUAAAAGUAUGGAAUAAUAUAGACAUGACAUGUAUGCUAAUAAAGGAUAUAGGUGAGCUGAAACUUUAAAAAUCCUAUCAUGAAGCUGAAUUUUGAGGUGACUUGACCUUACUAACUAUCAAGUACUGAUUCAUUCUUGGAGUUUAGAACUCACUUGAAAUUUCCAUGAAACAAUUAUUAUUAUUGUACUAUGAAGUGAUAACUAAUACAUGAACUAAAUAUCAUGACUGAGCUAAUUUCUUGAAUACAUGCACUGACAUGAGAAUGGUUAUAAGGCUGAGAUAGAAAUGAGAGGGUUAACUUAUUAGUACCCAUUGUUUCAAGAUGGAUAUUGUUUCAUGAUGAAGAAUUGAGGGGUAUAGAGCAUGGAAACUCGGGGAAUUACUCUACCUCUUGAGACAUAUUGUCCCCUGAAUAACACAAACUUGGAUGAAAUAUUAUGGAAAGACUAAGCUGAUGCACAGGACACAUAUAGCUGAUUCAUGACUUAAUAUCUUAAUCUGAAACUGAAAAUGAUGCAUGAACCAAGCUUAAUUUGUAAUUUGCAUGAAUGUGGAUACUCUACCUCAUGGAAUGGCCUUACUCAUGAAACUUUGGGUAGUAAGACCAAAUGGAAUGUUGGAAAUCUAUAGGAGCUUAUCUUCUUAAUUGCUAAAUUGGAUCACAGGCUUUACGAAUUGGAUCAUACUUAAUGCUUAUAACCAAAUGGAGUAUUUCUUCAACACUCUUCUAAAAAAUUCUAAUGAUAUUAGGGAGAAAAGAACUUUGGGCAUGAUCUGAACAAGACAUCUGAAUAAGAAAUUACAAUAUUGCUACAACUCUAUAGCACGGAACAUAGACCUAUAGAUCAUAAGCUAGGAUAGAAUUACUAGGCCUUUGACAAUGCAACUUAUUACCUUCAAACUUAGCAGCACUUCUCAAAUACUCCCUCAACUAUACUAUUCCCCUUAAAUAACAAACUCAUUGAUUCAAUUUAAAGUUUUCACAUAGGCAUUGAUAAAUGUAUCUACUAAAGUCUAAACUGAACUAAAUUCUCUCACCAUGAUCAAGCCUAACUCAAAUCACUAGGUACAACAUGCUACACAAUAAUACUAGUCUAAAUCACAUGAUUCGAUCAUCUACAUCUCUUCUAGAGCUUAUGCCCUAACAUAGCAUGGCUUACCACUUUAAUGACUAACUCUGAACUCUCACUAUGAAUUCACUAGCUCAUAUUGCAUUCCUCCACUUACAGCCAAACGCGACAUUCAAGCCUAUCACUAUAACCAUCUAUGAACUUCAAGGCAAACACACAUAAGGCGUACUUAUCAUGUUCUCUAAACCUCUAUCAACAACAACUUUCUUGCACUAUGCUUAAGAAUACAUAAAAUUUAUUAUUAUUUUAUUUAAAUAAAAAAAUAAUUGUAGGGAUUUAUUAAUUUAAGAAAAAUCGACCACAUGUGGUAGGUUUUUAGAUAAACUAAUAAAUUAAUUUUAUAAAAAACCGACAGAAGUGUGGUCGGUUUUUUGCAGAAAAAAAUUAGAAAAAUCGACCACUUGUGGUUGAUUUUUUGCAAAAAAAAAAUAUAUAGAAAAACCAACAAAUAAAGUCUUCAAAACUUAAGAAUUUUCAACAAAUAAAGUCACCAACGAAACUAAUUCACUACUAAAGUCUUCAAAACUUAAGAAUUUUCAACAAAUAAAGUCACCAACAACAUCACCUUCUAACCACUAAUUCACUAUUAAAGUCACCGGUACUUAAGCAUUUUCAACAAAUAAAGUAACCAACAACAACACCUUCUAAACAAAAGUUUACUUUUAAAGUCACCAGCACUUAAGCAUUUUCAACAAAUAAAGUAACCAACAAUACCACCUUCUAAAUACUGCAUGCAACCACAACAAUAAUAUAGAGCAGUCCCCAACAAAUAGCCACUAUUAAAAUCACCGGCACUUAAGCAUUUUCAACAAAUAAAGUCACCAACAUCACCUCCUAAACACUAAUUCACAAUUAAUGUCACCAAAACUUAAGCAUUUUCAACAAAUAAAGUCACCAACAACAUCACCAAAUAAACACUAAAUCACUAUUAAAGUCACCGGCACUUAUUCAUUUUCAACAAAUAAGUAACCAACAACAUCACCUUCUAAACAAAAGUUCACUUUUAAAGUCACCAAAACUUAAGAACUUUCAACUAAUAAAGCCACCAACCACAUCACCUCCUAAACACUAAUUCACUAUUAAAGUCACCGGCACUUAAGCAUUUUCAACAAAUAAAGUGACCAACAACAUCACCUUCUAAACACUAGUUCUCUAUUAAAGUUACCAAAACUUAAGCUUUUUCAACUAACAAAGGCACCAACGAAAAAAGUUCACUAUUAAAGUCACCGGUACUUAAGCAUUUUCAAUACAUAAAAUAACCAACAACAUCUCCUUCUAAACAAAAGCUCACUUUUAAAGUCAUAGGUACUUAAGUAGUUUCUACAAAUAAAGUAACCAACAACAUCACCUUCUAAACAAAAGUUCUCUAUUAAAUUCACCGGCACUUAAGCAUUUUUGAACAAAUAAAGUCACCAACAACAUCACCUCCAAAACAUUAGUUCACUAUUAAAGUCACCAAAACUUAAGCUUUUUCAACUAAUAAAGGCACCGACGAAACUAAUUCACUAUUAAAUUCACAAAAACAUAAGUAUUUUCAACAAAUAAAGUCACCAACAAUAUCAACUUCUAAGCACUAAUUCACUAUUAAAGUCACAGGCACUUAAGCAUUUUCAACAAAUAAAGUAACCUACAGCAUCACCUUCUAAACAAAAGUUCACUUUUAAAGUCACCGACACUUAACAAUAUUCAACAAAUAAAGUAACGAAAAACGUCACCUUCUAAACAAAAGUUCACUAUUAAAGUCACCGGCACUUAAGCAUUUUCAACAAAUAAGGUCACCAACAACAUCACCUCCUAAACACUAGUUCACUAUUAAAGUCACCAAAACAUAAGCUUUUUCAACUAACAAAGGUACCAACGAAUCUAAUGCACUAUUAAAGUCACCAAAACUUCAACUUUUUUAACAAAUAAAGUAACCAACAUCACCACCUUCUAAACACUAGUUCACUAUUAAAGUCACCAAAACUAAAGCUUUUUCAACUAACAAAGGCACCAACGAAAAAGGUUCACUAUUAAAGUCACCGGUACUUUAGUAUUUUCAAUACAUAAAGUAACCAACAACAUCACCUUCUAAACAAAAGCUCACUUUUAAAGUCAUCGGUACUUAAGUAGUUUCUACAAAUAAAGUAACCAACAACAUCACCUACUAAACAAAAGUUCUUUAUUAAAUUCACUGGCACUUAAGCAUUUUUGAACAAAUAAAGUCACCAAUAAAAUGACCUCUAUACGUUAGUUCACUAUAAAAGUCACCAAAACUUAAGCUUUUUCAACUAAUAAAGGCACCAACGAAACUAAUUCACUAUUAAAUUCACAAAAACUUAAGCAUUUUCAACAAAUAAAGUCACCAACAAUAUCAACUUCUAAACACUAAUUCACUACUAAAGUCACCGGCACUUAAGCAUUUUCAGCAAAUAAAGUAACCUACAAUAUCACCUUCUAAAUAAAAGUUUACUUUUAAAGUCACCGGCACUUAACCAUUUUCAACAAAUAAAGUAACCCAAAAUGUCACCUUCUAAACAAAAGUUCACUAUUAAAGUCACCGGCACUUAAGCAUUUUCAACAAAUAAAGUAACCAACAACAUCACCUUCUAAAGAAAACUACACUUUUGAAGUCACCAAAACUUAAGCAUUUUCAACAAAUAAAAUCACCAAAACUUAAGCAUUUUCGACAAAUAAAGUCACCAACAACAUCACCUUCUAAACACUAGUUCACUAUUAAAGUCACCAAAACUUAAGCUUUUUCAACUAACAAAGGCACCAACGAGAAAAGUUCACCAUUAAAGUCACCGGUACUUAAGCAUUUUGAACAAAUAAAGUAACCAACAACAUCACCUUCUAAACAAAAGUUCACUUUUAAAGUCACCGGCACUUAAGCAUUUUCAACAAAUAAAGUCACCAACAACAUCACCUCCUAAACACUAGUUCACAAUUAAAGUCCCAAAACUUAAGAUUUUUCAACUAAGAAAGGCACCAACAAAACUAAUUCACUAUUAAAGUCACCAAAACUUAAGCAUUUUCAACAAAUAAAGUCACCAACAACAUCAUCCUCUAAAUACUAAUUCACUAUUAAAGUCACCAGAACUUAAGCAUUCUCAACAAAUAAAGUUACCAAAAACAUAAGAGAUUAAACAAGAAUGUAAUUGUUCUUAAAGGAAUUAAAAGCAUGGGAAGUCAGUUUUUAAAAUAUUUUUAAAUUUUUUUUUUAAAAGCGACCACUAGUGGUCGGUUUUUUUAUUUUUUUUAUUUGAAAAAUAAAUAAUAAUUAAUACAAAAAUUAUUUUAAUAAUUAUUUUGAUUUUUUAAGAUAAAAAAGCUACCACUUGUGGUCGCUUCUUAAAAAAUUUAAAAUCCGACCGCUAGUGGACGAUUUUUUCCGACCAUAAUUUGUGGUCGGUUUUUGCCUUUUUUUAGUAGUGUUCCUAGUUGCAACAAAAAGUAUAGUUCAUACUGUUUUCAUUUCACAACAGGUAAAAAUGUUUCUUUUUAAUCAAUUCCUUCUCUUUGUCCAUAUCCCUUUGCUAUAAGUCUAGCUUUAAACGUUUCUACAUCACCUAAAGCCUUAUACUUCACUUUAUAUAUCCAUUGGCAACCGAUAGAUUUCUUCCCAUUAGGUAAAGUAACAAUAUCCCAAGUGUGAUUGGAAUUCAAGGAAUCUAUCUUAUUGUUUCUACCCAUCUAGGAUCUCUACAGGCAUCAGAGAAACUUGUAGGUUCAGUGACAUAAGAAGUUCUCAGCAUAUAGUCUUUGUGGGAUAAAGAGAGUUUAUCAUAUGAAACAUGAUUAGCAAGAGCAUGAGGUACUUUCUUUGUACUCUUGGAAACAAAAUCAUUCAUCCAAAUUGGUCGCUUUCUACCUCUAGUUGACUUUCUUAGAUCCUGAGGUGCAGAAGACUGAGGUACAUGAGUAGGAACCACCUGCCCUUACUGCACUUGCUGGGGUGCAGGAGUAGGAACCACCUGCACUUGUUGCUCUUUCUGACUAACUAAAUUAGGUACCCCUUGACCUCUGGUUGAUCUUCUUUGAUACACUUGAGUUACAGGUUGUGACUGUGUAGGAAUAGAGAGCCCUCUAGUUGAUAUUCUUUUAUAUACCUGAGUUAUAUACUGUGCAGAUGUAGGAAUAGCCUGCAUUUGCUGGUCCCCUUGAGGUUACAAGGUUACUGGAAUCUAUAGACAUGUCUCAUUACCACUUAGCACUAGUUAUUGAUCUUCUUAAGGAAAUAUAUGAUUAGGUGACUGAGUUUGAUGCUUGAGGAGUUUAAAUAGAAAUACAUCUUCUCUGAAUGACACAUCUCUACUCACAAAGAAUAUAUUAGUUGACAUAUUAUAUAUCAAGUAUCCCUUCUGAGUGCUAGAGUAUCCCAUUAUGACACUUAUCCUUGCUCUAGUCAUGAGUUUAUCAUGCUCAUUUAACACUUUGACAUAGCACAAACACCUCAUUAUCCUUAGGUGAUAACAUUUUUAAUUUUUUACCAUACAACUUCUCAUAAAGAGUUAAGAACUAAAUGACUGAACUAGGAAGUCUAUUGAUGAUAUCUACUACAGUUAGAACACAAUAACCCAAAACCUUAUUGGAAUGCCAUCCUAAAACUUGAUAUCUUUUGUCACCUCUAAGAUGUGUCCAUGUUAUCUCUUAGUAACAUUAUUUUGAUGAGGAGAAUAUGGACAUGUUGUUUGAUGGAUUAUACAAUUAUCUUGAAACAAUUUUUGAUAUAAUGACCUGACAAAUUUAGUACCAUUAUCAGUCUUGAUCACUCUGACUGUCUUCUCAAACUGAGUCUUGACAUAUAUAAGGAACUGUUGAAUUUGAACAAAGAUAUCUUACUUAAUCUUUAGUAUAAACACCUUGAUAAAUCUUGAAAAAUCAUCAACAGUUGUUAGAAAAUACUUGUUUCUAUUCAUCGUUGGUACUUUGUAAGGUCCCCACUAUCCAUGUGUACAAGAUCAAAACAAUAUGUAAUUUGAAUAUUAGUUGACAGAAAUGGUAAACUAGUCUUUUUAGCACUAGGAAAAAUGCUACAUUGCUUUAUUCUAUCUUCUAUUACUUGUACUCCUUGAUGUACAAUUCAUUUCAAGACAAUCAGUUGAAGUAUGUCCCAACCUUUGCUCCUACAAAUCCACUUCAUCUUGAGUCUUUUCCACAGUUACUUCAGUAGUAGCUUUAGUUGCUACUGCAACUUCAUUCUUUGACUGAUCUACCAUUAGAUAUAAGCCUCCAUCAAGAUUUCCAAUCCCCUCCACCUUUCCAGUAUAAAGAUCUUGGAAAACACUGAAAUUAGGGAAGAAAUUCACUAAACAAUGCCAUUCCUUAGUCACUUGUGACACUGAUAGGAGACUACAUGAAAACUGUGGAAUAUGAUAGACAUUUGUAAGGUUAUUUCCUUCGAAUAAGCAACUAGUUCCCAUAUGAGUAACCAUUGUAGCAUAACCAUUUGGUAGAUACACUUUAUUUGGAUUCGUAACUUUGUAAUAGUUUUGUUAAGUAACAGUUUUGAGUCACAAACUAUAUGAUCAGUAACAUCAGUAUCUAUAAUCCAUUUUUGUGAACCAAAAGAAGCUAAACAAGCAGAAAUACCUACACUUGUUACAUAUACAGACUCAGUUUGAUAGAGUUAUUCUUCUUUAUAGGUUCUAUGAUUUACUCAUAUUGUUCCUUGGUAAUGGCUACAUUUCCAACUAACAUAGUUAAGCCAUCUAAUUAUUUGAAGUUACUGAUCGUCCUGUAUAUUUAGUAUAAUAACCACGUUGAUCUACUGGAUAAUCAUGAGAACCCAAGGACACAUUAUAUGUUGUGUUAUACCCUUCAUGCCUGAGUUUAUUCUUACCUUUAUAAUCUUGAGGAUAGCCAACCAACUUCCAGCAGUUAUCUUGGAUGUGCCUAUUGUGUUUACAGAAGUUACAUUGCACAGUAACAUUUCUCUUGUACUUGUGAACUUGGCUUCCACCUACUCUAUUUUUUGUAUUUCUGUCUAGAUCAAGAUUCUUACCAGUAGCCACAGGAUUCAUUCCAAAAAUCCUUGCCUGACUCGCAAUAGAUUGUGGAUUUCAUCACUUAUUAUCAUUGCAUAGGCUUGGUUAACAUUUGGGAAAGGUGUCAUAAGAAAGAUUUGACUCCUUUCUUGUAUGUAGGAUUCAUUCAAAUCCACAAGAAACUAAAACAAUUUCAGUUUUUGAAGAUGUAUCACAUACUCCUUUGAUUUAUCACAUUCACAUCCAGGUGUAGGCACAAGAGCGUCAAAUUCAAUGUAGCAAUCUUUUUAUGCAGAUUAAAUCUUCUGGCUAUAUCAACCUUGUUAAGCGUUUCAUAAAGCUCAUUACAGACAACACUAGCCACAAAUGCAUACAUAAUUCUACAAAGCAAUUCUUUAGAAAUAGAGUUCAUGAUCCAAGACAGCACAAUUGCAUUCACUCUCUCCUAGUGACUACUCAAUUCAGUAGAAAACUUAUCGUUAGAGUAUGUUCCAUCAACAAUACCCAACUUAUCUCUCCUUAGUAAAGAUAUGCGCAUAGAUAUAAAACAGAAUGAGAAAUUCUCAACGCCUGUUAAUUAAAAGGAGAUGAUUUGUGUAUUGAGAGUAAUUCUGAAUGCCUCACCAGAUUCAGCAGUAGCAUUCUAAUUCACCAUUGUUGCAGAUUUACAAUUAUUGAUUCAAGACUUUUUGAUUGUGAAAAGACCAAUACACUCAAUACACCAGAAUCGAUUUGGCUCUGCUAGUUUUUCUAGUGAGUAAAGCUCUAAUACCAUCUUAAAAUUUGUCUUGGGCCUAACUUACACCGCAAAAUCUAGCUCAUAGGGAAGAGUAUUAUCUAGCCUUAUAAAGAGACCACCCAUCUCAUUAACCACUAAUGUGGAAUUUUCUCUCUUUAUCACCCCACCUCACGUCUAGGCCUAGUUAACUAGGUGUGGACAAUCUCUCUGAAUCUCAAUUCGGGGGCUCAACAUUGGGUGAGAAGGGCCCUUCUCUGAUACCAUAUAAUUAACCAAGCAGUGCUACACUUCUUGGUAGAAACAAUUGAAGAUGAAAUACAGAUUAAGAGUAAGAAGAAGAAGAAGUGAGGAGGAGAGAAAGAUCAUUAGAGAUAGAGAAGUAGAGUAGUAUUUUCAUUAUUCUUUAAUGUACAUAGACUUCUACAUCUAUAGACUUUUGUAUGGGCUAACUAACUAGCUAACUAGCCGCUAACAAUUUUGUAACUAACUACUGGACAAACAAUUAUAACAAAAAAAGUGAACAAGUCUAUUUUGUUUCUUUUUUGUUCUGCUCCACUCUACUUUAUUCUGCUCUACUCUUCAUAUAUUCAACAAAUGGUCACUCGUGUGGGAACUAACUAUUUAUCAGUAGGAAAUAACCUUACAAACUCCUAUCAUAUUCCACAGCUUUCAUGUAGUCUCCUAUAAGUGUCACAAGUGACUAAGAAAUGGCAUUGUUUAGUGAAUUUCUUCUCUGAUUUGUGUGUUUUCAAGGAUCUUUAUACUAGAAAGGUGAAGAGGAUUGGAAAUCUUAAUGGAGGCUUAUAUCUACUGAUAGAUCAGUCAAAGAAUGAAGUUCCAGUACCAACUAAAGCAACUACUGAAGUAACGGUGGAAAAAACACAAGUUGGAGUGGAUUUGUGGCACCAAAGGUUGGGACAUGCUUCAACUAGUAUGUUGAAAAGAAUUUUAGAUCAAGGAGUACAAGUAAUAGAAGCUUAGCAGGAGGCUUUGAAAUGGCUGGCAUCUUCCCUUCAUACAAAUUUCUUCAUUCUCUCAGUCCAGCAAAGCAAACAAUUCUAGAUGCCCACCGUAAGGUAGAUUCAAUUGUUGAGGAUGUCAUUAACGAGAACAAGAAGAAUCUUGCAACUCACAAAAGUGAUGAUACAUUAGAAGGUGAAGACCUAGUUGAUUUCUUACUAAGACUUAUGAAGGAUAGAAGUUUUCAGUUUCUCAUCACCAACAACAAUAUCAAAGCUAUUAUUGUAGUAAGUAUUGAAUAUUGUGCUUGUUCUUACUUAUUUAACCAUAUAGUAUUUCCAUAUCCAUUUCCAUAUAUACAUAAAAACAUUAAUUACGAAGAAUUAGUUGUAGAAAUCUUAAUUUUGAUGGGUAAUUAAGAAAUUUGCAAGGACUUUGGUGAAAAAGUCGAUCAAUAAAGAAAGUUAGAUCAGGAAAUAGCAUGUGCGUCAGUCAUAAUAACUUGGCCAUAAAUUGCAGGACAUGUUUGCUGCUGGAACAGAAAAUUGAUCAACAACAACUGUAUGAGCUAUGGUUGAAAUGAUGAAAAAUCAAUGUAUACUCGCCAAAGCACAAAAAGAAGUGCGAGAAGCCUUCAGAGACGAAGUAACAUUCGAUAAAAUUGACGUGGACGUGCUGAAAAACUUAAAGUUAGUUGUCAAAGAAACUAUGAGAUUUCAUGCACCAGUUCCACUUUUGGUCCCAAGAGAAUUUAGGGAAGAGAUUUCAUGGUUAAUGUUUGGGCACUGGGAAGAGAUCCAAAAUAUUGGGACAACGCAGAAAGCUUUUAAGCCAGAGAGAUUCAAGCAGUGCUCCGUGGACUUGGUUGGUAAUAAUUUUGAAUAUCUCCCCUUUGGCAGUGGGAGGAGGAUGUGUCCCGGGAUGUCAUUUGGUUUAGCCAAUGUUUAUUUACCAUUGGCUCAAUUGAUUUACCACUUCGAUUGGAAACUCCCAACUAGAAUGGUACCAAGAGACUUGGACGUGACUGAGUCAAGUGGAGCCACUGCCACUAGAAAAAAUGGCCUUCAUAUGAUUGCAACUCCUUGUUAACCUUAAUGAAAUCAAGUGUUUAAAGUUCUUUUUAUUAUAGUGAAGUGUGUGAGAUAAAAGAACAGAGGCAGAUCUAGAAUUUUAAGCUUGUGGGUUUCUUGGGCAAAAUAAAAAUCCAAAAAAAAGUGAGUAAUGGAGUUAGAACCCACAACCAAGAGAGCAACAAUGUUUCAACAUGCACUUGCUUUGCCACUAGACCAAUAACACAAUUUAUUGUGUGUCCCUAGCUUAUAAUUUUUAUAUAUUUACUAGAUUUUUCAAUCUAAAUUCCAACAAACAAUACAAUGAUAGAGACAUGAAAAUAACACAAUUAAAUCUAAUCUUUACACACAAAAAUUUUCUCGAAGUCGUCCGACACUAUCUACCACCUGUAAACAAAAAAAAAUAAUACGAUAAUAGAGAUAUCAAAAUAAUACAACUAAACCUAACCUUUACAUAAAAAAAUUCCUCAAAGCCGACCAACAUUUAUCUAUCACCUGUAAAUUGCAACAAAAUAAUAUGAUAAAUGUGAUAUCAAAACAAUACAAUUAAACUUAAAUUUUAAACUCAAAAAUUUCUCAAAGCCGAUCGAGAUUCAUCUAUGAAUUGUAAACUACCACAAAAUAACAAACUAAAAAGAGAUAUUAUGAUAAUACAAUUAAGCCCAACCUUUACGUAAAAAAAAUUUCAAAGUCGACUCAUAUUCAUCUAACAUCUGUAAAUUAAAAUAAAAUAAUAGGAUAAUAAAGAUAUCAAAAUAAUACAAUUAAAUCUAACUUUUACAUAAGAAAUUUUCAAAACCAAUAGACAAUCAUCUAACAACUGUAAACUAUAAAAAAAAAAUAUAUAAUAGUGAUCACAAAGCUUCGAUUUUGAUCAAACUAAUUCUUUUCUGAGCGAAAAUUUUGUCCCUAAAGUAUGAUUUUGGAUGAAAAUAAAGAAGAUAUAUAUAUAUAUAUAUAUAUAUAUAUAUGUUGAAUAAUAUUAUGCUUACGAAAUCAGAGAAGAAGUUGAGGAUUAGAAAGCAAGCAUCCACCAAUCUAGACGCCCAAUCGAAUUAAAUUAGAUGUGCAUCAAUCACAUUCUCCUAAUAGACAAACCGGCUUGUUCUCUAGUUUAACGUACAUCUCAAUAUUUAUACAAGUAUUUUUCUUAAUAGAGUCUUAUUUUAGGAAUAUUUUUCAAAUUGAACAGUAGCAAGGAAAAUAUUAAUUAAUUAAUUCUCCUAUCAUAUAUUUUAGGAGUCCCAUAUAUUUUAGGAAGUCUAGUAGAAAGGAAAAUAUUAAUUAAUUCUCCUACCAUAUAUUCUAGGAGUCCCAUAUAUUUUAGGAGGUCUAAUUAAUAUAAUAAAAAAAUAAUUAAAUAAUAAAUUAUAAAAAUAGUGAAAAGACAGUUUUGUCUAAAGAAGAGUCUUUUAAUGAAGGGUAAAAAGUUCAAAUCAUUUUUCUAAGGGUGUUCACACUUUUAAUAUAUUACUAAUUUAGUGUACGUGUUUUGCACAUGUACCUUACGUCAAUUAAUAAAAUAUAUACACAAAAAGAAAAAAAACACAACUGAAAGGUAGCAAUACGUAAAUAUGUAAUUAAAAAUAUUUUAACUCUAUUAAUAAUAUUGACAAUAAAUAAUUAAUGAAAUUACGAACAUUGAAAGAUAUAUAAGUGAAUUAAACAAUAUCCAUAAUCUAUAUCUAUAAUAUAUUAAAAGUAUGAAGACCCUUAGAAAUGUGAUUUCAACUUUUUCCCUUCAUUAAAAGAAUCCUUUUUUGACAAAACUGUCUUUUCACUACUUUUUAAAUUUAUUAUUUAAUUAUUAUUUUUAUUAUAUUAUCUAGACUUCCUAAAAUAUAUGGUACUCAUAAAAUAUAUGGUAGGAGAUUAAUUAAUAUUUUCAUUUCUACUAGACUUCCUAAAAUAUAUGGUAGUAGAAUUAAUUAAUAUUUUUCUUUCUACUGUUCAAUUAGAAAAAUACUCCAAAAAUAGUACUCUAUUAUGGAAAUACUUCUAUAAAUAUUGAGAGGUACGUUAAACUAGAGAACAAAUCGAUUUUCCUAUUGGGAUAAUAUGAUUGAUGCUCAUCUAACUUGAUUCGAUUGCAUGUCUAGAUUGGUCGAUGCUUGAUUUUCUAACCCUCAACAUGUGUGUGUGUGUGUGUGUAUAUAUAUAUAUGUAUAUAUAUAUAUAUAUCUUCUUUGUUUUCAUUCAAUAUCAUUUUUUAGGGUCAAAAUUUUCGAUCAUACAAGAAUUAGUUGGAUCAAAAUCGAAGCUUUAUGAUCACUAUUCUAAUUUUUUUUUUUUAUAGUUUACAGGUCGUAGAUGAAUGUCAGUCGACUUUCAAAAUUUUUUAGGUAAAUGUUAGGUUUAAUUGUAUUAUCGUAAUAUCUCUAUUAGUUUAUUAUUUUGUGGUAGUUUACAGUUCGUAGAUGAAUCUCAAUCGUCUGUGAGAAAUUUUUGUAUGUAAAAUUUAAGUUUAAUUGUAUUGUUUUGGUAUCGCUUUUAUCGUAUUAUGUUUUUUCAUUUUAGAAGUGAUAGAUAAAUGUUGGUCGGCUUUGAAGAAUUUUUUUAUGUAAAUGUUAGGUUUAGUUGUAUUACUUUGAUAUAUCUGUUAUCGUAUUAUUUUGUUAUUGUUUACAUGUGGUAGAUGAGUGUCGGAUGACUUUGAGAAAAUUUGUGUGUAACAAUUAAAUUUAAUUGUAUUAUUUUGAUGUCUCUAUCAUUGUAUUGUUUGGUUACAAUUCACAAAUAGUAGAUGAAUGUCGAUCUACUUUUAAAAAAAAUUUUGGCAAAGAUUAGGUUUAAUAAAUAAAUUUUCUAGCUUUACGUACUCAAAAGAUAUUAAAUUUAAUUAUUAUAUUCAUCUUUAUUAUUUAAGCAAAUAUCCUAUUUAUUGUAAUGUUUGAACUCAUUGAAGUGAGGUACACGCGCAAGGCGCGUACACCUAAACUAGUAAUCAAUAAAUAAGUGAAUCGUCUGUUUGACCACCUAAGCGAUCCCGCCGGUCCACACUCCCCCGCUCCUCAGCCUGUCUUGGAUCCUCCAUUCGAUUUUUUUGGUCCAAAACACACCCAAACCAUGGACUGUCACAAAUGGAGCCAGGGGCCUGACCGCGACGGACAUCCUAAACCGUGAAAGCCCGAGCGCCCCUGUUCAAUCUGGUAACCAUACACAAUUUUCAUACAAUAUAAAGAAAUGCGAAAGAUUAAUAAAUGAAAAUAGGGUCACUUUUUAAAUUCAACAAGACAAUUUGAAAUGAAGUUCGUAACAUUCAAAGUACAUGACUCUAGUCUGUGAAAUCUCUACUAACUUAAAAUAACAUCUAUCUAAACUCUGGGAAAAGGAACCCAGUCGGACCAUGAAUCAAAAUAAUAUAACCAUGACAAGUUUCGUAACCAGGCCUUCCUAAGUAAGGGAGGUUCACCAGUUGCAACUUCUAUCAAGUCAAUCUAUUGCUUAACGGAACCUCGGGACUGAGCCUUAGAUCCUAAAAUAUAGGGAUCAAUACAAUAUUACUAGUACACAAAGCAAUAAAAAAUAAUGUAUCUAUAUUUAACAUAAGUGAGAGCAAUUCAUAAAACAUUUUAGAUAAGCUAUAUGAAAACACAUGGGCAUACUUUAAAAAACUUUGAACAAUUCAUUGAAAUCAUAACUCAUUCUUUGUCUUACUUGUGAGCUAGGUGGUAUACCUUACAUUCUGUAAUUCCAUGGGAUAUAUGGAAUCCGCCCUUGACUCGGUGGCGAAGCCCCCAAUCCAAGUUUACCGCCAGGAUUGGGGUAUUAAUAAAGAGGACACGCAAGAUCACACAGCAGGGUGGCAAAAUCCCCAAUCAAAUAAACAUGUCUUGGUAGUGCAUAAGAUCACAAAGCAGGGCUCCUUACCAUAGUCCCAAUUUGGAACGACAUGAAUCAAGGUACACAAGAUCACAAAGCAUGGUACCAUAACUCCGUGUCGGCAAAUCACGGUUUCUAGCAUUUAGUAUUUCAACUCGUGCUUUCUUCGGGUAACCACCUAACUCUCUUUAAUCCUAUUUGUAGGUGGUUCUAAACAUGCAUCUUUAUGAAAUUAAAUACUGAAAAUCUGAGUAAAAUCGGUAUUGUAUUUUAGUCUUAGUCUUCUAUGACAUUUAUUUGUUUGGUAUCGUCAUACCAAGACUUGCGAGUCGUAUCUCUAAUCCAUACAUAAUCAUGUUAAGUCUUCUAUUUCAAAACCUAGUGUUCAGACUAUCAAACUAUUCAAACCAUAUAUGAGGAUGUGUAUAGUGAAACUCAUAAAAACUUAGGCAGAGUUCCUCUAUUUCAAUUCACAAACACAUGGCGGUCAAGUUUCAUGUAACAAACCAUGCAAUCUCUUUCAAUUAUCACUUUAAACAUUUAUAAACAAUAAAACACCCUCUCUUCAAUUCAUAAUAAAUAUCAAGUUCAAAAUAAUAGUAAAAUAGUUAUCUCACACUUCAAAACAUGCAAUUGAACAACCCACCACAUGUGAAAUCAAAAGGUAUUAUAACAAGAGAGGGGUUUCAUCAUUCAUGAACUCGAUUUAAUAUUUGCAAAAUGCAAAACACAUACUUACACAUAUAAGAGUAAAAAUCAAUUUUAAGGGGAGGCCUCAAGACCAAAACAAUAUGUCUAUCAUUGAAAAGGGUUUCAUGAUUUAAAUAUUCAAUACAAUUGUUCAAACCCUUGUUAUAAACAUCAUAACAUACUUUUAAAAGAUUGAUAAAAUCAUACUUAUGCCCAUAGAGUUUUUAGGACAACCCUACAUACCUUAACCAAUGAAGAAUUACGAAAAAGUUGAUCCCUUGAGCUUGAAUGUUUAGCCAUAAGUUGUUUUCUAUUAUGGUUUUCUUGGAAUAUGAAUUGGGAUCUUAAGAGAUUUAAAAUGGUACUAAUAACCCUAAUUUUUUUUAAGGAUUAUUAGGGACGGUUUUGGAUUAUAAAAAGACUUGACUACCCUUAAAAUGACUUUAAAACGACAUUUUUACGCCCUUGGGCCAUAAGGCAUGUGACGUAUUGCCUAUGGCCUAAGUUAGGCAGUGCCACGCAUUGUCCAUCGCCUUAAAUGGGCUGGGCAUUGCAUUGCCCAUAGCCCAAAAUGGGCUGGGCGACGCAUUGCCCAUGGCACAACACUUCCAGUAGCUUUAGGUGAUUUGCUAGGCAACGCACUCCACUUUGCAAAUUCAUAAUUUUCUCUUGGUCAUCGGAUUUAGAAGAAAUUAGUAUUGUUCAAAAGAUACUUCGAAGACCUUUCAUUUGAUAUAUAGUAGGACCUAUAAUUCGUUAUAUACAAGAAGUUAUGAUCGAUUGAAGUUGACCCAAGUUGAAACAUCUACAAAAACUUAAUCGAUAGAAAUGUUUUCAACUCGUCUUAGAGUUAGGGGAUUUUUUUGACAUCAAAUCAUAUUCAAAGGUUUUCCUACACAAUAGGAUUGAUCACCACACAUAUAUUAAAAAGUAAUCAUUUAGUUUGGAUCUAUACACAUAGGAACGACGGUCUAAAUUCUAGCCCAAAAGUACGGGGCGUUACAUUAUCUCCCCCUUGGGAUCAUUCAUCCCCGAAUGAUGGGUAGGGACUUCUUGAAGCUCUAAAAGUGCAGAAUAAAGAACGUAAUAUUGAUUUGAAUAUUUUUCGUCAACAAAAAUCUUCAAAGGCAUCACACGAUCUUCAUGAUUUCCCAUAGGAAAACGGUAAGCAUGAAACCUCAGAAAAUGUUACUUGACAUCGACAUGAUCUUGGCAUGUAAUUUAUGGCACAUGAUCAAAACUUUGUAAGACAUGAAUUUUUCCUAAGAGUCCAUAGCCAUAAGAAUAUUAGCAUUCUCCAUCUAACAAGAUACAAUGAAAACACUUAAACUUAGAGACACUACUCAUCUGUACCCCAACAUUAAUCAACAUACUUCAUCGUUUCCAACUUACAAUUCUCCCAUUACACAUCUAACCACAAGAAUUUAUGUCUCUCCAUAUAAUACUUGUAUGUUCAAGCCUAAUUCGAAGGAAAGAGGUGCUAAUUAAAACUACGGGACCGUACACUCUACAUCAUAUUAAGAAAUCACCUCACCUCAUCUCUAUAAUCCAACAACUUCGAGCCUUAAUUCAAAGAAUACUAACCACAUGGCACAUAGGUUUGUGUUUUCAUCAAUCAGAACAUCAAGCCUAAUCAUUACUACACCCACUACAUGGAUCUCCCCACUAAGACCAGAAAUUUCAAUCACUCUCAAAAAUAUUUUUGCCACCGUUCUACUUCUUAGCUACUUCACACAAUAAAAGUUCAUCUCUUUCUUUUCCCUGUCACCUAUAACCUUAGCUCGAGAAUCACAUAACACUCUACCACGCUUCCACAACCACCAUUAUACUAACAUACGGAGGGUCAUUGAGUUUCCCGAGCAUAAACAUCAUGAAUGAAAGUAACACUAUUAGACCAUAACUUAUACUUAUUGCACUACUCAAGGUGGGACAUGAAAUUAAAAUACGAUAGAAUAGACCAGAAAUGCUUCAUACAUCAAGUGUCUGAAUCAUAAGUAGAGAGUCAUCUGGCGUAAACUCAACAUAGCACGAUUCCUGAGGGUAGACCAUAGAGAGAAACAUGAGUGCUUGCAGCACGAGUCAUAUAAUAUAAGUUUAGAAAUUUUAAAGUUAACGACCGAGACAAAAACUUAUACUCGAAGCUAUGAAUUUUUAUUUUUAGAGCUGAAAUAGUUAUAAGUUAGCAAAAAAUCUAUCACUUUGGCUAAUCCCGACAUAAAACGAAUCAUUAUCAUAUGAAAACAUAGUUCCUUAGAACCAAGUAUGAUUUGGGAUACGAAUUUAUGGACCAUGGACAUCAUAUCAUAGAUCUUGAAUAGAUGAAAGGCUGGAUCUACUAAGACAAUAUUGAUCCUAGUUUGGAGGUCGGAUCAUAACACAAGUUACAUAGAGUGCUCAAACCUUAGACACAAUAGGGAAUUGAAUGCAUGAGAUUUGGUAGAAUGACCUCUUAAAUUGAAGUAGGAGGAACAUGCAUCAUAACUCCUCCCCACAACUUGCCACAUUGAGAAAAUUCAGGAACUACCUUAAUCCGUCAUCUCCCCCUUUAGAUCAAAGUUACAAUCCUAAACUUGUGGCCAUACCUUUGUCGCACCCUAUUUUCCUUGUGAAAAGUGGGAUUCGACGUGACAAACUCUUUUUGGGAUUGUUUAAGGGGAGAAUAUGAAGAGUCGCCACCUAACAAAUUAAGGUACGUUAGGGCACUGAUCUAGGCUUACUAUGAACCUAUUUUGUUGUUAGUGAGAGUUCACCAAAAAUUCGGGUAAGGGUUCAAAUUACCUCAAAAGGAAGGUGUUAUUCACCUUUCGAGGUCCACAACGGUGGUUUCCGUCCAAUUUCAUACUUUACAAGGAGAUUCUAUGUGAUCAAAUAAAGCCUCUAAUUUUAUUAUUAACUUAAAUGUUAACUAAGUGGGGAAAAUAAUAAAGAAAACUUUCAACUGGUGUACAUAUCAUACAAAGAAUAAAAAAAAUACAAGAGAUAAGAGACUAACCUUUUGGGACAUGCAAAUAAUAAAUGAAAAUUCCAUAAUUCUCGUAAUCUUCAUCUUACUCGAAUCACGGACUCUAGCGAGAUCCUUUGCUCUUUAGUGUGAGGACAAAAUUGGAAGGUGAUAAACUACAAACUGAACUUACAUUGAAGUAAGGAUAGACGACAAAUGAUUCAAAACUUUUUAGUAAUAUGUGUGUCACCUCAAUUUUGGUGACGACUUAAAGUAAAGGAUUAAUAAAAGUAAUUAAGUAAUUCAAUAACACAUAUAUAAAGUAAAAAAGAUAAGAGAGAAGGUGAGUAGGGUCAUAGCAUCACAAGGCUGAAAUAGGCCCAAUGCGAUGUUACUCCCUCUCUUCCAAUAUCUAUGUCAACUCUCUUAAAUGUCUUAGGACAAGAUGAAAGAAAUUCUUAAAAACACUUAUUAAGGAGUACUAAAUAAUUUUAUUUUUUUUGAAUUUAAAAGUCAUGUGAAGCAAAUAAUAUGUGGAUAUAAUGUUUAAGUUGUAUCAAAGCAUGUUGCUAUAGUGUAGUAGUAGGAGAUGUCAAGUCUUUGAGGCUUUUAAAGAGAGUGUCAUGUAAACUUUGAAAAGAAGGGAGUAGCGGGGUGCUUUAUAUUUUAAUAAAGUUAUAUGUGCUUCAUAUAAGAAGUCAGCUAUAACCUGUCUUUUUCAUCAUAUCACAAACGUACCUCACCCCACUUGGAGGUGACUAUCCUUUUGAACUUGGUUAUGUUGACUCCCAUGAUUGAACUCCAAGUGACUCCAUUCCGUUCUAGUGUACAUAAAACAUUCAAAAUGGUGAGAGUAUGUCUGUUCUUAAUGUUUAACUAAUUGAAAGAAAAACUCUAACUAUAAAGUGAUAAAGAUUCUUGAUUAAAGUGUUCCAAUAAGACAGAAAAGAGUUUUCUGGUUCCUUUCUUUUUACUCGAUAAGGAGUUUUGGAAAUAAGUUUGUCAAUCAUCUCGCUCGUCUCGCAAUUGAUUAAAUUAUUUUGGUUUCAAAGAAGUCUAGGUCUGCGGUGAUAUGGCCUAGCAAGUUCAAAUCCCAUAACCUUGUCAAUUAGAGAUGUGAAAAUCGUAACCCAAUCAGUCUAACCUAAAAUCCAAACUCUGCGAUAAGAAACAUGACGCCUAACUAUAACUGGGAACAAUCAAAAUACUAUAGCCCCCUUAACUUAAUUGACACAGUGACAUUAAUUAAAAUAUUAACUUUGGACCUUAACAUUUCAACUAAGCAUAAAUUUAGAAAAAACAAAUUAACAAGUAACAGUUGUAAAAUGAAAAAAAAUAAAGUAACUAGCAGAAAUACAAGAGACGAACAUGCAUAUAACAAAAUAACAAUUUAAAUGAGAAAUUAUUGAGCCUUUUUUAUGGCAAUUUCCAUGCAUUUAUAUCAAGAACCUUUCAACCCGACUUGGAAAAUAUGGAUAACGGUGAUGUUCAUGGCAGCUUUCCGUUGGCUUAGACUAGUGGCUCACAUGGUUAUAAAAAUGGAGUUUUUAGGAGCUACUUUUAAUGGUGAAAUUGAUGGCUCCAGAAAAUGAAUGAUUGGUGUCUUUGAUUAUAUGUUUUGUGCCUAACUAUGGAUUUACAUUGUCGUGUAUGUAUAUGUGUUAUCCUUCUCGCUUUUUUUUCCCCAUUGACUCUCCAUUUGAUCUCUUUAUAUAAAGCUUCAUUCAAAAUAGUAAUUGAUAAGAAAUCUGCCCAAAUAUUUCCAAGUCAUGGAGAAUCAAAACGGACCAAGCCAAACAUGGUAAAGAAUAAGAAGAAACGUUGGUGUAGUGGAAAAUGGGAAAGGAAAAAAAAGGUCUUCAUUUGAUUAUUGAGAGAAUAUUAUUCCUAACUUAAGAAAUAGGGAAAUAAUUAAAGAAAGAAAUUGAGAAUUUUUUACAAGAAAAAUCAAAUUUUGAAGGAUUAAUAAAGGGGGAGACGGAGAACGUUGGGAGGAAGUGUUAAAGGAAAAAAAUAUUUCAUCAUUUGCCUAAGUAAAUGAUAUGGAAUAUUCACGGAUAUGGACUUAGGAGAGUGCGUGUUGGACCCGAGCCUUGGCACGUGCAAUUGAAGUGUAAAAGAGGCCCAAAAUGCACCCAAAUCAGCCCAUAAAUUACACUAUAUGGGUGCCCACUCUUUGAAGGGCCUUUUGGUCAUUUUAACUUAUAUUUUGUUAUAUGUGUAAAAGGAACAUUGUAGGGUUUUUAGUUUAGUUUUUGGAUGAUAUUUUUGAGUCUUGUAAGACUUGUAACAAGCUCUCUCUCUAGUGAGAAGAAUGGACACCGAAACUAGGAUACUACAAUAGGGUGGAUUCUCUUUUGUUGUUGCUUGCUUGGAAGCGUUGAUGCUAGAGAGGUGGAAUCUGAUCUUGUGUCACGUAAAAGAUAGGUUUAUUGUUUUGUGUAGUAUUAAGGGUCCAAGAGUGUCCAUUCUUGGGUUUUUAAGAUUAUACCUUCAUGUGGUCUAUCUAUCUAUCCAUUUACCUUCUUGUAAUCUUGUUUAGUGUUUGUGUUAUAAUCUUGUGUUCUUGUUGUUAUUGUUAAAUCCGUAUCUUGUGUUUUCUUGUUCAUCAUAUGUAAUCCGAGUCUAAAUGUUUCAGAAAUAUCUUUCCAAGUAUGAAAUACUUUGAAUCAUGUGGGAAUCUAUUCGAGAAUGAAGUAAGAUCAUAGACGUCCCCUAACUCAAGGACGAGUUGAAAUCUUUCCUAUCGUUUAAGUUUUAGUGACAGUCAAAAUUUAGGUCAACUUCAAUCGACAAUAACUCCCAUGGUUGAACUCCAAGUGAUGCCAUUCCGUUGUAGUGUACAUAAAAUAUUCAAAAUGGUGAGAGUAUGUUUGUUCUUAAUGUUUAACUAAUCGAAACAAAAACUAUAACUAUAAAGUGAUAAAGAUGUUUGAUUAAAGUGUGCAAAUAAGACAUAAAAGAGUUUUCUGGUUCCUUUCUUUUCACUCGAUAAGGAGUUUUGGAAAUAAGUUUGUCAAUCAUCUCGCUCAUCUCGCAAAUGAUUAAAUUAUUUCGGUUUCAAAGAUGUCUAGGUCUGCGGUGAUAUGGCCUAGCAAGUUAAAAUCCCAUAACCUUGUCAAUUAGAGAUGCAAAAAUCGUAACCCAACCUGUCUAACCUAAAAUCUAAACUCUGCAAUAAGAAACAUGACGCCUAACUAUAACUGGGAACGAUCAAAAUACUAUUGCCGCCUUAUCUUAAUUGACACAAUGACAUUAAUUAAAAUAUUAACUUCGGACCUUAACAUUUCAACUAAGCAUAAAUUUAGAAAAAACAAAUUAACAAGUAACAGUUGUAAAAUGAAACAAAAUAAAGUAACUAGCAGAAACACAAGAGACGAACAUGCAUAUAACAACAUAACAAUUUAAAUGAGAAAUUAUUGAACCCUUUUUAUGGAAACUUCCAUGCAUUUAUAUCAAGAAACUUUGAACCCGACUUGCCAAAUAUGGAUAACGGUGAUGUUCAUGACAGUUUUCCGAUGGCUUAGACUAUUGGCUCACAUGGUUAUAAAAAUGGAGUUUUUAGGAGCUACUUUUAAUGGUGAAAUUGAUGGCUCCAGAAAAUGAAUGAUUGGUGUCUUUGAUUAUAUGUUUUCUGCCUAACUAUGAAUUUACAUUGUCGUGUAUGUAUAUGAGUUAUCCUUCUCGCUGUUUUUUCCCCAUUGACUCUCCAUUUGAUCUCUUUAUAUAAAGCUUCAUUCAAAAUAGUAAUUGAUAAGAAAUCUGCCCAAAUAUUUUCAAGUCAUGGAGAAUCAAAACGGACCAAGCCAAACAUGGUAAAGAAUAAGAAGAAACGUUGGAGUAGUGGAAAAUGGGAAAGGAAAAAAAAAAGAUCUUCAUUUGAUUAUUGAGAGAAUAUUAUGCGUAACUUAAGAAAUAGGGAAAUAAUUAUAGAAAGAAAUUGAGAAUUUUUUAAAAGAAAAAAUCAAAUUUUGAAGGAUUAAUAAAGAGGGAGACGGAGAACGUUGGGAGGAAGUGUUAAAGGAAAAAAUAAAAAAAUUUCAUCAUUUGCCAAAGUAAAAGAAAAAAUCUUAUAAUUUAGAAUGUGGAACACUAAAUUUAUUUACCAAAAAACGUUGGGCAAGAUAAGUAUUUUGUGUGAAAAAAUAUUUUAUGGGAUAUGUAGCAUGGUAAAUUUUGAAAAUUGACAUCAUAUAGUAUUAGUAUUUUACUAGAGAAAAAAUCUUGAAAUAAUUGUGGCCAUUUUAUUCACAAUCAAUUUAAAAUAUUAGUAAGUAAUAAACUAAUUCAAAAUAUAUAAUAAAAAAAAUACUAGACAAUGUAUUUGUAAAUUGUGAGUGUGGAUAUUUACGAAUAUGAUUUAAUAUAUUGAUAAAAUUAUGUAAAAUAUCAUAUUUGAAUUAACAAAUUGUAAAAAUGAUACUAAAAAGUAAUAAAAUAAUUUUUGUAUUUUUUUAAAUCAUGAAUGUAGCUUGUCGAAAAUUAUUUGAUACCAAAAUAAUGUGUAAAAAUAAUAAUAUUUAAAAUUAAAUAAUUUUAACAAAAUAGCAGCCUACAAGGAGUAUCGAGAGUCCAAAAUUGGGUGUCAACAACCUUCACAUCAAAAUCCACAACUCUCAACACAAGAGAUAUACCACCAUAUACAUAACCGCUAAACUCUCUCCGAUAAACUAUAUUCUGAACGCAUAUGAGCUUGCUCCAUUGAUACGGACUCCAUGAUGUGAUUAUCACUGGUAAAUUGCAAUUAUUAUAUUCGUCUACUUUUUUCCUCGAUACCUUUUGGGGUACAAUUUUUUAAAAGUAAGAACCUCCUAACUUUAUUAUGAUGAACAUUCAAGGCCUGCUAUAAUAUGGUUCGGCUGAUGUAUUAAGCUGAUUUUUAGGUGAGAAUGGUACUGGUGAUGUUUGGUGGAAUAUGUGGAGAAAAAGGACUCUUCAAUUUAUACGACCUCAUCUUGUUGAACUAAUGAAAUCUAGGGGCAUAUUUCGAAUUUUAUUUUCAAGAACUUUCCCUUUUGAAAUAUAAGUUUUGCAUAAGUGUAAGAGAAUGUAUGGAGACUAAUUCCACAUCCUGAUUACUUUUAUAGGCACACUUUUACAAAAUAUAACUGCAUAUAUAUUUCCGGCAUGGAAAACUUUCAGAGGAUAGAUAUCUAGACAUAAAUAUCUACGAUCUACAUUUAACUCACAAACGCUUCUCCUCAAUUCGGUGCAUAUAAAUCGUAUGUACCGAGCUUAUCAGAUGCGUGAUUGAUUCAAGGAUUGGUAAGGUGCUUGACGAUAAAUAUAUCUACAAGAUAAUCAACUUUCAAAAUUUCAAGUCACCUCAGAUUCCUUUUGUCCAAAAUUUUGUGAGUUUUGCAUAAUUAGUUCUCUUGUGAAAGACGAGAUUUAAUGCAAUAUAAAAAGCAACUUAAUCAUCACUCAAUUUCCAUCUGACUGACCUGUCUCUAAAUUCUUGAGCAAUUAUUUGAUCCAUAUAAGUUUAGAAUUUGCACAAUCCAAUAUUAUGUGCUUUCACUUACACUUCUAAGGCACCAAAGUACUACCUCGAUAAAAAAAAAGUAUCCAAAGUUAGAGCAUCUAUUAAAAUGUGAGCAUGCCCCAUUUUCAUUUGUAUAUAUAAAAAUCUGCUCAUAUCAUGUAUUCUCAUACAAUAAUUCUUAUUCUGAAACAGAUUUUAUAUAUUGAAAGACACCAAACACUGAAUUCUAAUGAGUAUCACAUGGAGAGUGACUAUAAACCGGCUUAAAACACUUACCUGAAAAGCAAUAUCAUGUCAACUUAUCGCAAGAUAAUUAAACUUGCAAACCAAUUCUGUCUUGCAGGAUCACCACGAGCUUCCCUGACUUGGUGGAAGCUUAAUCGAUGAAUUUUUUCGUUAAAAGUAUUUGUUUUUCUCUUGUAAUUAUGAUUAAAAAACAUGUCCAGUGAGAAAUAUAAUCAUUUUGGAAUAAAAAGUUCAUUUUAUUAUCAUAAAUAUGUUAGUAUAUUUCAAAUAUUCCUAACGAUAGAUAUCAAUGCACCAAGUAUAAUAUGAAAAGAAUAGUUUGGGGGGAUAAUCGUGGUCAAAAAAAUCUGAAAAGCAGCUACAACCAGAUAGCUGCAAUUUAAAACAAACUGAUCAAAAUUCACGAAAUUUGUAAUCAAUAUAGAGAAAAUAAAUACCAUGCUAAAUCAAUAGAAAUUCUAAUUUUAAGAAUCAUAAGUUGUUGCUGCAACCGUUAUGCGCUUUUACUUCAAUAAAAGAGGCAAAAGAAUUUCGCUAUUAAGGUGGCUACAAACUAUUUCUUGGCCAAUCAAUUUCAACUAUUUAACCAUCGCCUACAUCUACCAUAGCAAAAGAAAAAUAAUAGAAAUUCUAAUUUUAAUAAUCAUUAGUCGUUGCUGCAACCGUUAUGCGCCUUUACUUCAUUAAAAGAGGCGAAAAAAAAAAAGAGGCAAAAGAAUUUGGCUAUCAAGGUGGCUACAAAUCUAUUCCUUGGCCAAUCAAUUUCAACUAUUUAGCCAUCGCCUACAUCUACCAUCACAAAAUCAACAAUAACUAUGACGACAAUAAUAAUACCAGCAAGCUCCUUCUCAUGACUUCACAUAUAUUCAUGGCCACUACUGGGAUCAGACUCCAACAAGAAUUUGGUAAAAAAUGAAUAUUAAUAAAAAAAGAAAAAAAUAACAAACAUUAUAUUAGUUGGUCUUCUUUAAGGCAAAAAACCUACACUUCUUUAAAAUCGAUAACUUUAUAUACAAAAAUCUUCAAUCUUCAUCUCAUAUAGUUCUAAAAAUUAAAAGAGAAGAUUAUACUAGCUGUGAAUUAAAUACACAUAAAUUUAGGACAAAUCAAAAUAAUGAAAACGAAUUAGAAUGUUUGCACUAAAAGAAUCAAUAAAAUUCAAUAAAACAUGCAUAGCACGACAAAAUAUUUAAUUUAAAAAUUAUACAGCUAAUGUUUCCUCUAUCGGUAGUUUUGGAAGAAAUAUGUAAAUAUAAAUAAAGAGAGACAAUCCUAAUCCUAAAGUGAAAGUCUAUUAACAUAUAUAACAAUUCGGUUUUGGGAAAAGACCUAACCAAAAUAGGAUACCAAUUUGAAAAAACAAAAGUCAUAAUUUUUUUUUUUUAGGAAAAAAGGUGAAAAAAUGAUUUUGUCUAUUAUAAAACAUUUUAAUGAAAGGAAAAAAGAUCAAUUCACUUUUUUAGGGGUCUUCGCAGUUUUGAUAUAUUAUAGAUUAUAGGUUAUAGAUUAUAGAUUACAGAUAUAGAUUAUAGAUAUAGAUUAUAGAUAUAAUAUAUUAUAGAUUCUAGAUAUAGAUUGUAGAUAUAAAUUACAGAUAGGAAAAAGGCUGAAAUAUGUCAUUGAACUACCAGAAAUGGCUCAUUUAUGCCAUCAGUUAAAAGUUUGACUCAUUCAUGCAAUCGCCGUUACAAAAUUAGCUCAUCCAUGCCAUUAAUUUUUAACGGGGAUUUUCAAAAACAACUUGCAACAUGACCUUUGGCUAUUUCUAGUUGAUUCUAAAUCAUUAUAAAUGUUAUGCUUAACAGAAACCUCAAAAAUUCUAUCCUAAAGUAACUGGUUAAUUUUAAUUUCAGUGACUCCAAUAUAUACUCCGAAGUUACAAGAAAAUAAAUCAAUGAACGAUUAGGGCAAGCAAGACAAACAAAGUGGCAUACCAAUAGAACUUCUCCAUUCCCCCAUCACGAAUUAGAGGAGUAUACAUUAUUGAAAAAAUCAUUUCCAAAUAACGACUUAAAGGAAGUCUGUUAUCCCAAUUAUCGCGUCUUUCAUAUGGAAUAACUUCUCCCAUCACGAAUUAGUGGAGCAUAUAUUGUUGAAAAAUUAUUUUCAAAUACAGUCUUAAAAGAAGUCUGAUAUUGCAAUUAUCCCGCCAUGUAUAUGAUAUAACUUCUCCCAUCAUUAUGGUAUAAAUGUUGGAAUAAAUAAUUUUAAUACUAACUAAUUUCAGAUAUUUUAAAAUUCAUAUUGAUUUUUUUUAAUUAAUGGCGUGGACUUAUAAUAAAAGACCACGUGGAAAAACUAUUUUUAAAAAUCCAUCAUUAAAAAGUAAUGGCAUGAGUGAGUUAAUUUUAUAACGGUAAUCGCAUGAAUGUGCCAAACUUUUAAUUGAUUGCAUAAAUGAGCCAUUUCUGAUAGUUCAAUGGCACAUUUGAGUCUUUUUGCUUAUUUUAAUCAACGAUGUGGACCUCUAAUAAAAGUCCACGUGAGAAAGUUGUUUUUGAAAACCACUGUUAAAAAGUAAUAGCAUGGAUAAGCUAAUUUUGUAAUGGCGAUGGCAUGAAUGAGCUCAACUUUUAACUGAUGGCAUAAAUGAGUCAUUUCUGAUAGUACAGUGGUAUAUUUGAGCCUUUUCCCUUAUAGAUAUAGAUUUUGGAUUAUAGAUUAUACAUAUAAAUUAUAGAUAUAGAUAGAUUAUAGAUAGAUUAUAGAUAGAUAUGGAUAUAUAUUUGAAAGAGAGAGAACUUUUCAUUCAUUUAUAUAAAUGCUAAUAUUGCGUAAGUUAUUCAUCAUCAUUUUAUUUAGGGGAAAGGCUCAAAUAUGACAUUGAACUAUCAGAAAUGACUCAUUUAUGCUAUCAGAACAUCGCCGUUACAAAAUCGGCUUAUCCAUGCCAUUAAUUUUUAACGAUGAUUUUCAAACAGCUUUGCCACGUGACCUUUUAUUAAAGGUCCAUGUCAAUAAUUAAAAUAAGGAAAAAGGCUCAAAUUUUCCAUUAAAUUAUCAGAAAUGGCUUAUUUAUGCCAUCAAUUAAAAGUUCAGUCCAUUCAUGCCAUCGUUGUUAUAAAAUCAGCUCACUCAUGCCAUUACUUUUUAAUGGUAGGUUUUCAAAAAUAUUUUUUUCAUGAGGCCUUUUAUUAGAGGUUUGCGACAUUAAUUAAAAUAAAUAAAUAUUAAUUUUAAAAUAUCUUAUACCCAUUAGAAAGAACCGAUCCAUUUAACAUAACCCGACCAACACCCAUUAAAAUAUUUUUUUCCCUACAAAACAACUACUAUUUUUCUUAUCAGAAAAAAUAGUGAUUAGUAUAUAUCUUUUUCCUAUUUCUAGUUGAUUCUAAAUCAUUAUAAAUGUUACGCUUAACAGAAACCUCAAAAAUUCUGUCCUACAGUAACUGAUUAGUUUUAAUUCAAGUGACUACAAUAUAUACUCCAAAGUUGCAAGAAAAUAAAUCAAUGAACGAUUAGGGCAAGCAAGAAAAAGAAAGAGGCGUACCAAUAGAACUUCUCCAUUCUCCUAUCACGAAUUAAGGAAUUAUAAAUUAUUGAAAAAAUCAUUUUCAAAUAACGACUUAGAAGAAGUCUAUUAUCCCAAUUAUCCCGCCAUGCAUAUGGAAUAACUUCUCCCAUCACGAAUUAGUGGAGCAUACAUUGUUGAAAAAUUAGUUUCAAAUAACGGCUUAAAAGAAGUCUGCUAUUCCAAUUAUCCCAAUAUGUAUAUGGGAUAACUUCUCCCAUCAUUAUGGUGUAAAUGCUGGGAUAAAUAAUUUCGAUGUUGGGUUCGAAUUUGAGAGGGCGUCAUGCGGAAGCUAUUUGUUGCAAACUAUUGAGACGAUAAAUCAGACGAAAAGAAAAACAUACUAAAAAUAUGAUGAUUAUAUAGUUUGACCAAUUGGCUCACAUAUAAAAACCUAAUAUAAAAGAAAACAUAAAACUAUUAGAUAGAAAAUCUCCCUCUAAACAAAAAUCUUAAAAGACUACAUUGUGGAUGUUAUUGUGUUAUGGUAUGGAAGGGGGUCUUCUAUUUAUAGAUGUCUAAAACCUUUUAUCCAAGAAAGAGGUUAGCCAAAUAUGGAAAAGAAUUAUAUUUUUUCUUUCAGGAAAAGUAAAAGUAAUUAUGGUAACUUUUAUUUUCCUUCUAAGAAAAAAUAAAUCUUAAAUAUAGUUAGAAAACCAGGGCAAAAACCCAAACAAAUCUCCCCUUUUUGGCUUGAUUUUCUUCACUUGAUCCAUCUUCUCUUCAUAUCACGUACAUGAACUUCAUUCUUGAUAUAAUAUUUAUAACUGCUGCUUGUAAUGGUUAAAAAUAAGGUUUAAAAUAUCAUGGUUAAAAAUUAAUUUAAAAGUAAUAUUUUAAUUUUAUUUUUAAACAUGCAGCAGCAGGAGUAUUUAAAAUAUGGUUGAAACUUGUUCUCCACAUGUAGUUCGACAAAAAUCUUAAUUAUCGUCCAAAUUGUUGCAGCUUGAUUUUGCAACCUCUUUGAACCUGUUUAAUCUCGUUUCACCAUACCAUUGGACCAUUGAACCGUAAGCUCUAAUACCACUUGUUGGGUCUGAAAUCGAGAGGGCGUCAUGCUGAAGCUAUUAGUUGCAAACUAUUGAGACGAUAAAUAAGACGAAAAGAAAAGCAUACUAAAAACAUGAUGAUUAUAUAGUUUGGCCAAUUGACCUACUUAUAAAAUCCUAAUAUAAAAGAAAAUAUAAAACUAUUAGAGAGAAAAUCUCCCCUUAAACAAAAAUCUUAAAAGACUACAUUGCGGAUGCUAUUGUGUUAUGGUAUGAGAAGGGGGUCUUCUAUUUAUAGAUGUUCAAAACCUUUCCUCCAAGAAAGAGGUUAGCCAAAUAUGCAAAAGAAUUAUAUUUUUUCUUUUAGGAAAAUUAAAAGUAAUUAUGGUAACUUUUAUUUUCCUUCUAAGAAAAAAUAAAUCUUAAAUAUAGUAUGAAAAUCAGAGCAAAAACCCAACACCCGAUACUAACUAAUUUUUGAUAUUUUAAAAUUAAUAUUGAUUUAUUUUAAUUAAUGUUGUGGAAUUAUAAUAAAAGACCACGUGACAAAGCUAUUUUAAAAAACUCAUCAUUAAAAAGUAAUGGCAUGAGUGAGUUGAUUUUAUAACGGUGAUGGCAUGAAUGAGUCGAACUUUUAACUGAUGGCAUAAAUGAGUCAUUUCUGAAAGUUCAAUGGCAUAUUUGAGUCUUUUUGUUUAUUUUAAUUAAUGACAUGGACCUCUAAUAAAAGGUCACGUGGAAAAGUUAUUUUUGAAAACCACCAUUAAAAAGUAAUGGUAUGAAAAGUAUUGUUGAUUUUAAGGUUAGUUUAUUCUUCUAAUUGAUUUUAAGGUUAAUUUAUUCUUCUAGUUUAUUCUUCUAAGUUUCUCGGGCUCUUUGAGAAUGUUGAUUCUUGCACAUAGAAUCCUCCAAAAGUAGUCCAUUUUUGAACGAUUCGACAUGAGGGAGGCAAGUCAGGCAAUAUUUUUGAGAGGUCGGGCAACUUAGGCCACAAUUUGCUAAAGGUCUAUUGAAAAUCGCUUCUUUAUCUCCACAAGGUAGAAAUGAGUUACUUUAGUUCUUGUUGUUAUUGCAAUUGGAAUAUUUGCAGGUUGAAAAAUACAAGAAUUUCCUAUAAAAGGAAAAAAGCUUAGCUCAAAAAGUAAAGAAGAAUGAGGGUCGCGGAGAGUAGAUAUAUUUCAGUUUUUGCUAUGGAAAAAGUAUAAUUAAAUAGUCCGUUUUAGUUAAAAACUCAAUGAAACGUCUAUCAAUCUUUGGUUAUUUUCUCCAAACUCUCAACCCCAAGGUGAGAAUUAGUAGUAGUAGUUGUAAUUAUAAUUGUAGCGAAAAUUCUAAGGCUGUGAUGAUGAUUUUCUUCUUUCCUUCUUUGAGUAAUUCAUUAAUGCAGAAGAGAGAUUGAAUCUGUAUCUUGGCGGGGCAACCCGGAUAGCAGGUGAGCUUGCAACUGGUGUUUACAGCCAUUAUGGUGAUCCAGUCUCUCUUGCUGUAUGGUAAGCAUUACAGAUCUGAGCCUCAAUAUUGAUUUUUCAUAAAUAUAGUUGGGGAAUUGGCAGUUUGAAAAACACAUGAGAAUUUCCCCUAAAAGGAAAAAAACUCAGAGAUUAAGAAUGAGGGUUGUGGAGAGUAGAAGAGAAAGAUGAAAGGGUUGUUACUCCUCUUUGCAAUGUCUGUGAUUUCAGUUUCUGCUGUGAAAGUAUAAAUAAAAGCAACAGCCCUUUUUUUAAUUAAACUCAGCCAAACGAUCCCUUAAAGUGUUUGCUUGUUCUCUCCAAAAUUCUCACAUUCAAACUGAGAAUCAAUUUUACUAGUAAUAAUUCUAGCAAAAAUUCUGAUGCUAUGAUGAUUUUUUUCUUUCUUUCUGAGCAAAUUUAGGCAUCAAAGAAGUCGGACCUGUAUCUUGGCGGGGCAACCCGGAUGGUAGAAGUAACCCUGCAAUCGGUGCUUGCAUCCAUAAGGAUACUUGAUAAAAUGUUCACAUGGGUGUUGAUAGAAUCUGACUUCUUAUGUUCAUUUCUCAUUUCAGAGUUGGAAUUAAACUUAUCUAUAUGUGCCAAUGUGGGUUCAACCUUUAUUCAAUUCCUUCUUUCCUUGUUUGGGAAACGCAACGAAAAUACUUUGCUGUAAUGAUGUCUCAUCACAUAGUCAUAGUUAUUCUGAUUUCAUUCUCAUAUAUUUCAAGGUAAAGUUUAAUUUACCAGUAGCUAAUCUUUUGUUUUUUUAGUUAUCACUUUCCUCCUUACAUUGUCUUUUUUUUUAUUUGUGUAUGUAUACUCUAUCUUGAUAUGAAAACAGGGACAUGAUAUAUGUAUGAUGUUAUCAACACUUUUAUGGUCUCAAUGCUUAUGGUGGGUGCAAUACUAGUAGGAAUUUUAUAAGUUCUUGAAAUUUUCCUAUGCACUUAACCACAGAGCUCAGACAUUCUUUGAUAUAUUUUGAGAGAUAAUUUUUCUUUUCAUUUUCAAUUGAUGGUGAGGUAAGGGAUGCUUGGUUUAAGUAGAUUUUAAACUUUGAAGACCUGGUUCAAGAGUAAAAAUAGUAGAAGGGAAAUGGACAAUUGAACAUUUAUUGCCAAAGUAAGAACAGUUAGAUGCCAAUAAUGGUGAUAAUAUCAAUUUGCAUAUUCAUAUAUAAAAAAAACCUAGUGUUUUCUGGUGCAUAAGAGUUUUAAUGGCAGAGAUUAUCUGUCAAAAACCUUGUCAGACUACUUGGAAUUUUGGAAGAAGUCUCUAACCCAGUGUUAUUUAUCUAACACUCGAGGAAAUAAAUUAGCAAAUGCAAAAUAUUCAUAUUGUUGCCCGCAUAUUAAAAGAAUGGACAAGUUUUAAUCUGUUGCGGUUUGUGUAUUAAUUUGAUGUGUUUUGACAUGUGUAGCUUCUUUAGAAUAGGGAUUGCUAUUAUUGCAUUACAUGAUGCAAGUGAUGUCUUUAUGGAGGCUGCCAAACUUUUUAAAUAUUCGUGGAAGGAGCUUAGACCUGGCCUGAUCCGGCCCUCGUAACUAACCCGGACUGAUUUGACCCGGCCCGGUAAGCCCUAGGGCUUUAGGAUUUUGGGUUCCGGGCCAAUUAUUUUUUUAAAAUGGGCCCGGCUAACCCAUCCCGGACCAAGUCCUGUCCAGGCCCACCAAUUAACCGAUCCGGCCCGGUCCGAAUACCUUUUUUUUUUAAAAAAAAUAAAAUAAAAUUUGGGAUUUUGACCCAAAUUAGCUGUUGGGGCCCAAUGGCUAUAUAGCCAUUUUUGGGUCCAAACAGCUAGUUUGGACCCAUUUAUUUAAAAAAAAAAAUUUAACUUCAAAAAAUAUUUUUUAAUCCCAAAAAAUAUUCUAUAGAUACCCUACAACUUCAAAUCAUUUUUCACACAAUUUUUCACUUUCUCAAAUCUAUUUCUCUCUCAAAGCUCAAUUCUCAAUUCUCAAAUAUUCAAUAUAUAUAAUUUCUUAAAGUGUUCACUUUAAUUUUUUAAUUUUUCGUUUACAAAGUACGAGCAAAAGUUUCUAAAGUCGCAACCUUUGGAUACUUUCAAAAUUUGGUAUUGUCAUUCCAUCUCUUACGUUUAAUUUUUAUUUAUUGUAUUAAUUGUUUAAUAUUUAAUUUUAUUAUAUUUGUGUAUUUUGAAUAUUUUUAGUUUAAUUUAAUUUAUAUUAUGGAUAAAUUAAGAAACCUCGCUACUAAAGGUGUUAAAAAAUUUUGUUCCGAAAGCGGUAGAGGUAGUUCAAGUAGUAGAUAUACCCGUGUGCCUUCGCCUCCGGUACCGCUUGGUACAUCUUUUGAGGAAGAAAUAGGUGUAGGUGCUCACGAUAUGGAUUAUGUAGAAGCUCAAGAAAAUUACGGUAUAGAAGAAGAAAAUGAAGUAGAUGCGGUUAAUUUAGACGAAGAUAAUGAAAAUAUUGCUGAGACACCCGCAGUAGGAGAUGCUAACAUUAGAUCUAAAUCGGUUAAUCUCCCUCCCCAUCCUCCCAGUGCCCCAAGACAUCUUAAAAGAACUAGUGUUGCAUGAAAAUUUUUUGAACGUAUAUCAGAUAUUGAGGUGCAAUGCAAUAUUUGUCAACUAAUAUAUAAGCAUAGAAGUGGGCAAGCAAGGGAGUAUGGGUACUUUAAUGAGACAUAUAGAUGAAGAUCACAAAAGAGAGUUAAAUAUUGCACAAGGUGGUGGGGAUGUUGGUGGGCCAACGCAAACUAGAAUGGACCCAGCAACCGGUCACGUAGCGAAGAAGUAUAAUAAAUUGAGGGACCAGGAAGAAAUAGCUAAAAUGGUAGUUGUGGGUUGUUUGCCUUUUAGUUUUCCUUCUUAUGAUGCCUUUAUUCAUUAUAUACAAGCAAUUUAUAAUCCUAUGUUUAAUGGUAUUCCUAGAACUACUUGUCGGUCUGAUAUUUUUAGACUUCCUUCACAAUAUUAUUUUUAUUUAUCAACAUUGUUAAAAAAUAUUCAAUGUAGAUUGUCCCUAACUUCUGAUCUUAGUCGUGUUGUAAAUAAAACUAAUUAUUUAACCGUUACUUGUCAUUGGAUGGAUAGUAAUUUUGUUAUGCAAAAACGUAUUCUUGCUUUUUUUAUGAUGAAGAUCGUAAACUUACUGGACAAUUUAUUGCUGAUUCUAUUGUUAAAAUUACCGGAUAUUAUGGUAUCAAAAAUAAAAUUUUAUGUAUUGCUUUUGAUAAUGCUUCUACCAACAAGAUUGCUAUAAAAAAUUAAAAUCUAUGCUAUCUCCGCCCUUACCUGAAAUUUUUCAUAUUAAGUGUGCAUGUUAUAUAUAUAAUUUAAUUGUAAAAGAUGGUCUUGAGUUUUUUGAGCUUUAUAUUGAAAAAAUUCGUCUUACCGUUGGUUUUAUUCAAGGAAAUAAUCGUAGAUCGAGAAUUAGAGAAUUCAAAGUUAAAUGUCAAGAAAAUGGACUUACACCUAUUUUGAUGCCUGGGGAAAUUUAUACUAGAUGGAAUUCUAUGUAUGAAUUUUUAAAAACUUGUUAUAAAGAUAGAAUUUCUAUUACAGUAGCUUUUAACCAACAUUGCGGUUCAUUUGCUGAUUCUGCUGAUUGCAUGCUACCUAAUUCUGAUUGGGUUGUAAUUAAUGAUCUUGUUAAGUUUUUAGAAAAAUUUUAUGUAGCUAGGGUUGAAUUUUUCGGUGCUUAUUAUCCUACUGUUUGUAAUAUUUUGGCAUAUAUAGCCGAUAUUUCUGGUUUGCUCAAAGAAUAUAAAAAUACAGAAAGUUAUAAAGAAGCUGUUGGCGCCAUGCUUCUGAAAUUUAAAAAAUAUUUUUUCCCGAUUCCCCCUAUUUACUUGGUUGGUGCUUUGCUAAAUCCGUGCAUGAAAUAUAAUAAUAUGUGCCACUUUAGUACUCUUAUUUAUAAUAACUUAGAAAUAAAUACUAACCAUGAUUUUGAACAAAUACAACCUGAUUUGUGGACGGCUACGGCUGGUGAAAAGGAUUACAUAGAAAAAUUAUAUAAUCAUUAUGCUGAUUUGUUUGAUUUAGCCGUACCUCACAAUAUCACUCCAACUAUCGCUCCUCAUCCUCUGGAGGAGCCAUCAUCUUCUAAAAGGCCGGCAGAUAGUGGUUUUUCUGAUUCGUUUUAUGAUUUAAAUUGUUGGAAUAGGGUUGAUGAGAGAACUUACACAUCAACUUAUCGGGAAGAGCUGAAAUAUUAUCUUCGGACGGCACCAGAGGAUCGCAGACGAUGGGUCAACACGUUGGAUUGGUGGGGGGGGAAUGAAACACAAUAUCUUGUGCUUUCAAGAUUAGCUAGAGAUAUCUUGAAUGUUCCAAUGUCAACCGUUGUAUCAGAGAGUGCCUUUAGUUAGGGAUGACAGCAGCUUGGAGACAACCGCACUCAUUGGGAAGUAAUGCAAUGAAUGUUCUAGUUUGCGUCAGAGAUUGGAUUAGAGCAUAAAGAAGAAAUCAAGGAAUGGAACCGGAGCCGAGCGAUGAGCUGAAACUUGAAGAAAUUAUGACUUCACGGGAGAACUCAGCAGAAUCAAGUCCAAUGCAUGGUUUUUCCCCCGUUGACUUCGACUAUCCUAUGCAAGUUCCCAUUAAUAUUAACAUGAAUGAGUUGGAAAAAAUGAUGCAUAAUUUAUAGAUUUUUCAUUCAUGUAAAUUAUAAAUUUUGGAUCAUUUUGCAAUCAAUAAAAUUCGCCAAAUUCAUUCACUCCUUAGUCCUUGCUUUUUAUAUUUUUUCAUUUAACAAUUUAAAAUUUUAAAUUGAAUUUCUAGUUUUCUACUUUAAAUUAAAAACUUACUUCUAAUAGAUUAUUAAUUUCCUACCAAAUAUUAUUGAUUUAUUAUAUUAAGUAGCAUAUGUUUUGUAUAUUUGUGCAUAUAUCUUCUAUAGAAGUGCAUAUUUAACGUAUACAUGUGUAUAUGUUUUAUAAAUUAGUAUAUAAGUAUACCUAUAUAUAUAAUAAUGUAUAUAUAUUGUAGUAUAUUUGAUAAGUAGUAGUAUAUAUAGAUUGAAUGGUGCGUAUGCACGUGUAUAUAUCUUCUAUAGAAGUGUAUAUUUAACGUAAACAUGUGUGUAUAUUUUAUAAAUUAGUGUAUAAGUAUAUCUAUAUAUAUUGUAAUGUAUAUAUAUUGUAGUACAAUUUAUAAGUAGUAGUAUAUAUACAUUGAAUAGUGUGUAUACAUAUGUAUAUAUCUUCUAUAGAAGUGUAUAUUUAACAUAUACAUGCGUAUAUGUUUUAUAUAUUAGUAUAUAACUAUAUCUACAUAUAUUGUAGUAUAUUUUAUAAGUAGUAGUAUAUAUACAUUGUACGGUGCAUACACAUGGGUAUAUAUCUUGUAUAUUUAACAUAUACAUGUGUAUAUAUUUUAUGAAUUAGUAUAUAAGUAUAUCUAUAUAUAUUGUAAUGUAUAUAUAGUGUAGUAUAUUUAUAAGUAUUAGUAUAUAUACAUUGAAUGGUGCGUAUAUAUGAGUAAUCGACUAAUUGUGUAUAUGUGUAUAUAUUUUUUAAAUUCUAAUGUAAUAUAUACUAUACAUAUUGUGUAUAUAUAUUAUUAUAACGUAUUUAAAGAAAGUUUUUUUUUUUUUUUUAUAUUUUUGACCGAUUUUUUAACCGAGUUUGAUCGGAUUUGGUGGGUUUGACCGGGUUGGGUUAAGCGGGCCGGGAUAGGGUGGAUUUUAUUUUUUUUACUGUUUGGCCCGGCCCAGCCUGGUCCGUAUAGCGCCAAAACCGGCCCUUAACCAGCCCUCAACCCGGUUAAAAUAGAACGGCCAGUUCCGGGUUGGCCCGGUCCGGCCCGUUUGACACCCAUAGCUUGGAGCUAGCAUACUAUUUGGUUGUUUUGCUGUCUCCUGGCUUGUACUUAGGCUAUUUUUCUUUCCAUUUUGGGUCAUACGAUCCUUAAGGUUGGCACUUAUCAGAUUUUCUACUCAUGAUAUUGUUCCCCUUUUCUAGUUUCUCCUCGUUAGUUCGAUGUGUUUCACUUCCUAGCUAUUAUCUGUGUGAGGUCUUAAAGUUGUCAGAUCCAUAUGAUACAAUGUUAUACUACUUCUUCAAUGCAAUGCUCUUGACCUUACUUGUGUUCCACAUUUAUAGGUCGGUGCUCAUCUAUUCAAUAAUCAGAAGACAGUUGAACAAUAGAGGUUAAGUUGGGGAAAACAUAAGAUCCAGUAAGCAUUUUAGUGUCAUUUUGAACUUACAGGUACACUAUGUUGUUGAAUUUAUGCUUGAUAUAUAGUGCUAGUCCUACACCCCUUUCCAUUGUUGUCUAUUCCUACAUAAAAAUGAAGAGUAAAACUAUAAGAAAAGUAUGAAACGAGUAAUCAAAGUACUUUUCCACGCUGCAGAUGUUUUCUGAUAGAUCUUAAACUGCUGAAGCCUUAUCUUGUCUUUUUACCUGUUUUAUUUGCUUAUAUUGAAUUGGGCAGUAAAGGUUACUGAAGCUAACUUUUUCCUUAUUGAAUUGUGUGUAGUUUUAUAGACUGGGUUUGGGACAUGAAAUGAUUUUUUCUAAAGGAAUUUGUAGUAGUCUCGUUUUUUUUUUGAAUUUCUCACAAAAGCAAAUUCUAAAAUUGUGGAUGUAUAUAUCUUGAUAUUUGACUCUGAAAAUUGGCGAGUACUUAUGAAUAAACUCUCUCUUUAAAGAUAAUUGUUUUGAUCUGGGAGUGUGGUCCUGUUCAUCUAAUGAUUUAGGACAAACUCCUAUUGCUCGAGUUACCUUUUAAUUUGUAUGACUUGACUAGGUUGCUCAUGAUGAAGACAUAGGACGAAAGAUUAGGAAAGAUAUAUAUUUUGAUUUGGUGGAUUUUGACAAAGUUAAGAGCUUCUACAUUAAAAAAAUAUUUUUUACUAUUUUCAAGGUACAAACUAUCUUUUAAUCUCAAAAUUCUAUCAAUGACAUUUAUUUUCUUGUCUAAAUGAAUUUAGGUUCUAGGAAAAAGCAACAUGAUAAGUUCGGUAAGACUCAAUGAGAUAGUUUAUUAGUGUUUACCGUAGACUGGUAGUAUGUUGUAUGAAGGUAGAUGAAGAUUCUCAGAUGUAUGCUUCUUUAGAUUAAGGUGUCUGCAUUCACACACCUGAGUUCUAACCACUUUUUGACCUUGCACAUAAGACUUUUGAUGUGUCGAGUAAAAUCCAGCUAAUAAUUGAUGUUCAUUCACUCCUGCUAUAGGCAACCCUUCCCUUGUUGUACAAAGCUGUCGCUCAACCAGAAAAUAUUUGUGAUAUUAGGCAUCUCUUUACGUGUACCCUUAACAAAAACAACUUGAUUUUCCCCUCACCAUCAACUUGUGAUAUAUUGGCCUUUUUGAAAGCAAUCCAUAUCUUAAACCCCCCAAAUCCUAACCCCAACACCAAUCUCUAAGAGUUGAUUCUACUUUCAUGCCAUAAUGAAGGUUAUGUUAUUGAUGUUGUUUGACCGUCUCAACCAGCCAAUGGUAUGGUCAAAACCUUGAGUUGGAAGUAAAAAAAAACCAGCUUUUAACCUAAUUCACACCAUCCAUGUGCGUUUUGUAAAUACCUGAAGAUCAUGGUGCCAUUUAGGUAUGAAUUAUUUUUGAUGGAGCUGCUAUCACUGGUGGAAUCAGGGGAGAUACUGAUGACCAGGAUAGAUAAUGAUGUUGAAAGAAUCUUGAGAUUUAAAUUUGUUACUGGAUUAUUUGAACAUUCGUUUACAAAUAGAUCAUUGAUAGAUUUGGUUGGUUGCAAGGUAUUCUUACAUCUUCCUGUUGCCUAUUGGGACUAUUUAGUAAUUUCUGAGUCUAACACUACUUUCUCUACAUUUAUAUGAGUACAACAUCGUCUCAUAUUGGAUAGCAAUCGCAUAACAUAAGUAGGAAAGAACCACUUCUUAGAAGAAACUCCCUCUUAAAAUGGAUUAAUAGCCUCCCAACCCCAUCUUUAUAGAUAGAAAGUCAUUGCUGGUUUUGAAAAUGCCUUCUGGAACCCUGUCUAUCAUACUCUUCCCUAGUGCUCAAGUUUUAAUGAGAUUACAUGUGACCAGUAUUUGUUCUAUUCAAUCGCUGAAGUUUUUCGUUGGACUCUUCUAUAAUUGUUUUUUAUAUGGAAUCUAAACAGAAGGUGGCUAUAUAUUGUCUUACAUUAGCACAAUAGUGAUUCUACAGUUCACUAUCUUGGAUCUAUUUUAAGUCUGGUUAAUUUUUUCGCAUUAUUUAGGCACAUAGAGACCUAUCACGUGAAGUAGUUUGCAAAUCUUUUGUUUUGUUGAAAAAUGGGAAAGAUCCAAAGAAACCAUUUCUUCCUCUAGAUAAUACCGCAAAAAAAAAAUCCUCGUGGAACUCAUACUGAUGAUCUUGGAUACCAAUGUGGAGGAUGGACAACUACAUGGAUAGGACUCAGUGGUAGAAUCACAGUUGGUAAGCAGUUUCUAAUUGUAAGUCUCUCCCUAACAUGAUUAUAGACAAUACAUUUGAAACCUGAACUUAAACCUGAAUGGAUUGUAGAAAUAGCACCUCAGUACUAUCAGUUGAAAGAUGUCGAAGAUGGUAAGUGCUCUUACUGUCUUUUAUUGCAGCAAGUGUUUUUUUUUAAUAUUUUCAGCUUCUGUUGGUCUGCCUGCCUUAUUGGUGCCUCACAAUAUAGUACUAAGAGUAGACCUCAUCUCAUCGUUAAGGGACCUGCAAUCCAACCUGGAUAUUGGGUGUAAUCUAGCGGUACUCAUUAUUGUUUUCAAAAAAAUAUUUGUUGUUUUCAGUUCCCUAGUUUGAGUUAUUUGCUCUUAAAUUCUUGUGUUGGAGGCAUUCAACAGUGCGCUAAAAUCUUUUGGGAGUAACAUCAUAUUGUCAAAUGUCCUGUUAGAUCGAUAGAGUGGUGGCAGGUAUUCUUUAGUUUCUUGUGUAGACUAUGCAACUGAAUCUAAAAGUUCUACUAAAAUUAUAUGUCAAACGUUUUUGUAGUAUCCUAGAGGAUGUGGCAGAAACUAUAGUUGCUCUUAUAACUGAGAAAGGUAAUUCUCUAACAAUUUUUUAUAUAAUUCCUCAUUAUCCUCAUUCUUGGAUAUAAUUAACAGUAUAACAACUUGUCUUUUCUCUUAAGUAAUCAGCAAGCUCCCCACAAGGCAUACUCCGUACACAAGAUAGAUACUGUUGCUAAAUCCAGGUAUUGUCUAUGUUAUCUAAUCAUGGAAAAAACUACAUUACCAAAUCUGCGUUAUAAAAAAUGAAACUCAAAUAUAGUAUUGUGAUUUUGGAAGUGCUGUUGCUUCAGCAUUAUAGUACAUCUAAUUGUUAGACUAGAGAAUAAUCAAUUUUUUUCAUCUUGGAAUAUGUUUCUCUUUUGAACUGUGGAGCUGCGUGCUAACUGGAUCACAUAUGUUAGACCUAUAUAAAUGUGAAGCUGUAGUUUUCUCUUUUGGAAAUUUCAAUUGUUCUUUAAUUUUUAUCAUCUCACAUUUGGAUGUUUGUAUUUCUUUCUAACCAUGAAUGGUUGAUUUGCCUCUUCACUAGCUAACUUAUAUGUGGUUUACGUACUUAUUUUAUAGUGGAAUAGCCUUUUUAUGUUGUCAUUUAAGUGCUAAUUUAUAUUAUUUGUUCUCUUUUUAUAGGUGUCCAAAAUAAAGAAAGAGAUGAAGAAAAUAAUGAAGACAUUGACCUUACUUGCGAAGAAUUUUGGGUUGUGGAUAAAUGCUCUAAUAUCAAUAGUUUUGUGUUGAAUUUUUUGAAACUUAUCGUGACUUGAAAUUGCUAGUAUGUAAAAACUUAACUAAUCAUUUGGAUUAUUAAUGAAUGAUUUAUAUUAUUAAUGAAUGAUUUUGUUUCGUGAAGUAUAUAUAUUGUGUUAGCAUAGAAUAACAAUAGACAGUCAAAAAGCAUUGCAACAGAAUAACAAAAGCAUCGCAAUAGAUGGUAUUAGAACGGUUUAAUAUUUUUGCAAUAGAAUCUAUUGCAAUGGUUAUGAACCGUUGCAAUAGAUGAAAAUAGGCGUUCUAAUAAGUAAUAAAAUAGUUGUAAUAGGUAGUCAAAAAGCGUUGCAACAGAACAACAAAUGCAUCGCAAUAACAUCUAUUGCAAUGGUUACUAACCGUUGUAAUAGCAUCUAUUGCGAUGGUUCGUGACCGUUGCAAUAGAUAAAAAUAGGCGUCUCAAUAAGUCAAGAAAUAGCCAUCGCAAUAGGUCUAUCUAUGGCGACGAUUGUCAAAAACUAUCACCAUACCUCUACCUAUGGCGACUGUUUAGACAACGGUCGCAGAAACUGUUGCAAUAGACCUAUUGCAACGCCCACCUAUGGGACAGUUGCAGAACCGUUAUGAUAGGUCUAUGGCAAAGUGCCCUCAUAGGAGUGAGCCUGAGGAUGAAUUAUAUAGUGAUCACUAGUUUAUGUGGAUUUGAUAUCGAUAGUCCUACUCUGAUGGCAAGGAUAGAAUGGCUCUCCCCAACGUGGGUUGUACGUUGGACUCCAUGUAGUUCACAUGGUUUAUGUCAAUUAUAGGAUCUCCCAGUGUGUGUGUGUUUCCUUGUGUUGAUGGUGAAUGGUGAAGUGAUUUGAAAGUGGAAUUGUGAAACUUACUCUUUUGAAAGAUUUAAAUGAUAUUUACAUUAUGAGAAUUGAUAUUCUUGAUGAACUGAAAGUGAUUGACAAAUUACAUGAUGAAUCACAUGUGUUAUUAUACUUAUUUCAUCCUCUCAUGAUUAUGAUGAUUUUCUUUAGGCUAUGUGAGUCUUUCAUACAUCCUGCAUAUUUCUUAUAAAUAUUUAUGAUGAUGAUGUUUAUACAACUGCAUACACCCCCAUAUACUCGGUUUCUUUCCAUGGUACUGAGCCACAUCUUCAGAAUAUAGGUUUAGGUGCUUAGUUUCAGGUUUAACAGUGAUUCUUCGGGCAUACUAUUCUACAUCCUCUGUUGUGGUGAGUCCUCAUGUUCUGAGGAUGUGAUGUCUGAUGUUGGUUUCACUUAAUUGUUUAAAUUUGAUAACUAAGUUUGAGUCAGUUGAGGAAUGUAUCAAUGGCUCGCUGGUUUUAUUGAUUCUCUUAGAGGCUUAUCAGACUAGUAUAGAUGUUGGGAGUUGACUAAUAAGUCGUAUUUUGUUAUCUUUUUGAAAUUCUUUUAUUCUUGGAUGAUGAUUACUCUGUUGAUAUUUGAGGGUUAUUCAUAGAAACCCUGUUGAUUUAUGUUGAACUGAAUGAAAAUGGCUCAAUGGGUUAGCUUAGGGAUACUCGUAGCCUCAAGCACCGUAUGAUGCUUCAGGACCUGUUUUUCGGGGCGUUACAUACUUGGUAUCAGAGCCUAAGGUUUUAAGGUGUCCUAGGGAGUCUGACAAGCCACGUUAAGUAGAGUCUUUAUCAUCAGUGUGUAGCGCGCCAUAUCUAUGAGCAAGAGACUACAAGACGUUUUAGGAAAAAGUGUGAUUUUUUCUUUUAGAAGUUUAUCGUGCUUAAAGCGUCUCUCUCUGCUAUUGAUUCAUGCUCUCCUCUUUCAGAAAUAUGUCUCCACUAGAAAGCUUAUUUCCAAAGGGUGUAUUUACCAUUUGGUUAUAGUCAAAGACACUAGUGCUAAGACUCCAACUCUCCAGUCUGUUAAUGUCAUCAAUGAGUUUUCUGAUGUCUUUCUGGAUGAUCUCCCAGGGAUACCUCCUGAUAGAGAGAUAGAGUUUGGGAUUGAUCUUCUUCCCGAUACUCAGGCCAUUUCUAUUCCUCCUUACCGUAUGGCCCCUACAGAACUUAAGAAGUUGAAAGAGCAACUCAAAGAUCUACUAGAUAAGGAUUUCAUAAGGUCCAGUGUUUCUCCUUGGGGUGCUCCUGUGUUGUUUGUGAGAAAGAAAGAUGGCUCUUUGCAUAUGUGCAUUGAUUACCGCCAACUGAAUAAAGUCACCGCAAAAAAUAAGUACCCCCUUUCGAGAAUAGAUGAUUUGUUUGACCGAUUGCAAGGUGCAAGUUAUUUCUCAAAGAUAGACCUUUGUUCCGUCUAUCAUCAACUUAAAGUUAGGGAGUGUGACAUCCUAAAAACCACUUUCUGAACUCGUUAUGGCCAUUUUGAGUUUCUUGUUAUGUCUUUCUGGUUAACUAAUGCCACAACAGCUUUCAUGGACCUCAUAAAUCGAGUGUUCAAACCAUAUCUAGAUAUGUUUGUCAUAGUGUUUAUCGAUGAUAUACUGGUCCCGUAGUGAGUAUGAACAUUCUGAUCAUCUCCGAACUAUCUUGCAAACCCUUAGAGAUCACAAGUUGUUUUCCAAGUUCAGUAAGUGUGAUUUUUAGCUAAGGUCAAUUGCUUUUCUGGGUCAUUUCAUUUCUUCCAAGGGUAUUAGAGUUGAUCCCCAAAAGACCAAAGAUGUUAGAAAUUGUCCUAGACCUAUUUCUCCGACUGAUAUCUAAUGUUUCUUGGGUCUAGCUGGAUAUUGCCGCUGUUUUGUUGAGGGUUUAUCCUCUAUAGCCUCUCCUAUGAAUCAGUUGACCCAAAUGAAAGUGAAGUUCUUGUGGUCCAAAUCUUGUGAGAAGAGUUUUCAGGAGUUGAAGACUCAACUCACUUCAGCCCCUAUUUUGACUUUCCCUGAUGGUGUUGAUGGUUUUGUGGUGUACCGUGAUGCUUAGAGAGUUAGGGGGUAAGGUGAUAGCUUAUGCUUUUAGAAAGAUGAAACCCAAUGAGAAAAAUUACCCCACCCAUGACUUUGAGUUGGCCGCUGUUGUGUUUGCUUUAAAAAUCUGGAGACAUUAUUUAUAUGGUGUCCAUGUUGAUGUUUUCACUUAUCAUAAGAGUCUACAGUAUGUGUUUUCCAAGAAAGAAUUGAACCUUAGGCAGAGACGAUGGUUAGAAUUGUUAAAGGACUAUGAUAUGAGUGUGCUGUACCAUCCGGACAAGGCCAAUGUUGUGGAAGAUGCCCUAAGUAGAGUGUCAAUGGGUAGUGUUUCGCAUGUGGUAAAAGGUAAGAAAGAGUGGGCUCGUGAUGUACAUCGUUUGGCUAGAUUGGGGGUUAGAUUGUUUGAUUCUGCUGAAGGUAGUAUAGGGGUUCAGAGUAGUUUCGAAUCCUCCUUGGUUUCGGAAAUGAAGGAAAAGCAAUACUUAAAUGCUAGUUUGGUCAGCCUGAAGGAGUCAGUCAAGGACCAAAAAGUAGAGGUUUUCUCCUAAGGGGGAGAUGGUGUGUUGAGAUUGUAGGGUAGAUUGUGUGUCUCGAAUGUUGACGAUCUAAGACAGAGGAUUAUGGGUAAAGCACACAGGGCACGAUAUUCUAUUCAUCUUGGUGCCACCAAGAUCUACCGAGACUUGCGGGAAAUCUAUUAGUGGAGUGGCAUGAAGAAAGAUAUAGCAGAAUUUGUAGCUAAGUGUGCAAUAUGCCAACAGGUUAAGGUUAAACACCAAAGACCUGGUGGUAUAAGGCAAGAGUUUAGUAUUCCCACCUGGAAGUGGGAAGAGAUAAAUAUGGACUUCGUGAUUGGUUUACCUCCUUCCCGACGCCAUCAUGAUUCUAUUUGGGUUGAGGUUGGUAGGUUGACUAAGUCUUCUCAUUUCUUGCCUGUUCAUACUUCAUAUACUGCUGAGGAUUACGCUAGAUUGUAUAUCCUAGAGCUAGUCAGACUGCAUGGAGUUCCCUUGUCUAUCAUUUCGGAUAGGGGUACUCAGUUCACUUCAAUUUUAGAAAUCUUUUCAGAAGGGUCUAGGUACCAAAGUGAUUUUGAGUUUUGCUUUUCUUCCGCAGAUGGAUGGUCAGGCUGAGCGGACCAUCCAGACCUUAGAGGAUAUGUUAAGAUCUUGUGCACUUGACUUUAAGGGAAGUUGGGAUGAUCACUUACCGUUGAUAGAGUUUGCUUACAAUAACAGUUUCCACUCUAGUAUUGGCAUGGCUCUAUUUUAAGCCUUAUAUGGGAGAGAGUGUAGAUCACUCAUAGGUUGGUUCGAGGUGGUUGAAGCGGCUGUGAGUGGUCCUGAUUCGGUAUUUGAGGCUAUGGAAAAAGUUAAGUUGAUUAGGGAAAGGUUGAAAACUGUGCAGAGUUAUUAGAAGUCAUAUGCGGAUGUUACAAGGAGAGACCUUCAGUUUAAAGUUGGUGACCUACUGUAUUUGAAAAUUUUACCCAUGAGGGGGGUGAAGAGAUUCAGAAAGAAGGGGAAGCUUAGUCCCCGUUAUGUUGGUCCUUACAAAAUUCUUAGCCGUGUUGGUAAGGUAGCUUAUGAGGUCGAGUUGCCUUCCGAGUUGUCCUCUGUUCAUCCAAUAUUCCAUGUCUCCAUGCUUAGAAAGCAUAUUAGCGAUGCUGUGGUAGUGGAUUCCUCUGUGAGUGCUGACAUUCAAAAAAAUCUUUCUUUUGAUGAGAUUCCUAUUGAGAUUCUUGAUUUCAGUGUCCGAAUACUAAGGAACAAAGAAGUUCCCUUGGUCAAGUUGUUGUGGCGAAACCAAUCUAUUGAGGGUGCAACUUCGGAAGCUGAGGUGGAUAUGCGAUCCAAGUACCCUCACCUAUUUUCCACAAAAGGUACCGUUCUUUCCUAAAUCUUGCACUUUUGAUAAAAUUUGCAGCAGUUCAACUGUCAUUUAUUAUGUGUUCAGUUGUAGUUUCUUGAAUUUAUGCAUUCUAUGUUGCAUUCGGAGUGAGAAACGAUGUGGUGAUGAGUCUAACGAAUGGUUUCAGCUGUAUGCUCUAUUCCCUAUCUAAUCUUGGAAUUUCUAGGGUCAUUCGAGGAUGAAUGUUUCCAAGGGGGGAUGAUGUAAUACCCCUGGAAAUUUUUCGUUAAAAUUUUGUGCAUAAACGUGUUAGGUUCUAUCUUCUAGAAUAAAUUAUAAAUUUUUCGUGUGGAAUAUCUUAGAUUAUGACCCACCAUUGCGUAGAGUAUCUAUUCAUCUGUCAUUUAUUAUGUGUUCAGUUGUAGUUUCUUGAAUUUAUGCAUUCUAUGUUGCAUUCGGAGUGAGAAACGAUGUGGUGAUGAGUCUAACGAAUGGUUUCAGCUGUAUGCUCUAUUCCCUAUCUAAUCUUGGCAUGUCUUCAGUCAUUCGAGGACGAAUGUUUCCAAAUAGGGGAUGAUGUAAUACCCCGGGAAAUUUUUCAUUGAAAUUUUAUGCGUAAACGUGUUGGUUUCUAUCUUCUAGAAUGAAUUAUAAAUUUUCCGUGCGGAAUGUAUUAGAUUAUGACCCACCAUUACGUAGAUUAUCGAAUAAGCUUUCCAAAGAUAUGUGGAUCAUCCAAAAUGGACACCCGAGCGACGAGUUAUGAACAUUCCAAUCGAACCGUGAAUAGUAGUGAACAGUAAAACGUGCAGGAAAAAGUACUGAGGCCUGGCGUAUUUUUUCUCUANNNNNNNNNNNNNNNNNNNNNNNNNNNNNNNNNNNNNNNNNNNNNNNNNNNNNNNNNNNNNNNNNNNNNNNNNNNNNNNNNNNNNNNNNNNNNNNNNNNNNNNNNNNNNNNNNNNNNNNNNNNNNNNNNNNNNNNNNNNNNNNNNNNNNNNNNNNNNNNNNNNNNNNNNNNNNNNNNNNNNNNNNNNNNNNNNNNNNNNNNNNNNNNNNNNNNNNNNNNNNNNNNNNNNNNNNNNNNNNNNNNNNNNNNNNNNNNNNNNNNNNNNNNNNNNNNNNNNNNNNNNNNNNNNNNNNNNNNNNNNNNNNNNNNNNNNNNNNNNNNNNNNNNNNNNNNNNNNNNNNNNNNNNNNNNNNNNNNNNNNNNNNNNNNNNNNNNNNNNNNNNNNNNNNNNNNNNNNNNNNNNNNNNNNNNNNNNNNNNNNNNNNNNNNNNNNNNNNNNNNNNNNNNNNNNNNNNNNNNNNNNNNNNNNNNNNNNNNNNNNNNNNNNNNNNNNNNNNNNNNNNNNNNNNNNNNNNNNNNNNNNNNNNNNNNNNNNNNNNNNNNNNNNNNNNNNNNNNNNNNNNNNNNNNNNNNNNNNNNNNNNNNNNNNNNNNNNNNNNNNNNNNNNNNNNNNNNNNNNNNNNNNNNNNNNNNNNNNNNNNNNNNNNNNNNNNNNNNNNNNNNNNNNNNNNNNNNNNNNNNNNNNNNNNNNNNNNNNNNNNNNNNNNNNNNNNNNUUAUAAGCACGUUGAUGUUGAAUAUUUGAGAUAUUUUGAAUGAUUUGACCUUUUGGUCUUAAUGGAGUUGUUUUGAACUCGAGUGUGAAAGAAAUUCACAAUGUGGUUGAUUUUGAUUGAUGGGAAGCAUGAUGGCUCCCGAUGUCUAUUUAUAUAUUACUGAAAUUAUUUUUUUGUGGAUUGUCUUUGAAAGGAUCUGAGCUAAGUCUGGGAGAAAUCUUUAGCACCGAGUGGGAGGUAUAAAGUGACCUUACUUCCCUAGAACUAAGUGCCCCCAUAGGAGUGAUCUUGAGGCUGAUUUAUAUAUUUAUCACUAGUUUGUGUGGAUUUGAUAUUGAUAGUCCUACUCCGAUGGCAAGGAUAGGACGACUCUCCCCAACGUGGGUUGUACGUUGAACUCCAUGUAGCUCACAUGGGUUAUGUCGAUUAUAGGAUCUCCCAGUGUGUGUGUUUUUCCUUGUGUCUAUGGUGAACGGUGAAGUGAUUUGAAAGUGGAAUUGUGAAAGUUACUCUUUCAAAAGAUUUAAAUGAUAUUUACAUUAUGAGAAUUGAUAUUCUUGAUGAACUGAAAGUGUUUGACAAAUUAUAUGAUGACUCACAUGUGUUAUUAUACUUAUUUUAUCCUCUCAUGAUUAUGAUGAUUUUCUUCGGGCUAUGUGAGUCUUUUCAUACAUCUGCAUAUUUCUUAUAAAUAUUUAUGAUGAUGAUGUUUAUACAACUGCAUACACCCCUAUAUACUCAGUUCCUUUCCAUGGUACUGACCCACAUCUUCGGAUGUGGGCUGUGUUUUCUCGGAAUAUACGUUCAGGUGCUCAGUUCCAGGUUCGACAGUGAUUCUUUAGGCAUAUUGUUCUACAUCCUCUGUUUUGGUGAGUCCUCAUGUUCCGAUGACGUAAUGUCUGAUGUUGGUUUCACGGAAUUGUUUACAUUUAAUAACUGAGUAUUGGGGUAUGUCUCAAUUGCUUGCUGGUUUUAUUGAUUCUCUUAGAGGCUUGUCAAACUAGUAUAGAUGUUGGGAGUUGACUAGUAAGUCGUAUUUUGUUAUCUUUCUGAAAUUCUUCUAUUCUUGGAUGAUUAUUACUCUGUUGAUAUUUGAGGGUUAUUUAUGAAAACCCCAUUGAUUUGUGCUGAACUGAAUGAAAAUGGCUCAAAGGGUUAGCUUGGGGCUACUCGUAGCCUUAAGCACUGUGUGACGCUCCGGGACCCAUUUUCCGGGGCGUUACACAAUCAACCCUUGUGGAGUUCGAUGGAUUCUUAUACCUAAGAUUACAUCUGCAACUCCAAGGUCUUUCAUAUCAAACUUGCUUUCGAGCAUUCAUUUUGUUGCAUUUAUAUUAGAAAUGUCUCUACUGAAGAUCAACAUAUCAUCCACAUAUAAACAUACAAUGACUUGGUAAUUUGGAGUGUCUUUAAUAUAAACACAUUUAUCACAUUCAUUUAUUUUGAAUCCGUUUGGCAGCAUUGUUUGGUCAAACUUCGCAUGCCAUUAUUUUGGUGCUUGCUUUAGUCCAUAUAAUGACUUGAUAUGUUUACACACCUUGUUAUCCUUUCCUGGAAGCACAAAACCCUCAGGCUGUUCCAUAUAUAUUUCUUCCUCUAAUUCUCCAUUUAGGAAAGUGGUUUUCACAUCCAUUUGAUGGAUUUGAAGAUCAUAUACCACCGCUAAGACAAUUAAUAUUCAAAUAGAUGUUCUCCUUGUUACUGGCGAGUAUGAUCAAAGUAAUCAAGGCCUUCUUUUUAUUUGAAGCCCUUUACUACAAUUCUUGUCUUGUAUUUGUCAAUAGUGCCAUCCGCUUUCAUCUUUCUUUUGAAAAUCUACUUAAAACCUAAAGGUUUAUUUCCAGGAGGAAGAUCAAACAAUUCCCAUGUAUGGUUUCUUAAGAUUGAAUCAAUUCACUAUUGAUUGCCUCUUUCCAAAAGGAUGAGUCCGAAGAUGCCAUCGCUUCCCUAAAUGUUUUAGGCUCAUUUUCUAAGAGAAAUGUUACAAAAUCUGAUCCAAAUGAAGUAGACAUUCUUUGACGUAUAAUACGUCUUGUAUUUUCUUCAUUAUGUACAUUCUCACUUGGUUCAUCUUGAGGUCGUUUAGAUCCUCCAUUAGACUGUUUAUGUCUAAUUUUAUACGGAUAAAUGUUUUCAAAGAAUUCAGCAUUGUCUGAUUCAAGUAUCGUAUUUUCAUUAAUAUCCGAAUGUUCGGAUUUAUGAACCAAAAAUUGACAUGCUUUACUACUUUUAGCAUAUCCUAUGAACAUGCAUUCCACCGUCUUAGGUCAUAUAUUAACCCUUUUAGGAAUAGGAAUUUGGACCUUUGCUAGAAACCCCCACACUUUGAAAUAUUUCAAGUUGGGUUUUCUUCCUUUCCAUUUUUCAUAAGGAAUUGAUUGUGUCUUACUAUGGAGAACUCCGUUGAGUAUACGAUUGGCUGUAAAGAUAGCCUCUCCCCAUAAUUUUUGUGGUAAAUUGGAAUGUACAAGCAAGACAUUCAUCAUUUCCUUCAAAGUUUGAUUUUUUCUUUCUGUAAUUCCGUUAGUUUGAGGUUAAUACGGGGUCGUAUUUUGAUGAAUGAUUCCAUUCUCUACAAAUAUUUCGGUGAAGGGAGAUUCAUAUUCUCCGCUCCUAUCACUUCUUAUUAUUUUUAUCUUUUUAUCUUAUUGAUUUUCAACUUUAAUUUUAUAUUGCCUAAACGCAUCUAUUGCUUCAUCCUUACUAUUUAUCAAAUAGACAUCACAAUAUCUAGUGCACUCAUCAAUAAAAGUUGUGAAAUACUUUUUCACACCAAGUGAUGGUGUUGACUUCAUAUCACAAAUGUUAGUGUGUACUAAGUCUAAAGGAUUGGAAUUCCUUACAACGGACUUAUAAGGAUGCUUUGCAUACUUUGAUUCUACACACGUUUGACAAUUUGAUUUAUUGCACUCAAAGUUUGGCAAAACUUCCAAGUUAAUCAUUUUUCAUAACGUUUUAUAAUUAACAUGGCCUAAACGUUCAUGCCAUAAAUCAUAAGACUCAAGAAAAUAAGAAGAAUUUGAACUUUUAUUUAUUUCAACAGUCAUUACAUUAAUCUUAUAAAGUCCCUCGGUGAAAUAGCCUUUUCCUACAUACAUUUCACCUUUUCUAAUUAUAAUUUUUUCAGAAAUAGUUAAACAUUUGAAUUCGUUCUUAUCAAGAAGUGAAAUAGAAAUUAAGUUCCUAUGUAAUUUUAGAACAUACAACACAUUGUUAAGUGUCAAGACCUUGGCCGAAGUCAUUUUCAAGCACACUUUUCGUGUUCCUUCCACCUUAGAAGUAGCGGAGUUAGCCAUAUAGAUCAUUUCUUCUACUUGAGAUGGAGCAAAUGAUGAAAACAACUCUUUGUUGGCACAUAUAUCGUGGGUGGCACCAGAAUCUAUCUACCAUUUAUGAGGAUUCCUCACCAAGUUGUAUUCUGAGAACAUAGCACAUAAAUCAUCGCAUUCUUUGUUGGAUUCAAUCAUAUUUUCUUGAUCCUUUAUCUUUCCUUUCUUUGGGGCACGACAAUCCAUGCACUUGUGGCCAAUCUUACCACAAUUGAAGCAUUUUCCCUUUAAUUUCUUCUUGGGUUGAUUGCUUCCUUGUUCAGCUUUCUUUCUUUUCAUAGAAUUGUUUUGAUCAUCUUUUACAAUAUGUGCUCCAUUAAUUGUAGAAUUCCCUUUUGACCUUCUCUCGGCAGCUUUAUUGUCCUCUUCAAUAUGCAGUCAGACAAUAAGAUCUUCGACAUUCAUUUCUUUGCGUUUAUGCUUCAAGUAGUUUUUGAAGUCUCUCCACAAAGGUGGUAGCUUCUCAACUAUCGCUGCUACGUGAAAUGCAUCAUUGACAAUCAAACCUACAAAACAUUUUAUGUGAGUAUUAAGAACUUUUUUAAUUUGUUCAACUAAGAUAUUUUUCAAAGAUAUAACUCCGGCUAGGAGAUCAUGUAUGGUGACUUGCAACUCCUACACUCGAGAGGCAACCAAUUUGUUAUAUAUUAUUUUAAAGUCCAGGAACCAUGCAACAAGGAAUUUCUUAAUUCCCACAUCCUCUAUUUUAUAUUUUCAUUCAAGUACCCCCACAAUUCCUUCAAUGUCGUAGUUCCACUGUAGACAUUGUAUAGGUCGUCUUGGAUACCACUCAGAAUAUAAUUCCUGCAAAGGAAGUUUGAAUGUUUCCAAGCUUCUAGAAUUAUGAAACACUCUUUGUCUGAAGUUCCCUUGGGCACCUCAGGAGCGUCUUCGCUAGUGAACCGUUGCAGACACAAAGUGGUGAGGUAAAAGAACAUCUUUUGUUGCCAUCGUUUAAAUUCAAUGCCCACAAAUUUUUUGGGAUACUCCGCUGGUGCCGUUAUAGGCGGAGCAUUUGUGCGACUUGAUGUGGCAAUAUUAGUUUCCCCCACAGACGUUGUUGCAUCUUGCAUUUGACUAUCUCUUGUCAUUUUUCCUGUCAUAACAAGACAAAAAUACAUAGUAUUUUCAUAAUACUACUUAUAAAGUUAAGAAACUUUAAGCUUUUCUUCUUGUUUCUAGUUGACAAUGAUGUUUUUGUGACUUCCAAUUGUCAACCAAAUGAUCUUUAACUUAUGAUGAAGUUUUUAUGACUUCAAAUCACUAGUUAAGUUCAGGCGGAGUAGAAAGUUAAAACUUUAAUCUCCAGAAACAAGCUAUACAGAUUCUGGAGUUAUUUCCUUAUGAUUGUUAUCUCCUUCUACGGGUACACAGAAUCUGUAUAUGUAGAACAACAACUUCAAAUUUAGUUCUAUGUUGAAAAACAAGAACAAAAUGAAGUGCAGUAAAUACCCUCAACACAAGAUCAAAGUAAUCUUUCUAACAGGUGUAUUUGAAUUUUAGAAAUAAAGAUGAAAACAGAAAUGGCCAUGUCGCCCGAAUUCACGGACUUUCCUUAAGAAAAUAAUUGCCCUCACUGUACCCAAGGUUGCAAAAUUUUCUUGGCAGGAUAAAAUAUUCAAACAAACCAAUUGUAGUGGUACCUUAAACAACUGAAAUAUCUUCGAACGCACAAAACGUUUUUAUUGAGCACACAGAGUAAUUUUGAAGUCAGGAAGAGUUUUGUAUUCUAAAAAUCUCUUCUAAAAAGAGGCAAUGGUUCAUGUCAAAGGUUACACAUUUUCUGUAAAUUCAUGUCUAUUCAUCCAAAGAUUGCAUUCAUGUAUGUUCAUCCAAAGAUUGCAUCUUUUCCUGAACAACCAUCUCUCUCCAUGAAUCAAUGUGUCCUUUUGCUGAAGGAUUGCAUCCUUCUGAAAGCAUGCAUAAAUGGAGAAUACUAUUGCGUUUUGGUUGAUUCGGAUCAUCAAAUAAAAUUUGUUCCAAAAGAUAGAUCUCAUCGAUCGAUCAUUUUCAAAAUCCAAAUCAUUUUCUGAAGCCGAAGCCGAAGCGACGACGACGACGGCGCAAGGCAUCUAUUAUUCCUUGCCUCACUUAUCCAUGUGGGAGUGUGUUUCACAAUAUAAACACUUUAAAGCUUCUUUCUCCCACCAAUGUGGGAGAAUUUUGUAAGCUUUCCUAUUUUUGAGUACACUUUCCAUAUUGGUGUGAUCUCAAUUUUUCUGUUCCACUUGGUUUUCUCCAUUUUCCAUUCAUACCUCUCAUUUACUAUGAACCCAAAAACUUUUACACCAGACUUAUUGCAAAUCUCUUUCUUACAAAUCAAAAGUUUAGUAUUCCUAACUAGAAAAUUUUAAUGAUUAAUAUUUUAGCUAUGGCAGUGGAUAUUGAAGGACUAUAUAGUUAAGUAAGAACAUGGAUAUUCUUCAAUACUUACAAUAAUAAUACCUUUGAUAUUGUCAUUGGUAAUGGGAAAUUCAAGACUUCUAUCCUUCUUAACUCUUAGAAGGACAUCAAUUAGGUCUUCAUCUCCCAAUGCAUCAUCAUCCUUGUGAGCUGUUGCAAGGUUUUGUUGUCUUUCAAAGUUUGCGGGUAUAAGAAUCUGUAAUUUGACACAAUAACUUCAACACUAGUUCAAGUUUAAAACAAGAACACUAUGAAGUACAGCAACACCCUCAACACAAGAUCAAAGUGAUCUUUCUAACAAGUGCGUUUUAUUUUUUCAGAAAUUAAGAUGAAACAGAAAUGUAAAACCACGUCCCCAGACUUCACGGAGUUUCCUUAAGGAAUAAUUCCCCUCACUAUACCCGAGAUUUUUAAAUCUUCCUCCCAGGAUAAAAUGGCUUUCAAUUCAACUAUAGUGGUACCUUAAUUAAUUAGAUUCGUCGAACUCACUCAACGAUUUGAUUGAUAACAAGGAAUGUUUUGAAGACAAGAAGAGUUUGUAUUUUAGAAAAAAUUUUCAUACCAAAACCUUUGGAUGAAUGCAGGUUUAUAUAGUCAUUACACGCCUCUUCCGAAAGGUGGCAGUGUUUCAUCCGAAAAGGUGGCAAUGGUUCAUCCGAAAAGGUGUAUCUUUGGAAGAGUCAUGUUUAUUCAUUCGAAACAUUGUGUCUUUUUUUAAACAGACACAACUAUCUGAACAGUCACUCCUUUUCUAAAAUAAUAUGUCUUUUCAUAAAAAGUUGUGUCCCUCCAUUUUCCGUUCACACCAAUUGAACCCAACAGGUUCUUCAUGCACUCAUUGAUGAUAUCCUCAACAAUUGAAUCUACCUGACGAUGGACAUCUAGAACUUUUUUUCUUAGUUUUACUAAGAGAAUGAAGAAACUUGUAUGAAGGUAAGAUGUCAGCCACAUCAAAGCCUCGUGCUAAUCUUACCACUUCUCCAAUUAGUUUUAUAAACUUGUCUUGCUCCUUUAGUACUUGCCCAAAUGCGGAUAGAGUCAAUGAGAAGAAUGGCUUCUUCAUUUCUAAUUGAGCUAAACGAUCGGACAUUUUUGGCACUUAGUAGUUCCAUCACACAAAUUUUACGCAUUUGUCUCCAGUAUUCACCAGUUAAAAUAGAUAUGGUCAAGUGUCAUGAAAAAUCUAACAAAACAAAUCCUGGAUGACGGUAACUAAGACAACAACAAAAAAUAUAUCAAAACAGACACAACAAUAUAACAUGGAUUGGCCAAGUAUUAACCUACAUAUGAGUAGAUCAGGUUUACAUUCUCCCACUAAAAGGGACUCCUUUUAGCAUUUUAUUGUGGAUGCAAUAUAUUAAUUGAAAAAAAAAAAAGGAUUCUAAAUUUUUUCAUACAUAUAUUUUUUCUAAGUAAAGUAAAAUUAAUUAUGAAAAAAUUGUACUUUUGUCCGUGAAGAAAAAGUAAAUUCCUAAUAUAGUGGAAAUAUAUUAGGGAAAACACCUAUUUAAGACUCACCGUAGGGGAUAAAGGCAAUGUCGCACCUAUUGUAAAAGACAAUAUCCGUGGACAUGAGUUAAGGCCUAGAUGCAAAAGUGAGGUCAUGAGUCUUUAGUACUUAUUUAGCCAACUCAGAAGAAGUAACAACAACUGAAGAAAAUUCACCAAACUGAAGAUGCAUGAGCGGUCCAUAUUUUUUGGCUAAAUCUCUAAAGACGUGGUAUGGAGGUCCACUAGCGAUGUGAUGCAUAUUUCCUAUAAGAGGAAAUUUCCAUGGACCUGGAGGAAGUCUUCAAAAUUCAUUUGCAUAUGCUCUUAUUUAUAGGUUUCUGGUUUGAUUGGCUAAUAAUGGGACACGUUGAAACAAAUAUAAUAGCGUUAUUUUCAGUAACUUGGAAUUCAAUAAGUCAAAUAAUUGCCCAUAUAAAGACUCUAAUAAGGUGGCUGGGAAAUUGAUUUUAUAAUUAGUAGUUGCCAGCUUGGAAUUCAAUCGGUCCUACCAAGCUGUAGCAAUUUUGACUGAUGUGGAGUCGAGGUGUAAGGCGAGUCAUUUUAUUGAUAUUGAAUAAGGGGUAAAUCUCAAAAAAUGAAUUAUAUUUUUUUUUUUUUUUUUUGCUCCGGAAUGUUUCUGAUAAGUUUAUCCUAGGACUCACUCAAAAACUCUUUUAGAAACAGUGAUGUGGACAACAUGUAAGGUUUUUGGUUAAGUUAGAACAGUUAGGGGUAUUUUUGAACCAAAAUAAUAAGGGAAAGGGCAUUUUUAAACCAAAUAUUAAUGGCAAGACAUUUUUGAACCAAACUAUUAAUGGGUGACAUUUUUGUCCAAUUUCAAAUCAAAGUCAAUACGAUAGGGAAUAUAUAAAAUUUCUCUUGGCUUUUUUGUUUUUUGAGACUCCAAACAAACUACCAGCUCAUGUUGUUCGUUGGGUAAACAUUGGGUAAAUCCAAACAGUUUAUAAAUGAUAUAGGAGAUAUAAAUUGUCCUAGACAAGUCCGAAACGAUAAGCUCGAUUGAAAAGGCAUUGACAAGAAAAAUCAAUUCCUCAACUCACUUAUGAGAUACCACCAGUUGCACCAACGUAGUAGGCCCUAUGGGUCGACAUUUCUGUCAACGGAUGGAAAAGAAUCUAUAUAUAAUAUAAAGGAGAGUCAUAGACAAGGUGAUGUGGCACCAGCCUAUGACCUCUAUUCCUAUUUAUCUAUUUUUUCCUUUUUUUGAGCUUUUUCUAAUUUUUUAAAAUUAUUUUUUUUUCAUAAAAAAUCCUAUGUAUAAUUCACAUCUUUUCAUCUUCAUAACACCUACUCUUAAUUAGUACUACUAACAUCUAUAACUCCCAAAGCUUUCAUGUUUAUAACUCUAAUUAUUUAAUAAAUAAUUUUAUGAUCCUUAAAAUUUCACAUAAAUAAUACUUCUAUUUAAAUAAAAUUGUUUUGAGUAUAUUGACUAUGAUAAACUUUCAAGUGAAGGGGAAACUCCAUUAGGGUCAAAAUUAGUAUUGUGAGGUUCGAUCAUUGGUAUUUGUACAUAGCUUUUUUCAUGUAGUAUUUGGUCUUUGUAAUGUAAAUAUCUCAUGGGGUAAAUUUGUGCUAGUACAUAUUUCAAUAGCUUUUUAUUCUGGGGUUUCAUAUAUGCUAUUGAUUGUCCGUCUUAUGAAGUUUCUAUAGCAAUCAAUGUGCUGCUGCUACCUAUUUUUUUUUUUUUUAACCUUAUUUUAGAAUGAUUUGAAUAUGUUAUGCAAUAUAUUAUAUCUUGUUCCUCUAACUCUUAAAUUUUCUUCUAUUUUUCAUACUUAGUUUUUUCUACUAUUUUAGAAUGAUUUGAUUAUGUCAUAUUGUAAUAGAGUUCAUCUUUUCCUUACAAUUCUUAACUAUAGUAUUGCUUACAUUUUCAUUUUUAUUUUUUGAUGACAUUAACAUUUUGUGUCUCCAGGGUAUUAUGUUUUUGAAAGUGAGGAAAGAGAAAUAACUCAUACGUGCAUGUUGCUUAAGAAACUAUAUAUAUUUUCUUAGACAAAUUUUUAAUAAAUCUAUUGAUAGAAAAUAAGAAUGUAAAGUUAAUUUGCAGUAUUUUCUAUUAUAUAGUUUAGUUCAUGAAAGUUAUUUAUUCAUAUUAAAAUGCUAUCUUUUUUUCUUUUUUUUUUUUUGAUUAAACUUCUUAAUAUUUUUAGGUUUUCAUAGAUCAUUAUAAUAAAUGGCAGAAUCAAGAUUUUUAUUAAGGGGGUUAAAAAAGGCACACGUGAACUAGCCGGAGGAAGAUUGGAUGAACUCCUAAGUUUAUACUAGCUUUGCCCCUAAUUACAAUCAUAUGUUGCUUUACCUUUCAAGAUUACUACCUAAAAAAAUGUAAAAGAUAUUAUAUUUGAUAAAUUAUUUAGUAAUGAUAUGUCUUUCACAAACAUACGUGGCUAAUGAAAAGACAACAAGAUUCAUGCAUAAAUUUUUCAUUUAAUUAUAAUCUCAUUAUCAUUGUAUUUAUGAUUAAUAUUUAAUUAUAUCAUUUGUCAUAAAAAAAUCUUUCGUCUCUAUUGAUACACCCCACCAUAUUGCUCUACUAUAUGAGCUUAAAAUCGCACAACUACACUCUUUACUAUUUAACAUUUUGUAACAGUGUGAUUAUGAUCAAGACUAUAAGGAAAAAAGAAAACAUUAAUUAUACGUGGCAGGCAAAAGGUUUGGACAAAUAUAUGAUGGAGGUGGAUGCCUAUUGAAGCUGUCAAAGUAUAACACUAGAGGUUUUUGCUACAACUUGAAAAGUAUUAGCAUCAAUCAAAUUAUUAUAUUUAUUUUUCUCAAUUUAAAAAUUUAAGAUUUGUAUUAAUAUUCUCUCAUUUUUACAAAAAAUAAAAUAAAAUUAUUCCUCCUAAUUUCUUUUUAGUUAAUCUAAAUAAAACAUUGUAAUUGAAGUUUAGUAUUUCAAAAUGUACAAUAAUUUAGUAAUAAUCAAAUUUGACAUUUGAAAAUCUUACGAGUUGUCACAAGUAAAAAGAAGUUUUUUCAUAACGUAUUACACUUAUACAAAAGUUUUUUUUCGCGAGAAAUUUUUACUAGAACGAUAAUAACAAUAUGAUACGAGAAUGACCAUGGAGAUGGACAUAUGUGAGAUGUAUUAAACCCGAGACUUAGAGAGUGCAAGUGAAGUGCAAAGGAGGGCCUAAAUAGUCUCUGAAACAGUCCACAAACUAUACUCAAAGGACACCUAAAGUGAAGCCUUUGACUAAGGGGCCUUUUGGAUAUUUCACACAAUUUUUGUAACCUACUAUAAAUAGAAUAUGUUAGGUCAUUUACUACUUAGAAUUUGAUGAUAUUUGUAAGUUUUAUGACACUUUGAAACUCUCUCUCUUGUGAGAAUGGCCUCCUUGGCCAAAACUAGAGUGAUACUAGUGUGAAAUCACUAGUGUUGCAUUCAUGGCUUGAUACGUUGGUGUUUAGAGGAGGUAAAGUCCCUCUUGUGUCAACGUAAGAUAUAGGUUAAUCAUUGUAUGUAGUGUUAAGGGUCCAAGAGUACCACAUUCUUGGUUUCUUAGAUUAUAUCAACCCUUUGGUUUAUCUAUCUAUCCCUUUGUUCAUUGUAAUCUUGUAACCAUUAUGUGUUGUUAUCUCAAGUCGUGUUGUGUUGUUGUUCCUUAUAUUGUUUUUGUUCAUCCUUGUUAUUCAUAUUGUUGUUGUUAAUAUAGUUUGGGUGGCUGAUUUGAUGUUCAAAACACCUUGUAUUCUUGUCAUCCUCUUCUUGUUAUUGUUGGCAGUUUGUGUAGCUGUUGGGUUCACAGUUGUGCUUGAAUUAUGGACUGUUUUUGGGCUAAUUUGCUACAUUCCUUGUGUGUAGUGUAUCAUUCUGACCAACUAGUAAUGUGGUGCUUGUUAACUUAUUUUGUGGAGGUUUUAUAGUAUUAAUACACUCUUUAGUUGCUGCAUUAUGAGUUCUGAUUGUGUGAAGUUACUUAUCUUCUUUAUCGUUUAAGUUUGAGUUUGUUAUUUCCGUUUAGUGUCUUGUGCGUGUGGACUAUUUGUGUGUUUGUGGACUAUUUUUGUGCUCUUUUAGAUACCGUUUGGUACCAUUUGGUAUCAAAGCUCAAGGCUUGAUUUUGUUCUAACAAAAUCAAUCUUGGGAAGAUCUUACCAAAGUUAGAAACAUUGUGUUGUUGUUGGACCUUGGCCGAAACUUGUAAUCUUGUGGUGGUGACUUGGCCAAAAGUUUUAUGACUAGAUCUAGUAUAUUUUUACAUUCCUAAUGUGUUUGUAGUAUUGGUUUCUUUCUCCCCAACACUAAAAGUGUCUAGAUCUAAAGUUGAGCAUAUAAUAUUGACUAAUAUGGAGGUGACUUGAAUUUGGCCGUCUGUUGAAGAUUGGUGGACAAUUGGUGUUGUUGUUGUUGUGUUCUUGAGAAGUUGUUGUUAUGUUCUUGAAGUUUUUUAUUGUGUUCAUCUUGUUCACACCUAGUCUUAUAGCUUAAACUACAAAGUGCAAACUUGAUUCAAAAAGGUUAAGUUAAAGUUGUAAAGUUUGUUGGUAUGAAGACUUGAACCAUCAAUUCCUAGACUUGACAUCAACUUUUUCAACUACUAUCCUUAAAUCAAGGAGCCUUGUUUGGUGGAACUAUUACAAGUCAAGAUCUUCUUUUUUUUUUUUAGAAUAAAUUUACAAAAGACUUAAGACUUAUACUUUCCCUCCAACACCAAUUGUCUCUCAUUCUAAAUUGUGUGAAGGUUGAAAAUUUCAAAUUUGUGACUAAGUUUUGUGGGCGCGAGACAAAUUGCAUACUGCCACGUCACCACUUUCUACUGUUCACAUCAAUAAUUAAGCUCAAAUUUGGAUUUUUCUAGUUUCUAAUUGUUGAUUCUUGGUUUCGUUAGUUGAUCCCGGAACUAAUUAACAAACUAGUAAACUCCUGCUAGAUUGUCAAUUCGUUGUUGUGUCUACAUUAUUUUGUGCCUUUCUUGUUUAUGAAUCGUAGAAUUUCUUGGUUCAAGUUUGGACAUAAUUUCCUUGAGUCUUCAAAUAAAGAAUCCAUUCCGACCAAAGAGUAGACUCACCCCUCGACUCAUGACGAACUACAAGUCGACUUACAACAUUUGUGAAUCCAAGUGUGAUAUGAUCAAGUAUGUGAGAGUGUGGUGAGGUUUUUCCAAACUAACUUGUUCUAUGUUUUGUAGGAUUGUUCUUUUCUUUCCUUUUUUUAGGUACAAUUACAAGAGAACCCGCAUCUUCAACCUCUCAACUUAUGGACAACAAUUCCACCAAUGUCAUUUUGGCCUACCUUGACAUUAUGUCCCGAUACCUAACUAUGGAAAAUAAAAGGUUGGAUCAUAUGGUAGGUCAAAGGGAGCAAGUGGGAUGCCCGGAUACACAUCAAGAGGAAGGUCAUAGGUCAUGUGAGCUACGAGGUAAAAACGCUAUCCCCUACACUCCUAUAACUUAGUAUGUUGUGUUAUGGCUAGUAGAAACCAAGUAGGUGUAGUUAUGGCUUUUUCUAGGGUAGAGGUGCUUGAUUCAUCCUUUUGUGACACUCUUGGUGAUGUUAGGUCGCGGGAGGACUAAACUCUUAUUGUAAGUAUGCAAGCACUAGUUGAUCCUUUAGAUGAUGAAAUUGAUUCUUCUCGUAAGAACAAUUUGUGUCCAUCUAGUGCUAGCCCUUAUAACCCGAGUAAGACUCUAUUACCAAUUGACGAGAUUAUUCACACACUAGUUGACCUUUGUGCGAGCGAAGGUGUUCUAUGUUGGUAUGUGAGUUGCCAAUAACUAGUGAGGAUAUGAAUGAAGAUCAACUUACUCAUGAAUGUAUUCCACUCCUUGAGCAUAUGUGUGGUGUACUUGAAAAAUAUCAUGUUAGUGAUGGUGUUUAUAGGGUUGAUCUUGGUAGUGCACGUGACUCUUUGAACAUCUUGUGUGGUAAAAGCCUUGCUAGUAGUUUUGUUCAUAGAGAUCAUGUGUAUGGAAAUAUUGUAAAUGAUGGCAUAUGUAUUUUUGAGGUAGGACUUCUAGGUCGUAUCACUCUAUUCUUGAAUAUUAGUCUUCUCUUAAAGGCAAAUGUCAUACGUGAUUGUUAGAGUGACAUUCUAGGGGAAGGAAGGGUUAGCCUUGGCUUAGACCCUUGGCUACUUCUCUCAUUUGAUCCUGACGCCCUCUCGGAAUGUGGGAAUUUCUACAUUUCCCACUUAAUACUUGUUCAAGCUGACAAGAAAUGUUUGAUUGUGGGGGAUAAUAAAGGAAGGCAAGGUUCUUCCUUACCUCUUUUUGUUGAUGAUUACCUUUUCCUUUGUGCCAUUUAUGCUAAGGUUUUCAUGUUCAGCACAAAGGACUUAUGGGUAUACUCCAAGUAUUUCCCACCUCGGCAUGGCUUGUGAUGUGUGUAUUUUACAAAUCCUAACCCUCAUGUCAUGAGGAUAUUUUUCUUCUUUGUCCUUCUUUUAUUUUUCAAGGAGCGGAUUUGAGGUCGAAUCCUUUUUCAAGAAGGGGAGGAUGAUACUAGAAUGACCACGGAGAUGGACUUAUGUGAGAUGUAUUGAACCCGAGACUUGGAGCGUGCAAGUGAAGUGCAAAGGAGGGCCUAAAUAGUCUCCAAAACAGUCCACAAACCACACUCCAAGGGCACCUAAAGUGAAGCCUUUGACUAAGGGGUCUUUUGGACAUUCCGCAUAAUUUUUGUAACCUACUAUAAAUAGAAUUUGUUAGGUCAUUUACUACAUAGACUUUGAAGAUAUUUGUAAGUUUUAUGACACUUUGAAACUCUCUCUCUUGUGAGAAUGGCCUCCUUGGCCGAAACUAGGGUUAUGCUAGUGUGAAAUCGUUAGUGUUGCAUUCAUGGCUUGAUAUGUUGGUGUUUAGAGGAGGUAAAUUUCCUCUUAUUUCAAUGUAAGAGAUAGGUUAAUCAUUGUAUGUAGUGGUACGGAUCCAAGAGUACUACAUUCUUGGGUUCUUAAGAUUAUAUCAAACCUUUGGUUUAACUAUCUAUCCCUUUUGUUCAUUGUAAUCUUGUAACCAUUAUGUGUUGUAAUCUCAAGUCGUGUUGUGUUGUUGUUCCUCAUAUUGUUUUUGUUCAUUCUUGUUAUUCAUAUUGUUGUUGUUAAUAUAGUUUGGGUGGCUGGUUUGAUGUUCAAAACACUUUGUAUUCUUGUCAUCCUCUUCUUGUUAUUGUUGGCAGUUUGUGUAGCUGUUGGGUUUACAGUUUGUGCUUGAAUUAUGGACUAUUUUGGUACAUUCCUUGUAUGUAGUGUAUCAUAGUAUGAAUUUAAUUGAUCACAAAUUUAUAAUGUUUGAAUAGUGAAAGCUUUACAAUAUACUCUAUGGCUGGAAAAAUAUUUUUGUGUAUAUUGAUAUAAUACUACAUGUGUGUUUGGUAUCAUUGUAUAAAAUCCUAAUAUUCUACAAUCGAGUUUCAUACAGUCCUUUAAUUAUAUUUUUAAUAUUUUUUAAAAUAUUAAAUUGUAUAUUUAAUAACGUAUUUCAUAACCUUGCAAAGAGCAACUAAAUUUACUAGUUUAUAAAAUAACUGUCACGACCCAAAUCGGGGCCCUAGCCGUGACGAGCAUCCCAAAUUAUGAAAGCUCGGAUGCCCUUCUAACUUGUAAGGACAUACACUAUCCUCAUAUGAAAAAUAUAAUACGGAAAUACCUAAUGAAACGGAAUCAUGGUCAUUAAAUUUGAAUUCAAAUCUUAAUGAAAACUGCAAUUCAAAAAAUCUGAGUUAUAUCUGACUCAGUCUGUGAAAUUUCUACUACAUGCAUCAACCCAACUGUUUGAAAACUAGGACAAGGCUCUCAGUAAACCAAAACAUAAUAAUUAUAAAUUACUAAGUAAUCUAGGCCUUCUGAAAUAUAGAAGGCUCACCACGGAACUCUGCACUUCUAUCUGGAGAAACCCUACUACUUAUGGGGACUCCUAGAUUGAGCCUCAGAACUUGGAAGGGAGGGAGGUCAACACAGAUGUAUUGGUACGCAGAGAAAUCCAAAAUAAUGUAUUUAUAUAUAACAUAAGUGAGAGCAAUUUAUAAAAAUUUUUACAUAUAAUAUAUGAAAACACAUGGGCACAUUUUAAAAACUUUGAAACAUUUUUUUGAAACCAUGACUCACUCUUUGUCUUAAUUUUGAGCUAGAUGGUACACCCUACAAUCUGAAAUUCUAUGGGAUAUAUGGAAUCCAUCCUUGACUCGAAGGCCAAGCCCCCAAUCCAAGUUUGCUGCAAGGAUUGGAGUAUCUAUAAGGGGGCACGUAAGAUCACACAGCAGGGUGCCAAAAUCCCCAAUCAAAUCAACAUGUCAUGGUAGUGUACAAGAUCACAAAGAAGGGCUCCUAACCAUAGUCCCAAUUUGGGAUGACAUGAAUCAAGGUACACAAGAUCACAAGGCAUGGUAACAAUCCCGUGUUGGCAAAUCACGGUUUUUAGCAUAGAGUCUUUUAACUCGUACCUUCUUCGGGUAACCAUCUAACUUUCUUUAAGCCCAUUUUUAAACCUUUUCUAAACAUGCAUCUUUUUGAAUUUAUAAUAUGAAAAUAUGACUUCAAACAUGUGUUAUAUUCUGUUCUGAAUUACUAUCGCUUUAGCUGAGUUGGUAUCGUCAAACCAAGACUUGCAAGUCCUAUUUCUGAUCCAUAUUGUACAAUGCAUGAUUCUUUAAUUAAAACAUAAUUCAGAUCACCCAAGCAUGCAAAUAGUAUAGAAAAUUUCAUGUUCCGAAAGCACAAGUCAAAACCAUGCUAAGAUUCUCAUUCUUUCAAUAACCAUGUGGUGGUCAUGUAUUUUUGGCAAACAUGCAAUCUUUCAUUAAAAGUGUAUUCAGUAUUUAUCAAUAUGCACAACCCUCUCUUUUGGAUUCAAAAUCAUAUUCAAGUCAUAGCAAUAAUCAAUACAUUUCAAACACAAUUCAUAUCAUAUAAAAUAUGGGAAAAAUCAUAACAAGAGAGGAUUCUUUAGGAUUCAUGCUCUCAAUUGUAUAUUCAUCCUUAAACACAUGCAUACAUAUACGUAGAGUUUCAAAUCAAUUUGGGGGAAGGCCUAAAGACCAAAACAAUAAUGAUCAAGGCUUCUAAAACAUGCUUGUAAUUGUAAAUUCAAAACCCUUUUCUUAAAAAUCAUGAUUUCUAAACCGCUAGCAUGAAUUAAAGAUGGUUUCUUUUCCCAUGAAAUUUUAGGAUAACCCUAUGUACCUUAAUUUAUGACUCUUGAAUGAACUGAGGCUUUAGGGAUGCUAUUCGAACAAUUGAUGGGUGGUUCUUGUAGCACUCACAAUGAGGAUUCUGAAUCUCGAAGAAUUAUUGAAAACCCACAGUGAAAUCUUGAGAUAUUUUGAUCUUUGGGUUGAAAGUUCAUGGUGAUUUUGAGAGAGAAUGACCUUAUUUUGGUGUUUGGGGGAUUUAAUCCCGUGUUAUGCCUGAACAGGGGGUGGAAAUUACCACUUUUUCCCUUAAAAAUGCAAAAACAGGACCUAAAAAUUGGGUGCAUGCGAUAGAGCGUGAGUCACACGCUAAUCGCGCAAUGCUACUGUUUCAGUCACGAAAAUGGCCAUAACUUUUUGCUCAGAUAUCGGAUUUUGGCAUAAAUAGUAUCGUUAGAAAGAUAAUUCGAAGAGAUUUCAUUUAAUAUAUAGUAGGACCUCUAAUUCGUUAUAUACAAAGAGUAAUAGUCGAUUCAAUUUGACCCAAGUUUCGAUGCUCAUUCAAACUCGAAUGAUAGGAAAGUUUUCAACUCGUCCUUGAGUUAGGGUACCUCUAUUAUCUCAAUUCAUGAUCAAAUAGGUUCCCACACUACAUGAUUGAUUAACAUGCCAAAUUUGCAUAGGAUUUAUGGCUUUUGGAUCAUCUACACAUAGAAAUGACGGUUUUCGUUCUAGCCCGAAAUGCGGGGUGUUACAAUAUUGAUAAAGUCUUAGGCUGGCAAGCUGAAAGUCUUGAAAAACAAUUACUAUUAAGAAUAAAAUAAAAAUUUUGAACUUGUAUAAUGACAAAUUAUUUAGACAAAUAAUUUUGAGUAGUUUUCAAAAUCCUCGCUGCCACUCUUGCAAGUAUAUAGUCAAAGUAAGGCAACAAUUAUUAUAUAAGUUAAUAUUCUUCCAAAUUUGAAUUAAGAAAAUAUGACUAUGCUCACAGUCAACUUACAUACAACUAAAAAAAUAUUAGAAAAUUUAUUGUAUGUCCCUAUACCACACUAUAUAUACUUGCUCUUUGUCUUCCAUUUAAGUCAUCAGCUCUCAACUUAAGUGUUACUUACUUGUUUCUUCCAUAUUUAAGUUAAGUGUUACAUUCUUUAUUACUUAAAAUAAGAAGAAAUACUUUCAUAUUUAGCAAUGGCCUCAACGGCAGUUUGCAAUAAUAUAGUUAACCAUAUUGAAGAAGAAGAAGAGAUUGUUCGUCCCAUCGCCAACGUCUCUCCAAGUCUAUGGGGUGAUCAUUUCCUUUCAUUCUCCAUCGACAACCAGGUAAUUAAUUAAUAUUUGCAAUCUUUUCUUCAUAGUACGUUCUUAUUUCUUUGCUUUUAUUAGACAAUGUAGUUUGAUUUCUUUUGUCUUUUGGAUAUAUUGGUAGGUUGAACAAAAGUAUGCUCAACAAAUUGAACUGCUGAAGGAACGAACAAGGAGUAUGCUGUUGGCCACUGGAAUGAAAUUAGUGGAGACAUUGAAUUUGAUUGAUUUUAUUGAACGCCUUGGCAUAGCCUAUCACUUUGAGAAAGAAAUCGAAGAGAUUUUGGAUUGAAUUUACAAUGAAAAUUCAAACUUCGAGGGCGAUGUCUAUAAUGAUGAUCUAUGCACUUAUGCUCUUCAAUUCCGAUUGCUUAGGCAACAUGGUUACAAAAUCUCUCUAAGUAAGUACCUCUUGAAGUUCUACAAGUUCAAUAUUGUCGUAAUCAUAUAUAUAGAUAUAUAAUCCAUUUGAUAUGAUGGCUAAUAUUGUGUAUUCUUCAAUUCAUUGAAAAUCAGAAAUCUUCAGCAAAUUCCUAGAUGGAAAUGACAAACUCAAGGAGUCUCUUGCUAUUGAUGUGCUAGGAUUAUUGAGCUUGUAUGAAGCUUCACAUGUACGGAGUCAUGGUGAAGACAUCUUAGAAGAUGCACUCGCUUUCUCCACAACUCAUCUUGAGUCUGCAGCUCCACAUUUGAACUCUCCUCUUAAGGAGCAAGUGAUGCAUGCCCUUGACCAAUCUUUGCACAAAGGUAUUCCUCCAAUUGAGAUUCAAUUCUUCAUCUCAUCAAUCUAUUACAAGCAGGAAACAAAGAAUGAUAUGUUACUUCGAUUUGCCAAAUUGGAUUACAACAUGCUCCAAAUGCUGCACAAACAAGAACUUGCUGAAGUAUCAAGGUGAGAUUCUAUAAAAAUGGUAUAACCUUUUUGAUUGUUCAUUUAUCAAGUACUGAUGUUAAUUUGUUAUUCUGCAGGUGGUGGAAAGAUUUGAAUUUCGUGAACACACUUCUAUAUGCUAGAGAUAGAGUAGUUGAAUGCUACUUUUGGGCAUUAGGAGUAUAUUAUGAGCCUCAAUAUUCUCAAGCACGUGUCAUGCUCGUUAAGACCAUAGCAAUGAUUUCGAUUGUGGAUGACACCUAUGAUGCUUAUGGUACAGUUGAAGAACUUGCCAUAUACACGGACGUCAUACAAAGGUAUGGACAUCACCAAUUCACUUGUUCAAAUAUACCUUGAAAGAGAAUAUCAUGAAAAAAGAUUGAACCAAGAUCCUGCUCAUUAUAUUUAUACUAAUUUACCUUAUCUAUGUCACCUUAUAGAUGGGAUAUUAAAGAAAUUGGUCGUCUCCCUGAUUACAUGAAAAUCAGUUAUAAAGCUCUUCUAGAUCUUUAUGAGGACUAUGAAAAGGAAAAGUCUAGCGAUGGAAGAUCUCAUGUUGUUUAUUAUGCAAAAUAAAGAGUGGGUCUCAACAACCUACCUAUCAACUUACUUUUAGCCUUAAUACAUUUCUAACUUUGCUUUUUCCUCACAUCUUUUUGCGAAUUUAAACACUUUUCCUUUGAAUCCAUAUGCUUGGUUUUCACAGCUGAAAGAACUGGUACGAAGUUACAAUAUUGAGGCAAAAUGGUUUAUUGAAGGAUAUAUGCCUCCUGCUUCUGAAUACCUGGGCAAUGCAUUUGUAACUACCACUUACUACUAUCUUGCCACAACAUCAUAUUUGGGAAUAAAGUAUGAUAAGGAGAAAGAAUUUGAGUGGUUGUCGAAAAAUCCUAAAAUUCUUGAAGGUUGUGAGACAAUAUGCCGAGUUAUUGAUCACAUAGCCACAUACGAGGUAUGAGACUAUGAGUUGUAUAUCAUAAAGUCAUAACAUUUUAAGUUAUUUGAACAAAUAGAUUGUUUUUAACAAUCGAAGAAAUAUAAAAGCUAACCCCUAAGUUAAUCGCCUUUGAAGGUAGAGAAAGACAGGGGACAACUUUCUCAGCCGAUAAGAGAAUCUGUCUUCAGCACAGAUCAAGGCUUAUCGAAGAUAAGUAUCAAGUCCUCUAUCGCUGGAAUUUCGAAGAUUGAGGAGUGGCAACUCUGAAUAAAUUCCAGAACCUACUCCCGGGUAGUCUUUGACUACCUCUUUCCCCUGGCCCGGCUGGCUCUCCUACCUGGGAUCCCUUCUCCUUGGAGAACUGCCACUCAAGACUGUUGGAUCACUCAUUAAUGUCAUAAGGAAUUUAGUGCUACAAAAGAGGCAACGGCUAAAUUUCAAGAAAUGGGUGAGGCAGGAUGGAAUUCUAUUAAUGAAGGAAUGCUUAGGUCUACUCCCAUAUCAAAGGAGUUUUUAUCUCUCAUUCUCAAUCUUGCUCGACUUGUUGACGUUAUAUAUAAACACAAUGAAGAUGGAUACACUCACCCAGAGAAUGUCAUAAAACCUCACAUCAUUGCCAUGGUUGUUGACUCCUUCAAAAUUUAACCUGACAAUCGUUGGUUUAAAAAAAUCUCCACUCUCUUUGUCGAGAAAGUAACAUGUUUUUUUCUUCUUCUUUUUUUCACGCUUGUGUAGUGUAGUUCCUAUCUAGGACCUCCUUAUAACAAGUUCCUUUUGUUUUUUAAUUUCUUUAUUAAACAAGUAAAGUAAGAAUGUUUGUAGUUUCUAAUUCAGUAUGGUCCAUAGUGACCCCUGUAUUUUGUAAUAAUGCAUAUGAUCUAUUUAUAAUAUUCUGUCCGUUUAACCAAAAGUUUCAAUAUUGAAAUUUCGACGAAGGCAACUGUCAAUAAAAAAUGUGAGAGAAAGAUGUAUGUAACACCCCGCGUUUCCAAACUAGAAAUCGAACUGUUUUUCCUACGUGUGUAAGCUCUAAUAGAAAUUAUUUCCUAGUUACAAUAAGCGUCAUGAUCUAUAUAUUUGUGUUUGAAGUGUUUUCGAUGUGAAAAAUUUUCAUAGGAAUCACUUAGAGCAAAGUUGAGCUAAGAACUUUUGAUUCAGCUAAAUCUUCAUAUUCGAUUUUACCAGUGUCUACUUUGAACGUGUAUAACUUUCGAUACAAGUAGAAUUUGGCAGAUCAAGACACACCAAAUUAUAGAUAAUUGAGUCAUCUUUCCAAGGAUACCAAUCUGAUACCUAAGAGAAAAGUUAUAGCCAUUUUCGUGAGAGAGGCAGUGAGAUAGCACAAUUAGCAUGUGACACAUGCUCAUUUCACCCCUUAUUUUCCAGUUUCUAUUUUCCGUGUGUUUGAGGGAAAUAGGGUCGUUUACCUCACCCAAAACCAUCCAAAACACAAGAUUUAAGCCCCCAAAGACAUUUUGUUACAUAGUUAUUCUUUUCAUCUCCAAGAAAACCCUAGAGCCCCAAAGAUCAAGAAUCAAUCUCCUAAGUCAAGAAUUCCAAGAAACUAAUCAAGAUUUGGGUUUUUAUCCUUCAAACUAAGUAAUCUAAGAUAUGUGAGACUUCUUUAAACAUCAUGCGCAUAAUUUUUACUGUUUUUAUCUAUAUUAAAGAACCCCAAUCAUAUUUUACAGAGGAGUGUUUUGUUAUUAUAUUGAAAAGAAUGUAUUAUGGAGUCAUUUUGAAGCAAGCAUAUGUUUGUCUCAAUCUUAAUUAGUAUUCACGAAAUUGAACCGUUUCAAUAUAUAUAUAUAUAUAUGAUUUCAUUGUAUUGUAAAGUGUGAAUGAGAGCAUGAAUGAUUAUACUCCCUCUCCUAUUAUGUUAUUUUUUAUUUCAUAUAUGGUGGUCUGUGUAAAUGUUUGAAUUUCUUGAAAGGAAACUAAAUGAUGAAUGCUUUACUGAUGAUCAUGAACAAUUCGGUUUACUACAUGUAGAUGGGGUAUUUUCCUAUGGUAAAUGUCUACUUGGUCAAAUUAACACUUUUCAUGAGUUUUAAGUGGUGACCACCUACUGAUUUUACAAUUGGGAGAAGAAUGUUUUGAUGAAAAGUUGAAUGAAAGGUCUAUUGCAUAACUCUCUCUCAUAAGAUGUUUAAAAGCUAGGGGUAGUCAUUAAUAUGAUAAUAAUUGAAAAGGGCUACAGAUAUGAUAUGAUGUGAUUUGAUUAACUUACAAGUCAGGGUAUGACGAUACCCAAUAACUUCAUACCCUUAACAAUAUAGUGUUGAAUGUUUUGAAAGUAUGAACAUGUUUUAUUUAAAAAACUAUAGGUUGGGUUUAAGAUAGAUAGUAGGUUACCGAAGAAGGCGUUUGAGUGCAAAGACUCAUUGUUGGAAAUCGUAGUUGCCGAUGCGGGACUUAUGAUAUAUGAUCCGACAUGAUAUGACAUUUUUAGGACAUCUAACAUGGGGGUAUUUCUUGCGGUAUGCUCACAUGGGGGGUAUCGCCACUCCAAUUCUGGUGGCUACUUGGAUUGGAGGCUUGGCCACCAAGUCAAGGGCAGGUUCCACAUAGCCUGUGGAAUUCCAAAUUUAUAGGGUGUACUAAUUAGCACAGAAUAAUAAUAAUGGGUGAGUCAAAGAUAUCGAGAAUUGUUUUGAAGUACACUAAAUUAUGCCCAUGUAUUUUUACUUGCAUUGUGUUCAUGGUUAUUACGAAAUGCUCUCAUCUAUUUUUUAUAAAAAGCAUGCUAUUUUUGGGUUGUUUCAUAUACCAGUACAAUUGUAUUGACACCCUAUAUUUUAGGAUCUGAGGCACAGUCUCGGGGUCCCACUAAGCACUAGGCCAAAUCCUAUUAGAGUUUGCAAUUGGUGAGUCUCCCCUUAUUUCGGUAGGCCUAUUUUAGAAUAUUCUUAGUUUAUUUUGAUUUAUGGUCUGACUAGGAGUCUUGUCCCAGUUUUCAGACAUAUAUUAGUCUUGGUAUUGUUAGAGAUUUCGCAGAUUGGUAUCAUAUUUUUUCAAACGUUAUGAAUUAAAUUUUGUAUUGUUCAUUUGAUGUAAGAGAAUAACCAUAUUUCAAUUUUUCCAUAUUUUCAUAUUUCCUUACUGUAUAUGAAUUGUGUAUAUGAUUGCUAGUUAGAGAAGGGCUCUCAAGCCUUCAUGGUUUGGGAUGCCUAUCACGGCUAGGGCCUCGGUUCAGGUCGUGACAAACUUGGUAUCAGAUCAUGAUUCAUGGUCCCAGUGUGUCUGCAAAAUUGCAUCUGAUAGAGUCCUAUUUAUGGGUGUGUAUACACUUAUAAGUAGGAAGCUACUAGGCGUUUAGGAAUGUUUUCCUUUCUUUAUGUUCUAGUUCGUGCUAUGGAGUUAGAAUAUUCCUCUUUCAUACUCUAGUUCAUGUGAUGGCAUCAUCCAUACGAAAGUUAUCCCAAUUCUUUCCUUACUCUGAUGUUCUUAGAUAUGUCUCCUUGUUGACAUGAUUCAAGUGCAGAAGCUUAAAGUCUAAAUGAUGUGGUUUGUACUAAUUGAGUCAUAAACGAUUAUGAAAUUGCACAAGGGCUUGAAAGGAGUCCAUAAGUGCUUUAAGGUAUUUUGAUUUAAGCUUAUACCCCUUUCUAUAUCAAUUAUGCAUUUGAGCCAAGGUAUAAAGUAUUUUCAGUCCCCUUCAAGAUUCUUGUUUCAAAUGUCAUGCUUAAGGGUAGUGAUAUAUGUCAGAAUGUUGGAAUAAUAUUUCCACCCAAGUAGUACUAUUUGCUUAGGUGUCAUGCCCUAUUGGUAGUAAGAUGAUUCUGAAGUUAGUGAUAUGAUGUCACAAGUUUAGAAUUCAGAAUAAGGGUGACUUUUACGUAAGAAAGCUAGUUUACUUAUAUAACCGUUGAUUGGGGAUGGAUUGCUAUUUGAUAGUGAUAGACUAAUAUGGUAGCAAUAUUUGUAGAUUGUAUGGUAGUUUGUGGAGAAAGUGUUUGACAAUGAUAUUAUCUAUUCAAAAUAGGGAUAGAGCCUUAAGUGGAUAGUUAUGAUGGUUAUAGAAAUCCCUUGUAGGCAUAGACUCAUUGUUGUAUAUGAAAUUUUGAAGGUAGUUAUGAUGUAUGCAUGGGUAAAUAACGAUGGUGUGAGAAAGUAGAAUGUGUUGAUAAGAUCAUAAUGGGUUAUCUUAUAAGGUUAAGAUCGACUGACUGUCCCUAUUAUGUGACUUUACCCCCUCCCCCUUUGAUUGUCUUUUCUUUGGUAGUUGUAAGCUAGUACUUCACGUGAGAAGGUGUGUCGUGGAUUGUAAUGUGUGGUAGUAAUGUUGUGGAGAGAAUGAGCUUGUGGGCGGUAGUUAAGUUAAAUGGCGUAGUUGGGUUGAUUCCCUAAUUUGAUGGAAUAGUAUAGUAUGUUACUUGCUUUAUCGGUGUUAUAUGAUUGGUGUUGUUAGACAAUAGACUUUGAACUUUAGAUGUGGAGUGUAGUGGUAAAUAUAGUAGCUUACGAUUAAUAAUGCUUGUUUUGUCGGAGUAAGUAGUAGGUUUGAUUCAAUGUGUGCAAUAGCCGAGGUGAGCAAUUUGUGAAAAAAAAGAGGUGGAUAAUUAUGAUAUAUUUAUAUACAUGGUACAAGUGUUAGAAUGAUGAAUUGUAGUUGAAUCAUUAAGCGGAUAGAAGCGUGGGAAUAUAAGAAUAAGUUGACCCCCCAGGUAGCAUGUUGUUAGAUAAAGUUUUAUGUGUAUAAGUGUUUGGCGUACCUAGUCUGUUUUCUCAAAAUUUGUAGUAUGGAGACAUCUGGGAGACUAAGAAGUUGUUGUAUAGUUUUCUUUAUAGAUGAAUUGAGAAAAUAUAGGUAGGCAAUAUGUGCCUUUGGUAUAGAUUUGCAAACUUUGUUAAGUUGUAAUGUUAUGUGAUUAGAGGUCUAAUUUUUGAAUGUUGGGUAUGGAGGUCGGAUCAUUAUGUGAUAAGGAGUGUGGAGGUGGAUGUUUAUGAGAGUGUGAGUUGUAGGGUGAUGUUUACAGAGGCUAGCUAAAGUUGAGAGUAGCAUUCCUGAUAAGCAGUGCCUUCAAAGUAUAGUUUAUCAGAGGAAGUUUAGCUUUUAUGUGUAUGGUGAUACCCCAUUGUAUUUAGUGUUGUGCUUGUAGAUUUAAUGACAAGAUAUGUCCUCAGUCUAGGAUUGUGACUUUGAUCUAAGGGGGAGAUGGUGAAUAAAGGUAGUUCUUAAAUUUUCUCAGUGUGGAAAAUUACGGGGAAGAGUCAUGAUAAACCUGUUCUUAUUCAAGAAUAUUCCUCCUACUUAAAUUUAAGAGGUCAAUGUACCAACGUCUUAUGUAUUCAAGUUCCUGUCUCUAAGUUAUAAGUUCUCUAUGUAACUCAUGUAAUGUUCCGACCUCCAAACUAGAAGCAACAAUGGCUUAGUAAAUCCAGUGUUUCAUGUAUUCAAGCUCUAUGUUAUGAUAUUUAUGAUCCAUAAAUCUAUGUCCCGAAUCAUGCUUGGUUCUAAGGAACUAUGUUUUCAUAUGCCACUGAUUCAUUUUAUGUCGGGAUUAGUCAAAAUAACCAAGUUGUGCAAACUCAUGAAAAUUUCAGCACUAAAAAUGAGAAGCGAUAGCUUCGAGUAGAAUUCCUUGUCUUAAUUGUUGACUUCAUGAAUUCCAAACUCAUGUUAUACGACCCGUGAUGUAAGUGGUCAUGUUUCUCACUAUGGUCUGUACUAAGGACUCAUGCUAUAUAUAUUGUGUUUAUGCUAGAGCAACUCUCUACUAAUGAUCCAAAUACUUGAUAUAUGAAGCACUUCAUGAUUGUAUCGUAUCUUCACCUAAUGACCCACAUUGAGUAGAUCAACAAUAUGGGCUAUAAUUGAGUAGUGUUUCUCCCAUUCGUGAUUCUUAUGCUCGGGCCCCUUAAUGACACUCCAAAUAAUAGUAUAAUAAGUAGCUAUGGAUGAGUAGUAGUGACUUAAGAAGGGGGAGUAGAUGGUCUUGAAUGUGAAAAUUUUGAUGUGAUUUCCUUAACUAAGGUUAAAAGAAAUAGGAAAAAGAAGGAGAUGAACUUUUGUAAUGAGUAAUAGUUGGGAAAGAGGUAUGUCGCAAAAAUACUCGUAAGAGUGAUUGAAACUACGGGUCUUAAUGGAGAGACCGAUUAAGUGGUUGUAGUAAUGAUAUGGGUGAAUGUUCUGAUUGAUGAAAACACAAACCAAUGUGCCAUGUGGUUAGUAUUCCUUGAAUUAAGACUUGAGGUUGUUGAAUUAUAGUAAUGAGUGAGGUGAUUUCUUAAUGUGAUGUUGAUUACAGGGUUCAUAGUUUAAGUUAGCUCCUUUUAACUUUGAAUUAGGCUUUAACAUGGAAGUACUAUGUGGGGGAACUCAAACUCUUGUGGUUAGAAGUGUUAUGGGAGAAUUGUAAGUUGGAAAUGAUAAAGUACGUUAAUUGUUGGUUUGGAGCGUAGAAAAAUAGUUUCUCUACGUUUAAGUUUUUUCGUUGUUUCUUGUAAUGUGGAGAAUGCUUCUAUUCUUAUGUCUCACGAGAACCUCAUCUCAUGUAUUGUACCAAUCUUAAUCAGGCCGAGGAUUCUUAGGAAAAUUCAUGCCUUACAAUGUUUUGAUCAUGUGCCAUAAAACACAUGCCAAAAUCAUGUCAAUGUCAAGUUUCAUUAUCUCAUAUUUCGCAUAUUUUUUGAGGAAAAUGUUCAAUGCGAUAUUACGUUCUUUAUUCUACACUUUUAGAGCUUCAAAAAGUCCCUACCGAUCAUUGGGGGACGAAUGAUCCCAAGGGGGAGAUAAUGUAACACCCCGCAUUUUCAAACUAGAAAUCGAACUAUUGUUCCUACGUGUGUGUAAGCUCUAAUAGAAAUUAUUUCCAAGUGAGAAUAAGUGUCAUGAUCUAUAUCUUCGUGUUUGAAGUACUUUCGAGGUGAAAAAUCUUCAUAGGAAUCACUUAGAGAAAAGUUGAGCUAAGAACAUCUGAUUCGGUUAAAUCUUCGUAUUCGAUUUUACAAGGGUCUACUUUGAAUGUGUAUAACUUUCUAUACAAGUAGAAUUUUGUAGCUCAAGACCCAUCAAAUUGUAGAUAAUUGAGUUAUCUUUUCAACUAUACCAAUUUCGCCUUAAUCCGAUAACCAAGCUAUUUUUGUGAGAGAGGCAGUGAGGAAGUGCGAUUAGCAGCAUGCUCCAUUUCACCCUUUAUUUUCCAGUAUCUACUUUCCUUGUGUUUGAGGGCAAUAGGGUCAUUUACCUCACCUAAAACCGUCCAAAACACAAGAUUUAAGCCCCCAAAGAUCUUUUGUUACAUCAUUAUUAUCUUUCCCUCUUCAAGAAAAUCCUAGAGCCCCAAAGAUCAAGAAUCAAUCUCCUAAGUCAAGAUUCCAAGAAACUAAUCAAGAUUUGGGUUUUUAUCCUUCAAUCUAAGUAUUCUAAGGUAUGUGGAUGUAACCGUAUUUUCGGCCUAGAAUUUAAAUUAUCGUUCCUAUGCGUAUAGACCCGAACAAAAUGAUUCUUUUUUAAUAUAUAUUUGGUGAUCAAUCCUACAGUUUGGUAAUAUAUUUGAACAUGAAAUAAGGUCACAAAAAUCCCCUAACUCAAAGACAAGUUGAAAACUCUUCUAUCAAUUAAUUUUUGGUGAACGUCUCAACUUGGGUCCACUUCCAUCGACCAUAACUUCUUGUAUAUAAUGAGUUAGAGGGCCUACUAUAUAUCAAAUGAAAGUUAUUUGAGUCUUAUUUCCAAUUUCAUAAAUUUUACCUUAAUUUGAUAUAAUAGUAAAAAUUUAUGCCCAUAUUACAGAAAGGUGUCAGCCUACCAAAUUCCGAUGGCCAGACUGUCGGACCGUCAAUGUAACACUGCGCACCUUCGGGCUAGAAUUUAAAUUGUUGUUCCUACAUGUAUAGACUCGAACCAAAUGAUUAUUUUUAAUAUAUAUGUGGUGAUAAAUCAUAUCGUGUGGUAAUACCUUUGAACAUCAAUUGAGGUCACAAAAAUCCCCGAACUCAAAGACGAGUUGAAAACUCUCCUAUCUAUUAAGUUUUGGUAAAUGUCUCAACUUGGGUCAAAUUCCAUCAACCAUAAAUUAUUUUGCAUAAUGAUUUAUAGGGCCUACUAUAUAUCAAAUGAAAGGUCUUUGAGUUUUCUUUCUAAUGCCAACAAUUUUUCUUUAAUUUGAUAUUGAAGUAAAAAGUUAUGCGCGUUUUACUGAGAGAUAUCAGUCUGCCAAAUUGCAAUGGCUAGACUGACGGACCAUCAAGCCAGUGAUGGACCAUCAAGUUAGGCCGUCAACUUGAAACAGAAUGCUCAAAAACUAUUUUUGUGAUGAUUUGAGUGACGGCCAGUCACGGGAGGGACGGUUCGUCACCUAGGCCAUCGGUAAGGGCCGAACAAUGUUAAAGUAUCAUUUUAAAGGGAUAUUUUGGUACUUUCCCAUCCCAAAUUCUUUUCCCACGAAUUUAAAUCAUACCCUAAGUGUUAUAAUCCAUCUUUUAUCAGUUUUACAACAUCUCAAUCCUCUGAACUUUGAUGAACAAGAGAAAUUAGGAUUUUCUCCAAGAACAAGAAAUCAAGAAGCUAAUCCUUUCAAUCCAAGAUUCCUAAGAAACGAAUAAAGAUUUGGAUUCCAUCCUUCAAACUAUGUAAUCUAAGGUAUGUGGGGUUUUCCUAAACUACAUGGUCAUGGUGAGAUCAUUUUAAUAACAUUUUGAAUGUUGAGAAAUCAUAUACUUACAAAAGGGUUCUUAAAUUUCAUAAAAAAAUAUCCAUUAGGACCUUUUAGGUCUUGAGGCCUUCCCUUCAACUUGAAUUUCCUAAUCGUGUAUAUGUAUAUAUGGCUUUCUAGUUUUUAAAUACGAAUUGAGAACAUGAAUAAUGUAUUUCCCUCUCUCAUUGUGUUAUUUCUUGAUUUCACAUGUUAUGAAUUACUUAACUACAUGUCUUAAAGCAUGAACUCAGGGUUUUACUAUCAUUUAUGAACUUAUGUCGAUUGUUAAUUGAAAAGAGAGGGAUAUUUUCUUGUUUGUAAAAGCUGAAUGUGAAAAUCAAAAAAAUUGAAUGAUUAUUCUGAGAAAGUGACCACCAUUUGUUGAAAUGUAGAAAGAGCGGAUUUUGUAUAGUUUUACAUAUGUUUGGAAAUAUGAGUUCUCUUGUACUUUUUGAAUAUUUUUGGUGGUCUAUACAUUAUUUUGAAUGAAAGAUUUGUAACAUGAUAUUAUAUGGAUUAGACAUACGACUUUCAAGUCUUAGUAUGACGAUACCAAAUAGAUGAAUGCCAUAGUAGAUUCAGGACAGACUAAAAGAUAAAUUUUACACAGAUUUUGAAUUCAGAAAGAUGCAUGCUUAGAAAAGGUUAAAAUGGGCCUAAAUAGAGUUAGAUGGUUACCCGAAGAAAGUACAAGUUGAAAGACUCAACAUUGGAAACUGAGAUUUGCUGACACGAGAUUAUGGUACCCUGCUUUGUGAUCUUGUGUGACUUGAUUCAUGUCAUCUCAAAUUGGGACUAUGGUUAGGAUCCCUUCUUUGUGAUCGUGUGCACUACCAUGACAUAUUGAUUUGAUUGGGGAUUUUAGAACCUUGUUGUGUGAUCUUUCCUGUCCCCCUUAUAGAUACUCCAAUCCUAAUAAAAAAACUUGGAUUAGGGGCUUGGCCACCGAGUCAAGGGCGGAUUCCAUAUAGCCCAUGGGAUUGUAUAAUUGUAGGGUGUACCACCUAGCUCAAAAGUAAAACAAAGAGCGAGUAUUUAUUUUAAACAAUUGUUUCAAAGCCUAUUAAGCUUGUCCAUGUGUUUUCGUAUAUCUUAUGUAACGUAUUUUUAUAAAUUUCUAUCACUUAUGUUAUAUAUAAAUACAUUAUUUUGGAUUUCUCUGCAUACUAGUACAUCUGUAUUGACCCCCUAUAUUUUAGGAUCUGAGACACCGUCCCAGGGUCCAGCUAAGCAGUAGAUUGGGUUGUCCAAAGUUUGCAGUUGGUGAGCUUCCCUUAUUUUAGAAUGCCUUGUUUAUUUGACAUUGAUAUUUCAUUUUGUCUUAUGGCCUGAUUUGGGUCAGACAGUAGUGGUUUUGAGUUUUUACACAUUUCGCAGACUAGUGUCAGGUAUUUUUUUUUUUGAAUGUUUCAUGAACUCAUUUUCGUAUUGUUCAGUUGAAGAAAAAGAAUGACCAAGUUUCCGUCUUGUCAUGUUUUUCCAUAUUUUCCUUACUGUAUAUGAAUUUUUAUAUGAUCUCCAGUUAGAGAAGGGCUCUCAGACCUUCAUCAUUCGGGAGGCUCAUCGCGGCCUGGGCCUCAGUUCGGGUCAUGAUAGUGGACUACUCUAAACAUCAUGGGCAUAAUUUUUACUAUUUUAAUCUAUAUUAAAGAUCCCAAUAAUUUUUUAUAAAGGAGUGUUUUGUUAUUAUAUUGAAAAGCAUGUAUUAUGGAGUCGUUCUGAAGCAAGCAUAUGUUUGCCUCAAUCUUAGUUUACAUGAAAUUGAACCGUUGCAAUAUAUAUAUAUAUAUAUAUAUAUAUAUAUAUGAUUUUAUUGUAUUGUAAAGUGUGAAUGAGUGCAUGAAGGAUUAAACUCCCUCUCCUAUGAUUUUAUUUCUUAUUUCAAGUGUGGUGGCUUGUGUAAAUGUAUGAAUUUCUUGAAAGGAAAGUAAAUGAUAAAUGCUUUACUGAUGAUCAUCAACAAUUCGGUUUACUACAGGUAAAUGUCUACUUGGUCAAAUUAACACUUUUAAUGAGUUUUAAGUAAUUACAAAUAUGAGGUGACCACCUAUUGAUUUUACGAUUGGGAGGAGAAUGUUUUGAUGAAAAUAUGUAUGAAAGUUCUAUUGUACAAAUCUCUCUCAUCUGAUGCUUAAAAUCUAGGUGUGGUCAUUAAUAUGAUAAUAAGUGAAAAGGGCUGCGAAUAUGAUGUGAUGUGAUUUGAUUGACUUGCAAGUCAGGAUAUGAUGAUACCCGAUGAUUUCUUGCCCUUAACAAGAUAGUGUUGAAUGUUUUGAAAUUAUGGACAUUUUUUCUUUAAAGAACCAAAAGUUGGGCUUAAGAGGUAUAUUAGGUUACCCGAAGAAGGCGUUUGAGUGCAAGGGCUCAUCGCUGGAAAUCGUAAUUGCCAAUGCGGGACUUAUGAUAUAUGAUCACACAUGAAAGGACAUUUUUAGGACAUCUCAUAUAGGGGGAUUUCCUGCAGUGUGCUCUCAUGGGGGGUAUCACCACUCCAAUCUUUGCGACUACUUGGAUUUUAGGCAUAGUCUCGGGGUCCUGCUAAGCAGUAGGUCGUAUAUCUUGUUAUAGUUUGCAAUUGGUGAGUCUCCUCUUAUUUUGGAAGGCCUAUUUUAGAAUAUUCUUAAUUUAUUUUUAUUUAUGGUCUGACUUGGGGUCUUGUCCCAGUUUUCAGACAUAUAUUGGUCUUGGCAUUGUUAAAGAUUUUGCAGAAUGGUAUUGUGUGUUUUCAAAUGUUAUGAAUUAUAUUUUGUAUUGUUCAUUUUUAGUAAGAGAAUGACCAUGUUUCCGUUUUGCCAUAUUUUCACAUUUCCUUAUUGUAUAUGAUUUCCAAUUGGAGAAGGGUUCUUGGGCCUUCAUGGUUCGGGAUUCCUGUCAUGGCCUGGGCCUCGGUACGGGUCGUGACAAUGCACCUACUAGAAUUGGAAUUAAAGAAGAAAAAAAUGCCCCCUUCUUUUCUCUUGUUUAUCUUUUUUGUUUAACGGGAAACAUUUUAUUCUUCUACUCCAAUAGCUAUUUAAAAGACCUACGACCAAAACCAAAAUAGGAAAAAUAAAAUUUCAAAUAGGAUCCAGUUUUUCUAUAGUUCCUGUCACUAGAAAGACAAGAAGAACUGAGAAGGAACAAGCUGAAACAACAACAAAAUGGAGCUGUAAAUUGCUGCCAGAAAACAAACUGCAUAGAAAUAAGAAGAGAUGAAACUUGUUGAGUAUUCUAUUUAUUUCUCUUGAUAGUUCACUACAUAGGUCCCACAAGCCAAGAUGAGACCCUGGCUGUGAUGGGCAUGUCGAACCAUAAAGGCCCGAGCUUCCCUUCUAACUGGUAAUCAUACAUAUAAUUCAUCUGCUAUAAAUGAAUGUAGAAAACAUAACAAAAUGGAAACAUGGUCAUUCUCUUACUUCAACUAAUCAAUACGAAUAUGAGUUUAUAAACAUUCAGAAACAUCUAACACCAGUAGGCAAAUAUCUAAUAAUACAAAAACAACAUCUGUCUAUGACCGGAACAAGGCCCCUGGUUGGACCAUGAACUAAAAGCAAAUGAAUAUAUAGCAUGAACUAAGGUCCUACGUAACGAGGGAAACUCACCAACUUCAAAGUUUGAUAAACUGAUCUAUUGCUUAGCGGGACCCUAGGACUGUGCCUCAGAUCCUGAAAUAUAGGGGGUCCAUAUAAAUAUACUGGUAUGUGAAGCAACCUGAAAUAGUAUGUUUUUAUUUAAUAUAAGUGAGAGCAUUUCACAAAUACAAUAAACAUAAUAUAGGUAAAAAUACAUGGGCACCUUUUAAUAAACUCCAAAACAAUCCUGACAACUUUGACUCACUCUUUAUUUUUCUUCUGAGCUAGUCUGUUCACCCUACAAUCUGUAAUUCCAUGGGCUAUAUGGAAUCUGCCCUUGACUCGAAGGCCAAACCCCAAUCCAAGUUUGCCGAAAGAAUUGGAGUAUUCAUGAUAUGGUACACCCCCUUACAAGAGUAUUGUGGCAUCACCCUUGCAUGAUGUCCAAAAUUAUCCCCUUUCGGAUAAUACCCAUAUUGGCAAAUCACGGUUUCCAACAAUGAUCCCUUGCAGUCAAAUGACUUCUUCGGGUAACCAGAUAGCUCUCUUAAGCCCAAGUUUUAGUUCUUUCAAAACCAUGCUUCACACUUUCAAAUCAUUCAAUAAGUAUUCUGUUAAGGGUACGUUAUAACCGGGUACCGUCAUACCCAGACUUGCAAGUAAUUUAUGUUACAUCAUAACAUAUCAAUAGCCUUUUUUAUUAAAUAAGUCAUAUAUAUGGCCACCCCAAAAGAUUCAAAUAUUUCUUGAGGUCAUUCGUAAUUCAAAACACAUGCAGACGUAUAUAAAACGCUUUUCUGAAACACAUAAUCAUAUGAUGGCCUGUCCUUCUUUGAAACACGUGUAUUUCUUUAUCAUAAACAAAAUGAACACUUGUAAAUAAGCAGUGCUACCAUCUCAUCAUGUCAUAAACCAUGCCAACCAUGAGGAUAUGAAGGAACUUACUUUCAAAAUCUUAAUUCAUGCAUUCGAAAUAACUCACAAUUCAAAUAGACAAUAUAUUUCAUAUCAAGAGAGGGAAUUCAUUGUUCAUGGUCUCAAUUAUACUUUCCAAAAUCAAGAGAAUAUGUACAUAAGGGACUAUAAUUUGAUUACACGAAAAAGAGUUCAAAUACAAUAUAUACACUUUCAUCAAAAUGAUUUCAUGACAUGCUUUUUGAAACAAUAUUCAACACACUUAUUGCAACAUGAUUAUAAAUCCUUAAACUUUAUAAAAAUAAUAAAACCUUAGGCCCAUGAAGUUUAGGGUAGUCCCACAUACCUUAAGUUCCUUAGUUUGAAGAAUAGAUCCCUAAUCUUGAAUCUUUUCUUGAGAAUUUGUAAGUUAGAAGGCUUGAAUUCUUGUUUUGGGGAAAGGAUAUGGUUUAGUUGAGAGAAAAAUUAAAGAAUUUUGGGCACAUAAUGUCCUAAUGAUUACUUAAUCUUGCGUUAUUACGAUUUGGGUUGAGGUGGGAAAAGACCCAAUUGCCCCUCACUUAUUUAAAUCAAAAAUUCAUAACUGGAAUGCGCAUUGAAGGUUCAUCGAGACGUGUCUAAAUGUAGUGAACUACUAUUUUUGACAAAAAUGCAAGGUAACGCUAAGUACGAUACACCCUUGUGGUGGGGACCUUCUCCGAACACCGCACAUAGCGAUAGCUUUAGUGCAUUGGGCUUCCCUUUAUUAGAUUAAGGUGAAAUUAGUAUUAUUGGACAUAUAAUUCAAUUAUCUAUAGUUUGGUUGGUUUUGAGAUGAAAAAUUCCACAUACAUCAAAAUUUAUACACUUUCAAAGUUGACCCUUGUAGAAUCAAAUACCAAACUUUAGACGAAUCGAAGGCUUUUAGCUCAACUUGGAUAUAAGUGAUUCCUAUGAACACUCUUCACCCCAUAAGCACUUCACACACUACGGUAAAGAUCAUGACACAUACAUGCAAUUAUAUAUCAAGAACUGGAUGAAAAAACCUUCACCACGACGUGGUGAUAUGCUCAUCUCUAAACCCACCACAAUGCGUCACUAUCGUGGUGAGGUUCUGGAAUAGAAAUCCAAAUAUGCCCUAAACCUUGUCGAAAAAAUCCAAAACUCCCCCGAGAAAUACUUCUUACAUUCCUGAACAUGAAUUAACUCAAAAACUUAUGUCACAGGGGUGAUAAGGUCAGUUUAAAAAUCCUUGAUGUUUAGGUGUCUUGAAGAUGACUAAGCCCCCUCCCCCAACACUUAGUAAAAAUAAGCUGAAUCAAGAUAAGAAUAGUAUGGAGUGUUACAGUUCGGGUUUAUAAACAUAGUUUAACGCCCCAAUUUUUUGAACUGAAAUGCUACACGAUGCUCAUGACCCCGAAGGACCACAAGCUAACCCAAGGAUGGGAACUCACCUGCCAGUAGAGGGUGUGAUUCUUAAAAGCAGUCCUUGUGUUUCAGAACUAUGUAGCCAACAUAGGUUGAGACAUCAAUACCUAUCAGUUGAGGUUAGAUGAGGUGGAUUAACCUGUCAGAUGAGGGUUCCCACCGUUCUCAUUAGAGUACCUGCCAGGUGAGGGUCACUCACAACUUGUCCUUACCAGUGGUACGGUAUUGACACCCUUCCAAUCAGGAUAGAUAUUGGACCCCAACUUAGCUAUUAUAGUAUAUAUGGGGCAUGUUGGUUAGAUAACUACUUCCCACAGUUUCAGUAUCAGUUUCAGUAAAAGAACUCAGAUAGUUCUUUAGGAUAUUAGGACUGUCAGAUACAGUCAACUUAGAUACAGUACGGAACUCAGCUAGUUCCAUCAGAUUUAGGACUGUCAGAUAUAGUUAUUCAUGCUAUUAGUUAUCACAACUCAUGUUAUCAGAUAUAUUAUUUAUCAAAAUUCAGUUAUCAUUCAUGAUAUGUUAUCAGUAAAUAGAUAUCAUCAGUAUUCAUACUCAGUAGUCAUGUUAUCAAGAGCUCAGUUUUAGGACUUUUAUAUAUGUUCAGUCAAAUCAGUUCUUCAUAAUCAGAACUAUCAGAAACAAUCAUUCCUUUAUCAGUAAUAUAGUAUCAGUCUCCCAUUAUUCAGUAAUACAGUAUCAGUUUCUCACUUAUUGGUGAAUUACAAUUAAUAUCAGUAAACUCAGUCACUCAGUAUCUCAAUAUCAGUAAACUCAGUCCUUUAGUAUCUCAAUAUUAGUAAACUCAUGUUGUCAGUAUCAGACUCAGUAGUUAGUAUCACCACGAGUUUAGUUGCAGUUACGUAUGUAUGUAUGUAUUCUCAUGUUCAUAUCAGUCAGCGUUGUUCAUGCAUAUAAAACCCUUUUGCAUCUAGCCUACCUCACUCGUUUACUCAGUACAUUCAGUUGUACUGACGCAUUCGUGCUAUGGUGUUUUAUUUAACGACAUAGGUACAGAGGCACGAGUUUUAGAGAAGCAGUAGCAUUGCAGAUUUCAGCAGUCAGUGCUCCUCCUCAUUCAUGGACAAUAUUAUUAUUACUUUAUUACAGUAUUUCAGAUUAGUUUUUCAGUACAUGGAGUUAGUUGGAGACAUGUUCCUUCAACUCCUUAUUCAAUUUAGUUAGAGGUUUUUGGACUAGAUGUCAGAUUAGAUGUUCAGACUUCAGUAUUUAUGUUUCUUUUUGGUAUUGUUAUACGAUGUUUUUUAGAUAUGUAUCAGUAUUAAACCUUAUGGCCUUACAGUUCAUGUUUCUGCAUAUUUUAUGAGAUAUUAUGCAGUUUACAGGUACAAAUAUCAGUCAUGGGCUAGCUUGUGGUCCUUCGGGGUCUUAAGCAUCGUGUAGCAUUUUGGUUCAGAAAAUUGGGGCGUUACAAACUUAGUAUCAGAGCUUAAGGUUCAACAAUGUCCUAGGAAUUCUGAGAGCUACAUCAAGUAGAGUCUUGUACAUGGGCGUGUUAUACACCACACUUAUGUCCAGGAGGCUAUGAGAUGUUCUUCGUUCAUAUCUCAAGAUUGUGCUAUAGCAAGUUUUUCUAAGGAACCCAUCCGGGCGCAUUUUAGGUCAAAAAUUUUAGUUAACUUCAAACUAUCAUAAAUUUUUGCAUAUAAUGAUCUAUGAGAACUUCUUUAUAUAAAUAGAAAUAUAUUUGAGUCUUCUUUCUAAUGCAAUUAGUUUCAUCCAAUUUGAACAUUGGAGUAAAAAGUUAUGAUCAAUUUACUUCAGCCUAUCAGCCUGAAAACAACAGAGGACAGCUGCGUCUUUCUCUCUUUCUCCAUAGGUAUUUUAGUCUUUCCCAUUUCUCUAUAUAUAUAGACAAACAUGAUAUUCAGCAUAAUUUAGCAACAUAUGCUUGAUUUCUCUCAAAAUUCAUCAAGAAUAAGAAGAGAGUUUGCAAUUGGGGAUUUAAUUUCAAGAAAUUCUCUCCGUCGAUCUUCAUAAAAUGAAGAACUAAGGUAUGCAUAGUGUUCAUCCAUACAUUCCUUUCAUCCAUGAACCUCAAGAAUCAAGUCUCAAAAUUCAUCAAGAAUAAGAAGAGAGUUUGCAAUUGGGGAUUUAAUUUCAAGAAAUUCUCUCCGUCGAUCUUCAUAAAAUGAAGAACUAAGGUAUGCAUAGUGUUCAUCCAUACAUUCCUUUCAUCCAUGAACCUCAAGAAUCAAGUUUUAAGUUAUAUACCAUGAAUAUUUUGUGGUGGGAUGAUUAUAUUCAUGUUGAUGAUGUUAAAUUGAGUUUUUAAUUCUAUGAGUUAUCUCAAAAAUCAUGAAAACUAAUUUAUUUUGUAAUAUUAUUCAUAUGAACUUUAUGUUGAGUUCUUGAAAUUGCAAGUUGGAUGUUGAUGAUCAUGUUGUUGGUGUUGAAUGAUUCCUAAGUUGGGAUCUUUAUGUGAAAUCAUGAAACUAUGUUGAAAUAUAAGUUGAAGUUCAUGAAUUUGGUGAUUUAUACUUUGUGAAAAUUUUAUGAUUUCACCUAUGCCUAAGUUGUGCAUAAAAGGUGUUUGAUUAAAUGUUUAAGAGAAACAAGAAACAUGUAGUAUGGAUUAAUAUGGUCUAAAAGCUGAAUACAUGCCAUUGACCUCAUGCUUGAAUGGCUUACAUGCUAUUGUUGUACAAUGAAUAUGUUGUUGGAACGUCAUGAUCUUAGAGUAUGGAGUUAUGAUCUUGAUUAUAUACAUUCCUACCAUGAAAAAGAUUACAUUAACCAUGUACUUCAUGAAAUCGCCAACUUUUUUUAUUAUGAAUGGUUGAUAUUGAUCAUGUAUUCAAGAAUAUCAAGAAGUGUCAGUUUCCUUCUAUCGAGUCCUUAGGGUACUUGUACCUGAAAAAUAUAGUUGUGCGCCUAGAGCAAUGUCAUAUUUUCAUAAUACUCUCAGUCAAGCCAUGUUCAGUAGACUUCAAUCAGUCUCAUGACUCGGGAAAACUCAUGUAAAGGCAGUAUCAGUUCAGUUUUACUAAGUACUCAGUAAUCUAUAUAAUCUCAGUAAUAUUUUGUCAGUCUAUGGAAUUCAGUAAAUCUAAGUAUCAGUACAAUUUAGUUCAGUAUUUAGUUCAGACAUCAUUAAACUCAGUCAGCUAACAGAACUCAGUAGCAUUUAGUCAGUUAACAGAAUUCAGUUGUGUUCUUCUAGUCAUCGAAACUCAAUAAACUCAGUCCAUGUUUAGUUCAGUUAAACAUAACAAUCAGUAAUAGUUCAGUUAAUUCUAGUAUGAACUAGGAAAUCAGUUCAGUAAAAUCAGUGCAGUGUCAUUUAGUUUGGAGUAGGAUUCAGCAUCGAGCUAACCCAAGGAUGGGAACUCACCUGAUAGUAGAGGGUGUGAUUCUUAGAAGUAGUCCUUACAUUCCAGAACUAUGUAGCCAGCAUAGGUUGAGACAUCAAUACCUAUCAGUUGAGGGUAGAUGAGGUUGCUUAACCUGUCAGAUGAGGGUUCCCACCAUUCUCAUUAGAGUACCUGCCAGAUAAGGGUAACUUAUAGCUUGUUCUAACAAGUUGUGCGGUAUUGACAUCCUUCUAAUUAGGGCAGAUAUUGGACCCCAUCUUAGCUAUUAUAACAUAUUUGGGGCAUGUCAGUUAGAUAACUACUUCCCACAGUUUCAGUAUCUGUCUUAGUAAAAGAACUUAGAUAGUUCUUUAGGAUAUCAGGACUGUCAGAUACAGUCAACUCAGAUACAGUACGGAACUUAGCUAGUUUCAUCAGAUUUAGGACUGUCAGAUAUAGUCAUUCAUGCUAUCAAUUAUCAGAACUCAGUCAUUCAAUAUAUCAAUAUUAGUAAACUCAAUCAUUUAGUAUCUCAGCAUCAGUAAACUCAUGUUGUCAGUAUUCAGAUUUAGUAGUCAGUAUCACCACGAAUUUAGUUGCAGUUACGUAUGUAUGUAUGAAUUCUCACGUUCAUAUCAGUCAGCAUUGUUCAUGCAUAUAAAACCCCUUGCAUUUAGCCUACCUCACUCGUAUACUCAGUACAUUCAGUCGUAACGAUGCAUUUAUGCUAUGGUGUUUUACUUGACGCCAUAUGUACAGAGGCACAAGUUUCAGAGCAGCAGUAGCAUUGCAGAUUUCAGCAGUCAGUUCUCCUCUUCAUUCAAGGACAAUAUUAUUAUUACUUUAUUACAGUAUUUCAGAUUAGUUUCUCUGUUCAUAGAGUUAGUUGGAGACAUGUUCCUUCACUCCUUAUUCUGUUCAGUUUGAGGUUUUUUGGACUAGAUGUUAGAUUAGAUGUUCAGACUUCAGUAUUUAUAUUUCUUUUUGGUAUUGCUAUACCAUGUUUUUCAGAUAUGUACCAGUAUUGCACCUUAUGGCCUUACAGUUUAUGUUUCCGUAUAUUUUAUGAGAUAUUAUGCAGUUUACAGGUAUAGAUAUCAGUCAUGGGUUAGCUUGUGGUCCUUCGGGGUCAUGAGCACCGUGUAGUGUUUUGGUUUAGAAAAUUGGAGUGUUACACAUAGGAAAGAUGGUUUAACCUUACCUCAAAAGUAUGGGGUGUAACAAUAGGCUACACAUAUAUAUAGUUUGUGUGUAAGGAAUACAUACCACAAAAUAAGCAAAAUAUCUUACACAGUACUAAGUACAUAUGUGGCCAACUAACUACCACUCAUAUUAAAUAGAACACUUGUCUACUACAAAAUAUCUACUAACUAGGAGUUUCUACAUAAAUCUUAAUUUCCUAACACUUCUCCUUAAGAUUUUUCAUCGAAAUUCCCUGUAACGACCUUUGAAACUCAAACUUAAUGGAGGGAAAAGCCUUAGUUAGAAUAUUAGCUUGUUGUUAUUCACUUUUUCAAUGCACCAUCUUAACUUCCCUAUUCUUCUCGGUAUCUUGCAACACAUGGAAUCUAAUGUUGCUAUGCUUCAUCCUUCCAUGUUGCACUAGAUUUUCGUCCAAAGCAAUAGCUGAUUUAUUAUCCACAUAGAUCACAGAUGUUUUAUUGGGCAAAAGAUCCCUUUCAAAUAAGAUUUUUGUCAACCAAAUUUCUUAUUGCAACCACAUACUCGGCUUCAGCUGAAGAUUGAGCUACAAUAUCCUGCUUCUUUGUGCUCCAUUAAAAAAUUCCUGAACCAACUGAAAAAGAGUAACCAAAUAUGCUUUUGUAAUUUUAACAACCCCCACUUAGAAUAAAAAGUCCCACAAGCAAGACUUACUCCCUAGUAACGCAUUUUAAAUCCGUAUGAUCCUAGACCUAGAAUGAGCAAUAUCACUAGUGGGUUGGGCUGUUAUAGUUGUCUUUAGGGUGUUGAUGGUUUGGGAUACCCAUCACGGCCAUGGCCCCAGCUUAGGUCGUGAUAGAAUGGAAUCGUAGUUGCUUCUGUGUCAACCUUGUAAAUGUGCGCCACAGUUAAAAUUGAGUUUAGGAAAAUCAAGAUAAGGUAGGGAAAACCUCUAUCCUGAGUCUAGGAAAAUCCCAUUCAGUAUGGCAAACCUGAGCGAGUACGCUGAGUCCAUAAAGGAGGGUGUAUGUAACAACCCCAACUUAGGAUAUGGAGUCCCACAUCGGCAAAAUACAAGAGGGAUGCUGGUUAUAUAAGUAAGCAAGACUUACUCCCUAGUGAUCCAUUUUAAAGCCAUACGGGCAUGGACCCAGAGAGAACAAUAUCACUAGUGGGUUUGGCCAUUACAAGGGUCUCUCGAGCCUUGAUGGCUUGGGAUGCCCAUUGCCACCAAGGCCCUCUAAUUUACCUUAGCACUCUUUUAGCAGGUCCAAAAUUCUUGGUGAUGGGACAUUAUAUGUAUUGGGAUAAUAAACUAGCAGCAAACAUCACAUCUCGCCUGGUAGCAGUCAAAUACAACAAUCUUCCAAAAAGGCUUCUAUACAGUUGUGAAUCUUCCCUCACUUCUCUAUCAUAUUUCAUUAACUUUUCAUUCAUAACAAGUGGAUUUACAACAGGUUUGCACUUAUCAAGCUUGAACCUUUUUAAAAGAUUCAGGGCAUACCUCUUUUGGGACAAGAAAAUUCCUCCAGAAGAUAGAGAAAUUUCCAUUCUCAAGAAGAACUUCAUCUCCCCAGAUCAGACAUUUCAAAAACUUUUAACAUCAUCUUUUAACUUCUUGAACCAUAGAGAAUCUUCACCUGUGAUCAUCAAAUCAUCUUCAUCAACAUAAAGGGAUAUCAUAAUCAACCUCCCAUCAACAUUCCUUUUGAAGUAUAAAGUAGGCUCAUUUAUGCUUUGGUUGAAGCCUUGAGAUAGCAAAUGAGUAUUCAGGCUACUGUACCAAGCUUUCAGAGCUUGUUUAAGGCCAUAAAGAGCUUUUUUAAGCUUAUACACCUUGUCUUCUUCACCUGCAACUAUAAAACCUUUUGUUUUUUCAACAUAAAUAUCUUCUUCAAUAAAUCUAUUUAGAAAUGAAAAUUUGACAUCUAAAUGGUAGAUUUUUAACUUAUAUUGUGAUGCAAGAGCGACUAGAAAUUUUACUAUUUCAUGCCUCGUGAUAAGAGCAAACAUAUCUACAAAUUCCACUCCAGGCUGCUGGGAAUAACUUUUAACUAUGAGCCUAGCUUUAUGUUUGAAGAUGAAGCCAUCUGGAUUAAACUUCAUUCUAUAGACCCAUUUGACACCAAUCAUGUUCUUUUGUUUGGGCCUAUCAAACAGCUCCCACGUAUCAUUUUUAUUAAUCAUGGAAAGAUCAUUCUCUAUUGCAGAAAUCCAAGCUCCAUAACCUGCUUUUUCUUCAAAGGAAAAUAGUUCCACAAGAGGAAAAAUACAUUGCUCAUAAACUUCAGCUAGUGAUCGGAUUUUGAGAUGGAACUGAAGUACUCCCAUCUUGGUUCCUUACAACAAUAUCUUGAUCCCAAUCAUAGUAGCUAGACUUAUCCACCAUAAGAUCUCUACUGAUUGGAACCUUCUUCAUAUGAAUAUUAUACACUUUGUACACUUUUACAACUGUGCUAUAGCCCAACAAAAUACAGAGAUCUGCCUUGUUAUCCAAUUUGCCUCUUUUAGCAUCAAGAAUAUGUGCAUAGAAGACUGAACCAAAUACUUUUAUGUGUCUCGCAGAUGGAUUUAUACCUUUCCAUACUUCAAAUGGUGUCAUGUCUUGGAGUUCUCUAGUUGGAAAUUUGUUCAGAAAAUAGACUGUGGUAUUAACUGCCUCAACUUAAAAACAUUUGGGUAUCUUCUUUUCUACUAGCAUACAUCUCACAUCUCCAUCACAGUUUUGUUCUUUCUAUCCAAAACCCCAUUUUGUUCUGGAGUGUAGCUCAUAGUAAAUUGUUGUUGAAUUCCCACAUCUUUACAAUACUUGCUGACCUGAUGUGAAGUAUAUUCAGUUCUAUUAUCUGACCAAAUAUACUUCAACCAGCAGCCACUCUCCUUUUCUACCAUAGCCUUGAAUUCUUUGAAAACAGAAAACACUUGAAUUUUGCUGCUUAAAAAAAGACCCAUGUCAUUCGAGUUAGAUCAUCUAUAAAGGGAAUAAAAUAUUUAUUCCUUUCUCAAAGAAGUCGUCCUUAUUGGUCCACAUAUAUCUAUAUGAACCAAUUCUAGAUUUUUCUUCUCCCUCCAAAGACUUCCUUUAGGAAAGGUUUCUCUAUGCAAUUUAUCAAAUUGACAUGACUCACAAACAUCUCAGCACAUGUUAUUUUGGGUACAUCCAGCACCAUACCCUUGGAUUGCAUGUACACCAAUGAACUAAGAUUGUAAUGAUUGAAUAUUUUGUGCCAAAGACAAGUAUCACAUAUUUCAACAUUGAAAGAGCAACUUAAAUAGCAUAAAAUUGGAAAGGAAUUACCAAUCAUGCUAAUUUUAUAUACUUCACAACCUUUAGGAUCAUAAAUGACAUAUUUUUAUCCUUAAAAGUAAGUGAAUAAUUAUUGUGAAGCAACUGAGCAACACUCAACAUGUUUUGAGUCAGGCUUGGAAAAUUAAGAACAUCGUUUAUGAUUUUCAUACCUUUGUACAUAGGGAAUUUCACUGAUCCUCUUUCUUGAGCUUGUACCAGGUCACCAUAUCCAAGCUUCACUUUAUUCCUAUCAAACCUAUCCAAGCUAAUAAAUAGACUUUCAUCAAUGGCUAUGUGCCUUAUGAAUGCACUAUCAACAUACCAAUUAUAUCGAUCAAUAUGUGAUAUGUGUGAAGCCAUGAAUACCUCCUCUUCUGAUUUUUCAACUUGGCGAUUUUUUGUAAAAUUUACUCGUUUGGAAGACUGACCACUUUGAGCUUGCUUUUGGCUGCAAUACUUCUCAAUAUGUCCAUACUUUUUACAAUAUCAACAUUGGAUAGGAGACCUCUUAGACUUUUGCCAACAAUUCUUCUCUAAGUGGUUUAUCUUCUUACAAAUAUCACAAGGUGGAAAUUUUCCUCUCCUCGAUGAUUCGCCUAGGUAUCCACCAGAUUUCACCUCUCCAGAGUGGUCUAAAGAGGCUUUUUUGUCUUUCUUUUAUUUAUUGAAUUUAUGCCUUAUUUGAAAGGCAUCUUUGACUAUCCCUUCACUUCUCACAGUUACCCAUUGCUCUUGGAUUUGCAAUUUAAAGAUCAACUCAACUAUUAAAAAAGUAGUCAAGACACAAGACACUUCAAUAGUUGAGAUUUUUGAUCAAGCUUGUCCAGAAGGAUGACCAUGAUCUGCUCUACAACUUUCUAAUCUAGAAAGUUUUCACCAAGUAUCCUUAUUUGUUUCAUAAUAUCCAUCAGCCUGGAAGAGUAUUCUUUUACACUAUCUGAGUCCCUCUUCAAGGUUAAGACCUUGAUAGACUUCACUCUAUUUAUGCCUUCAAACUCCUCCUUUAGAUUAUCCCAGGCUUCUUUGGCUGUCGCAUAAUCCAUAAUCCUUGUAAACAUCACUUCCCUAAGACUUGAGUGUAUGCAAGUGAGAGCUCUUUGAGAUCUAGUCACCAAUACAUCAUAAUUUUUUAUAUCGUUGAGAGUUGGGUUGUCUCUUAAUGGUUGGACAAAAAGUUCUCCUCUCUCAAUGAUAUCUCACAAGUUGAGAGCCUUUAAAUAAGCCUUCAUUUUAAUGGCUUAAAUAUGGCAAUUCUCCCCCAAGAAAAUUGAAGGACCCAUUGUUGGACGAUUUUUUGUUGCCAUGUUUAUUCGGCAAAAAUAUCUAAGAGAAAGGAACUAAAAAUAUUAUGAGCCAAUCAACUAAAAACAAAUUCAGAUCCCACAAAAAAUGGGCUCUUAUACCAUGUCACUUGAAAGACAAGAAGAACUGAGAAGCAACAAGUUGAAAUAGGAAUAAAAUGGAGCUAUAAAUUGCUACCAGUAAACAAACUACAGAGAAAGAAGAGAGUUGAAACUUGUUGAGUACUCUAUUUAUUUCUCUUGAUAGUUCACUGCAUAGUCUACACAUAUAUAUAGUGUGUAUGUGAGGAAUACAAACCACAAAACAAGCAAAAUAUCUCACACAAUACUAAGUAAAUAUGUGGCCAACUAACCACCACUCAUUUUAAAUAAAAGACUUGGCUACUACAAAAUAUCGACUAACUUGGAAUUUCGAGAUAAAUCUUAAUUUCCUAACAGUUCCGCUACCUCAUACUUUGAUACCAUCUGUUAUAUGUAAUUGUAUUAUUCAACUUCUGUCUAGGUACUGGUCUCUUUAAAGAAUUUAUCACUUCACUCUCUUGCUUGUGUGCAGGUUCUCCAUGUAAAAAAGUCAUAAGUUUGAUGUUUACAACCUUAUUUAAUCCCAUCAAUCAACUUCUGAGGCUGGUGAACCCGAUGCUUCAUUCUUAGCCUUCCAUAUUCCAUACACUAGUGCUAUGAGCACAACCAAGACAAAAUCCCUUCAUUUUCUUCUUUUCAUUAACCUAACCAUCCAUUUCCACUGUACCAUUCUCUCUAUGUUUUAUAUAUUCAAAGACAGCCACUGCAUCAUGCUCAUUAAGCGAGUAGCAGUGAAUGGAUACUCAAAGAAGAGAUACGUGACAUACUCCUCAGUAUUCUCACAGUUCAUACAUCUUUUGUUUAGAACUAUGCCAUUUGUGUGCAAUCGAUCCUUGGUUUGUAGUCUUUCAUUGACUGCCAACCAAGCAAUAAAUCUAUGCCUUUGUAUAUUCAUUCUAUUCAAGAUCUAUUACCUCCAAAGUUCUUCUUCUAGGCUGCCCUGUAGCCAUUUUUAGCCACUACUGAUUGAGUAUUUGCUUGAUCCCUUUAGCCAUCUCUCUUGUACAUAUCCCCUUUCCACUUUGUCUCUAGUAGAGAAGAUCUUCUUCCAAUACCACUUUCACAAGGAGGCUUCUAUUCUCACCAUGAGAUGCCCUUCAGAUAGAUGUGAUCAACCCAUUUCACUCAUAGGUUGUUGGAUUUUCGUUCUAUGUUCCAAACAUGCUAUGGACGCCUCAUUCCAAGUAACCCCUUUAUAAUUCCCAAUCUUCCUACUUUCCUUGGUCUGCAUACUAAGUCCCAAUCAACCAAUGGGGCUUUAUUGUUAUGUUAUGAUCCUCGCCAUAAGUAGCUUCUAAAAGUGGCAGUUAUGGUCUUCAUCACUUUCUAAGGCAGUAUGAAUAUUGAGGCAUGUUUGCAGCAUAUAAAUUUGAUUUUGCUGGGUUAGUGGUAAGACUAAAAACAUUGGAGAAGGUUUUCAGACCCUUUAACAUGAACAUAGUGUUUAGUGGAAGUCUCCAGCAAAUUGAGUUCAACCUGCAAGACCAAUUUGCACAUCUGAAGCUUGUUGUGGUUGAAAAAUAUAUUUCUCGAGUUAUUUUGGCUUUUGAAAAAUCUGUUUCCCUUAUCCCUCAUGUUGAUGACGCUAGAUGCUUGUUCUACCAGUCAUGUUUGGCUGAUUUGGGGAAAUGUAGCCAUAUUUAUCUGUGUUGGAAUUUGAUAAGAAUGGUGAUCGUCUUGCUGCUUUUGAUGCUCAAGCUGGUGGUAUCACAAUUGUUCGCCAUAAUGAGACCUUUUUUUCUUGGGAUGUCUAUAGGAAAUACAUGUGGUGCAUAGAGUUUGUCUCCAUGAAUUAGUAUUGAAGAGAUGUACGUGUUUCCCUCCUACUCUGGGACCUGGUCCCAUAGAGACGUAUGCAACAGGAAGCUAAAUAAAACGUAAAGUAAAUAAAUAAUGAAUGCAACAAAUUUUACUUGGAAACUCCUUGCUCAAGGGAGAAAACCACGAUUUGCCUCAAGGAUUUCCAAUAGCUCCAUUAAAGCAACCUUAAGUACAAACUCCAUGGCUUCAAGGAUUACACUCCUAAUCCUUAUUCACCUCAUAAUAACUCUAUUACAAUUAUAUCAGUGCAAUAACACUAUUGCACACUGACUCAGCUACCUCUAACUGAAUCAAGAAGCUAACUCUAGCUUCUAAAUCACCUAACUCUAGAUGAUUAGCUGGCAAUUUAAGCUUGCUAGCAAUGCACCUACUAUUAAGUAACCAUGAAAGUAGGCUACGUUUCUAUAAUUACAAAAGAUAGAAGUAAGCUUCUUGUUUAUUAAAUAAUGGAUAAAGUAUAUAGUUUGUUAGUUUUAGUAGAAGAAAUAAGGAAGAGAGAUCAGAGGAGAAGAAGAUUAAAGAGAAAAGUUAUUGCUUGUAUUGAUGAGUUAAGCACAAUGUACAUGGUCAUAUAUUUACUAACUUGUGAUAUGCCUAACUAACUCAACUAGCCAUUAACGACCUCUUAUAACUAAAUGCUAAAAUAGUUACAAUUGAAAACUGGAAAAAAGUCUACUUUAUUUUCUAUUUGAGGUCACCACCCCUUUAUUGUCUUCAACACUCCUCCUCAUGCUAGGAAGGUGCGAAGAUGUCACAGAUUCCUAGCUUGGUAUUAAGAUAAACUUGUUGAGCUCUUGUCAGUCCUUCUGUCAGCAUAUUUGCAGGUUGAUCUUGAGUUGUAAAGCAGUGAGUCUUGAUCAUUCCUUGGGUCAAUGUUAAUAUUCUUUGUCCUCUCAUGAUAUAUUGUAUUAGCUAUUAUUUGUAGUGCAGUCAAUGUUAAUAUUCCUUGGACUAUUUUUUCCCUUGUCAGUCCUCUCAUGCUAUCACCGAACACAUCCACAGGUAGCAUUACUUCACUUUUAAUUUCCUUCAUCAAACCUAGAAUCCAUACUAUUUCAGCUGUUACUACUACAAGACUUGAAUUCUGCCUCAGCUGAGCUCUUGGAGAUAGUGUUUUAUUUUUUUGAUUUCCAAGAUGCUACUGACUAUCUAGUCUUCACAAAUUAACUAGUCACAGACCUUUUAGUUUGAGGAUAUGAGGCCCAGUUUGUAUCACAGUAGGCACUGAAUUUAUUAUCUGAGCCACUAAACAACAACACACCUUGACCUGGUUGUCUUUUCACAUACUUUAAUACUCUAAGUGUUGCCUUCAUGUGUGAUCUUUUAGGGUCUUUAAGAAAUUGACAGAGUGUUUAAAAACAGAAGGCUAUGUCUGGCCUUUUCAUAGUUAGGUAUAACAACUUUCUAAUCAAUUUUUUAUAAGCGACAUGAUUUGUUGUUUGAUCCUCAGCAGUCUGUCUAUGCUUAACAUGAUCAUCAAACUAUCUAGAUGUUAGCUUGAUGUUUUAGUCCAUAGGAGUAGUUGUAGUCUUGGUUGUUGUUAAGACUAGAUCAUAUAGUACUGAAUAGUUAAGCAUAGCACAGACACCUUGUACCCCCUGGAUGUCACACGGUACUCAGGACCACAAGUGAUCUCAAGCUAACCCUUGUAUUGGCAUAACUCAUGAGCAACUAAAAUAAAUACUUAAUUAUGAAAGAAUAAUGCGAACAAUAAAUCUUUUUUGAAUAUUAUCAGUACAAACUAUAUUAAGAUAAUUACGACUCUAAUUUUACAAAACAAUCUGGAAUCAAAUGCAUCAACUUCUACUGAUUGUCUAUGAAGCCUCUACUAGUAUUGACUAUAGGUAGCCGGGACAUGGCCCUCAGCUAUCCCGAAUUAAUACGACUAACUGAAGAAAACAAAAUACUACACAAACUAUGGCUAACUCGAUCCCUUGAAUCAAAAAGACUCAUCACCUGCUGAUUGGAAGAUGCUACUAUCUGAUUCUGAUAUGCACACUACAACUUGUACCUACAUUAUAAAACACUGUAGAACAUAGACGUAUAUAUGGAUCCGUACUUUUUGAAUAUAUGUACUGAGCAUGUGGGGUUGAAUGCAUAAGUAAAAAUAGUAACUAACUGUGCAUAUAACUGGUAAAGAAUGCAUGCUAAGUGUAAAUGACUCAUGUUGGCUAGAGUACUGUAAAGACUGCUAAAUAUAAGCAUACUAUAGUAAAGUAUAAAACUAAUCUUUUUGAGCCUUCACACUUAGUUCUAAAAGUUGUACUUUUACUCUUUCUGUUCGUGGAAUAAGUUGGACUGAAGUUAAGUCUAUUUUUUUUAAAUCAUGUAGACUAAGUGUAAAAAGGGCUCACUUUUAUCAUCGGUAAACUGAAAUCUAAAAUUUCAUAGAAAAUGUCUUAUGUAAAAUAAUAUCUAAAUAAAAUUGUGAGUUUUUACUCUUUGUUUCUAGAAGUUGUUCUAUUAUUCUGUCUUAGGACUUAGGGAGUUUCUUCUAAAAGGUUUCCUAUUAUUAUUUUUUGUUAGGGAGGUUCUUUUAAUUAACAUAAACCAUGUGAGCUAUCAUGAAGUCCAACAUCUAGUUCCCCUAAGGGGAAAACCUCACGUUGGGGAGAAGUGUCAUACUCUUGCCAAGGGGUACAAACUGAGCUGGGUGAUCACAAUCUGUAUGCGCAUCCAUAUAAAUGGGAAUAAUCUGAAUUUGUACCUACGUUGGAUCUUAGUUCUAGGGAAUUUCAACUGAGACACAUACCCAACUCGGUGAUAAAUACUAGUCACUUUUACUUAUAUGCUCAUUCUGAAGGAAAUCUAUUUUAAAAUUGGCCUAAGGGUUUUAAAUGAAAACUAGUUAUGCAUCUGUCUUUUCAAAACUGUAAUCAAAACUAUGUGGAUUUCGUAUCUUAGCUGAGGAUCAAUAGGUAAAAUCUUUUCUUAAAAUUUGAAUACAUACUUAUCAAAAAAUGCUUAAACAUCAUCUUUCUUGAAAUAUCAAUAUCUAAACUUGGGGCUUCAAUCCAUUCUUGAAACUUAUGUCAAUCACAUCAACUUCAUGCUCAGUAAAAUAAUCUUGAAAUAGUUUAGGAAUUCUAAUUAAGACAAUGAAAUUUAAUUCUCAAUAUAUGAAAUCAAAUCACACACAUGAAUUUGUGAAAGUAGUUAUGCAAUUCAACACUUAAAUCAUUUGUAACAUCAUAAACUUCACCAAUGAUAAUUGGGAUGAACCCUAGACUGAAAAUCAUAUAAUUUAAAUUUAAAAACUAGUUUUGGGCACAAGGAUGAAAGAAGUAUCUUUCUUCAUAACCCCACAUACCUUGAUUGAAAGAAUCCUUGGAGAGAACUUCGAAUUUGGAACUUAACUUCUUGAUUCUUGAGAGAUGUCAUUUGGAUUUUAUUUCUUGGGAGUGGAAGAGGGUUUUUGAUUUGUUUACUGAUUUCUUAGGAUUAAGAGAGAGGAUUUUAUGUGUUUAAUAUCUCAUAAAAAUGUUUUGAAGUAAUUAGGGACGGUUUAGUGUUGUGAAAUGACUUCAACACCCUUGAUCUAGGUCAUAACGGAGUAUUUUUCGCACUUGGCAAUGAGUUAAGUGGUUCCCAGUCAAUCGCCCAGUCAAGGUGGGAGCCACCUUUUCAACCACCUAAGUUUGGUUGGGCGGUGCCUAACCAAUCGCACAUCCUUAUUGCCUCUCAUGAAAAUAGGCAUAACUCUUCGCUCGGGUAUCGGAUUAAGGGAUAAUUUGUAUCGUUGGAAAGCCAAUUCGAUUAUCAACAAUUUGGUGGAUUUUAAGCUGCCAAAUUCCAUAUAUUCAUAAAGUUAUACUCUUAGCUCACUUGACUCUAAGUGACACUUAUAAAUGUCUUUCCCACCUCACAAUCUUUAUUCACACUAUUUUAAUGAUUAUGAAACAUGGAUUCAAGUAUGAAUCACGGGACUAGAGUUUACACUUAUAGGAACAAAGGUCCGAUUCCUAGCUUAGAUACAUACGGGGUAUUACAAUAUCUCCCCCUUGGAAUUAUUCGUCCUCGAAUGAUAGGUAGGAACUUAUUGAAACAUUAAUAUUAUGGAAUAAUGUAGACAUGACAUGUCUACUAAUGAAGGAUAUAGGUGAGAUGAUACUUUUAAAAUCUCUGAGGUGACUUGACCUUACUGACUAUCAGUAACUGAUUCAUGCUUGGAGUUUAGAACUCGUUUGAAAUUUCCAUGAAACAUUCAUUAUUAUUAUACUGUGAAGUGCUAACUGAUACAUGAACUAAAUAUCAUGACUGGUCUGAUUUCUUAAAUACAAGCCGUGACAGGAGAAUGGUUAUAAGGCUAAGAUAGAAAUGAGAGGGUUAACUUAUUAGUACCCAUUACUUCAAGCUGGAUCUUGUUUCAUGAUGAAGAAUUGAGUGGUAUAGAUCAUGGAAACUCAGGGUAUUACUCUCCCCCUUGGGACAUAUUGUCCCCUGAAUAACACAAACUUGGAUUAAACACUGAGGAAAGACUAAGGUGAUGCACAGGACACAUAUAGCUGAUUCAUGACUUAAUAUCUGAAUCUGAAACUAAAACCGAUGCAUGAUGCAUGAACUAAGCUGAAUUUGUAAUUUGCAUGAAUGUGAAUACUCUACCUCAUAGAAUGGCCUUACUCGUGAAGCUUUGGGUAGUAAGACCAAAUGGAAUGUUGGAAAUCUAUAGGAGCUUAUCUUCUUUAUUGCUAAACUGGAUCACAGGCUUUUGGAUUGGAUCAUACUAAAUGCUUAUACCCAAAUGGAGUAUUUCUUCAACACUCUUCUAAGAAAUUCUAAUGAUAUUAGGGAGAAAAAAACCUUUGGGCAUGAUCUGAGCAAGACAUCUAAAUAAGAAAUUACAAUAUUGCUACAACACUAUAGCAUGGAACAUAGGCCUAUAGAUCAUAAGCUAGGAUAGAAUUACUAGGCCUUUGGAAAUGCAACUUCUUACCUUCAAACUUAGCAACACUUUUCAAAUACUCUCUCAACAAUACUAUUCUGCUUAAAUACCAAACUCAUUGAUUCAACUUAAAGUUUUCACAGGGCAUUGAUAAAUCUAUCUACUAAAGUCUAAACUGAACUAAAUUCUCUCACCAUGAUCAAUCCUAACUCGAAAUCAGUAGGUACAACAUGCUACACCAUAAUACUAGUCUAAACCACAUGAUUCAAUCUUCUAUGUCAUUUCUAGAGCUCACGCCCUAAGAUAACUAUCACGACCCGAACUAGGGCCUGACCGUAAUGGAUAUCCCGAACCAAGAGAGCUUGGGCUUCCUACUCUAUCUGGUAAUUAUGCACAAUAUUCACAUAAUAAAAAAAGAUGCGGAAAUAUAAUCUGAUACGGAGAUAUAAUCAUGUACACCCCUAAAAGUCUAAAACUCCACAGGCUAUAUGGAGUCUGCCAUUGACUCAGCGGGGAAGCCCCCAACCCAACUGUGCCGCAAGGGUUAGAGUAUCUAAGUCUAAUACGCCACAGGGCACUAGGCCAGCAUAAUAUAAUGUACUCGAAUCGGCAAAUCACAGUUUUGGGCAAAGAGUUGUCUGAAACUCAUGACUUCUUCGGGGGACCACCUAACAUCUCUUUGUGCCUAAUUUUAUCCAUUUCUAACACAUCAUUCUAAAAUCUUAAGUCAUGAAAAUCUGGUUUCUAAGCUUGUCUGAGUGUAUUAUGGUACUAUCUAUUUUUGGUAUCAUCAUACCAAGACUUGCAAAACAUAGUUCAGAACACCCAAACAAGCAAUUUAGCAAAGAGAAUUCAUGUUUCGAAAACAUAAGUCAAAGCUAUGCAAAAGCUCUCAUCCUUUCAAUAAACAAGUGGUGGUCAUAUAAUCUUUAACAAACCAUGCAAAUCUAUUCAUUAUAUGAUUAUGUUCAACAUUCAUCAACAUAAAUAACCCUCUCUCUUUUGGAAUCAAAAUCAUAAUCCAAAUAUAACAUUAUUCAAGACAUUUCAUGACAUGCUUUUUAAGAUGCAUUUAAACAAUUUCAUAGUAUAUAAUAAGUAAAUGAAAAUCAUCACAAGAGAGGGAUUUUUUUCAUGAAUCAUGAUCUCAAUUCAAUCAUCAUCCUUAAAACACAUGUUUACAUAUAUAUAAAAUAUCAAAUCAAUUUGGGGGAAGUCCUAAAGGCCUAAACAAUAUCAUCAACGUUUCUAAAACAUGAAUAUAUUCAUAAAUCGGAAACCCUUUUCUGAAAAAACAUGAUUUCUAAGCCCAUGAGAUUUUAGGAAAACCCCGCAUACGUCAAUCUCGAAAAAUAAUAGAUGAUUUGUGAAGCCUACGACGAGGGUAUUCCAAAUCUCUAAUUAUCUUCUAAAAUCCACAGUUGAAUCUUAAGUUAUUUGGGAUUCUUGGUUGAAACCCUAGAGAGUGUUCUUGAUGGUUUUUCAUGAAAAUAUCAAUAAAGAGGUCAUUUGGGAUUAAAAUCCUGGGUUUAAGCUGAUAAGAGGGUGAAAAAUACCUAACGUACCCUUGAUGAGACAGAAUAAAAAUAUAACUAGGAGCUCGAUUUUAUGGGCCACCGCCACACGCCACAAUCGUGGUGGCUCACUGGAAUUAGAUGAAUGGGAUUCUUAGGAUCACCGCGAUGCGGGAGCCAACGCAUUGUCCCACUGGUUGGGACCUGGAGCUUCAGCACGACAUGCCACAGUCGUGCUAGGCUACUGGAAUUUAACAAUUGAUAAAUAGACCCACUACGCGAUGCGCCAAGCACCCAAAUGAUGGUGUUUUACAAUUAGGACUUAAAUUAUCCAUAACUCCUUGCCCAGGUAUCGGAUUUGGACAAAUCUUAUAUCGAUGGAAAGUUCAUUCAAUUUCCCAUAUGAUAAAAAGUCAAAAUUAGGGAAAUUAUAUAUGGUUUAAGCUUUACUCAUUUUGGAAGACAAAAAUGAGACUAAGUCUCUUUGACACUAUUCUAGUCAUUUAACUCUAAGAGCAUAUUACCAUUAGCUAACAUAUGGACGAUUUUGCAAGGUAUUACAUUAUCCCCUCCUUGGGAUCAUUCAUCCUCGAAUGAUGUCACGGAACACAAAAAAGCAUGAUUUAAAGUAUACGAAGACCAAAAAAGAAUAAGACAAGGAUUGUACCUUCCAUUUCGUCAUUCACCGGAUCAAAUAGGUCUGGGUAUCGAUCUCUCAUGUCAUUUUCUGUUCCCAAGUUGCUUCCUUAACUUUCUGAUUUUUCCACAACAUUUUGAUCGAGGUUAUUUCUUUGCUCCUCAGUUUCCUUACUUGGUGAUCCAAGACUGCCAUGGGCUCUUCUUCAUAGGAUAAGGAGCCUGUCACUUUGACCUCCUUUACAGACAACACUAAUGAAUGGUCUCCAAUAUAUUUCUUUAACAUAGAUAUGUGAAAUACCGAAUAAACAGAACCCAAACUUGCUGGCAACUCUAAAUCAUACGCAACCCCGCCUAUCCUUCUUAAAAUCUGGUAUGGCCCUAUAUAGCGAGGACUCAGUUACCUUUCUUCCCGAAUCGCAUAACUACCUUCAUAGGGGGUACUUUGAGAAACAUCCAAUAACCAACCUCAAACUCUAAGUCUCUUCUCCUAACAUCGGCAUAGGAUUUUUGUCUACUCUGGGCUUUUUUAAGUCGUUCUCUAAUAAUUUUCACGUCCUCCAUCGCCUGAUGAAUAAGAUCCAGCCCGAACAACUGAGUCUCACCCACUUCAUACCACCCUAUCAUUGAUUUACAUCUUCUCCCAUACAAAGCUUCAAACGGAGCCAUCUUAAUACUGGCAUGGUAGUUGUUAUUAUAAGCAAACUCUAUUAACGGAAAGUCAUCUACCCAGCUACCUUUGAAGUCAAUUACAUAAGCCGUCAAUAUAUCCUCAAGGGUCUGAAUGGUGUGCUCAGCUUACCCAUCAAUCUGAGGGUGAAAAGCAGUACUCAGGUUCACUUAGGUACCUAAACCUCUCAUAAAAGACCUCCUAAACUAUGAAGAGAAUUUCGUACCUCUUUCAGAUAUAAUGGAUACAGGAACCCCAUGCAAAUAGACUAUCUCCUCAAACUAUAGCUUAGCAUAAUCAUCUCCCAAAAAGUUGGUCCUUACAGGCAGAAAGUGAGCUGACUUAGUCAGCCGAUCAGCAAUGACCCAAAUAGAAUCAUACUAGUUUUGGGACAUCGAAAGUCCCAUAAUGAAAUCCAUAUUGAUCAUUUCCCAUUUCCAUAAAGGCAAAGCAAUCUCUUAGGAAGUAGCACUAGGCCUCAUAUGCUCUACCUUAACUUGUUGACAGUUCAAACACUUGGAAACAUAGUUAGACAUAUUGUACUUCAUAUUAUUCCACCAAUAAAUGGUUUUCAGAUCAUGAUACAUCUUGGUAGAGCCUGGGUGAACAACAUUAUUUGAAGUGUGAGCUUUGUUAAGGAUUCUCUUCCACAGACCAUCUACAUCUGGCACACACAAUCUACCCUGAUAUCUCAAAAUACCAUCACCAUUAAUUUCAAAGGACAUCACCUUAUGUUGACCCAUAUCUUUCCUGAUUUGUAUCAAGAUGGGAUCUUCGAUCUGCUUCUCUUAAACUUCAGUACAAAGGAAUGAUUUAGCUAUCUCAUGAACAAUUACCCCUCCAUCUUUAAAAUCUAAGAGUCGCACUCCAAGAUUUGAAAGUCGGUGAAUAUCCUUCACCAUUUCUCUUUUCCCUUCUUCAACAUGAGCAAGGCAGCCCAUUGACAACGUGCUAAGGGUGCCAGCUACCAUAUUUUCCUUGCCCAAAUGAUAUUAUAGGCUCAUGUCAUAAUCCUUUAGCAAUUACAUCCAGUGUCUUUGCCUGAGGUUCAAUUCUUUCUGCGAGAAAACAUAUAGUAAACUCUUAUGGUCACUGAAAUAUCAACAUGCACCCCAUAAAAAUAAUGUCACCAGAUUUUAACCACAAACACCACAACUGCUAACUCUAAGUCAUGGGUGGGGUAAUUUCACUCAUGCACCUGUAAUUGCCUAGAUGUAUAAGCCACCACCUAACCGUGCUGCAUAAGUACACACCCAAGUCCCACACGAGAUGCAUCAUAGUACACAACAAAAUGCUCUGUGCCUUCUGGAAGAGUCAGAACAUGUGUUGUAGUCAAUUUGUCUUUCAACUUCUUAAAACUACUCUCACAGGAGUCGGACCAGACAAACUUCACCUUUUUCUGGGUUAACUUAGUAAGUGGAGUAGCUACGGAAGAAAAGCUUUCUAUGAGUCGUCUUUAAUACCCUUCCAAACCCAAGAAGCUCCAAAUAUCAGUUGGAGUCGUGGGUCUAAGCCAUUUUAUCACUGCCUCAACCUUUUGGGGAUCCACCCUAAUCCUGUCACCAGACAUAAUAUCCCCCAAGAAAAAAAUAGCACUUAGCUAGAAUUCACAUUUGGAAAAUUUUGCAUACACCUUAUGAUCUUUGAGAUUCUAAAGAAUGAUUCGGAGGUGAUUGGCAUGGUCUUCCUUACUCUUGGAAUAAACCAGAAUAUCAUAAAUGAAAAGUAUAACAAACAGAUCUACAAACUGAUGAAACACCCUAUUCAUAAGAUCCAUGAAGGCUCCAGGGCGUUAGUCAACCCAAAGGACAUGAAUAGGAAUUUGUAAUGAUCGUAUCUAGUUUGGAAGGCUGUUUUGGGAAUAUCUGACUCUCUAACUUUCAACUGAUGGUAUCCCGAAUGAAGUUCUAUCUUUGAAAAAUAUUUAGCACCCUGAAGUUGGUCAAAGAGAUCAUCAAUCCUACGAAGAGGAUAUUUAUUUUUAAAAGUGACCUUAUUUAGCUGGCGGUGAUCUAUAUACGUACGCAGGGAACCAUCUUUAUUUGGCACAAAGAGUACAGAUGCACCCCAAGAAGAAACACUGGGACAUAUAAAACCUUUGUCUAGAAGGUCUGCUAGUUGUUCUUUCAACUCUUUCAGUUAUGCAGGAGCCAUUCUAUAUAGCAAAAUAGAAAUAGGACGGGUGUCUGGCAAUAAAUCAAUACCAAAAUCUAUCUCCCUAUUAGGUAGUAUUCCUGGGAGAUCAUCUAGAAAGACUUUUGGAAACUCAUUUACCACAAGGACUAACUAGAAAGGAAGACUUUCGCCGUUAGAAUUUUUAUCCUAAAUAAGAUAAUACAAACAACCUUUGGAGAUAAGUUUACGGGAUCUGAGAUAAGAGAUAAAGUUCCCUCUAGGUGCUAAAGAAUGCCCCUCCCAUUCUAUCACUAGUUCAUUUAAAAAAGAAAAGAUGACUCUUUGGGUUCUACAAUUUAAUGUGGCAUAGUACAAAUGAAGCCAGUCCAUCCCUAGGAUAGCAUCAAAAUCAACCAUAUCUAAGUCUAUGACGUCUGCCACGGUAUCCCGAUCACAAACAAUCACCAUACAAUUUCUAUACACUCUCCUAGCCACAACAAAAUCACCCACCAAAGUGGAAACAGAGAAAGGUUCUGAAAUUUCAUCGGGCUCAAAACCAAACUAACAGCUACAUAAGGAUAAGGUAGACCCGGGAUCAAGUAAUUCAUAAGCAUCACAGGAAAAGAUUUGUAACGUACUGAUGACUAUUUCUGGCGAGGCUUCCAUCUCCUGGUUGUUGGACAAAGCAUACAGCCGGUUGCAACCACUCUCAGUAGCUUAUGUGGCACCCUUUUGGGGAGGUGGUAGUGCGGAAGAAUUUGUCUGUGACAUAGCUCCACCAAUACUCCUCCUAGCGGAGGGACAAUCUCUCUAAAACUAACCCGAUUGAAAACAUGAAUAACACACCAGCGUGACCAACUGACACCUCCUUGGGUGUUGGUUUCCAUUAGUCUCACAUCGUGGAAAAGGACGAUACUGCUGAGCCACACUACCCUGGGGCUGAGUAUCCUAAGCUCUGGGUUCAUGACUAGUCUGAAAACUCUGUGAUCAUCUAUCAAAUGAGGGUUUGGGCACUGGGGCGCUAGCUGCAGACUGCGCAUUACUCCAAAACUUCUUUUUUUGCCAUAUAUUCCCCCAAUUGUCACUCUAUGGCUAACUAUGGUUCUGAUUCGCUGUUCUGGCUGUCUUUUCCUGUCUGUCCUUCUCCCUAUACUCAAUGAUUCUCUUCUUAUUCUUCUCUACCUGCUGGAUAUGCACUGACAGCCUAGAGAAGUCCAUGUCCCUGUUCAGCAUAGUCCCUUUACAUUCAAGCACUAAGUCAUCUAAAAGACCGGAUGCAAAUUUUCUUAUUUGGGCUCUCAUAUUACCAGUCAUCUCUGGAGUAUAACAAGGCAGUUGGUUGAACUUCAGAGUGUACUCCUUGACACUCAUUUUUCCUUAUUUAAGGCUCAUAAACUCCUCGGCUUUGGCCUCUCUCAACUCAAGGGGAAAGAACCAAUCAAGGAAGGCUUCAACGAACUCGCCCCAUACUGUGUCACCAGCACUCUCACCUUUAGAAUCGUCCCACUCAUUAAACCACUGGUUCGCAACUUCUUUAAGCUGGUAAGAUACCAAUUCCACCCCUUCUACCUCGUCUACAUACAUUACCUUGAAGAUCUUCUCCAUCUCCUCCAAAAACUCAUGUGAAUCCUCCUCUACUUUGGUGUCGGUAAACUUGGGUGGGUUUAUUCUCAUGAACUAACCCACCCUAGUAGCCUCAGAUGUGACCGAUGCAUACCCAACAUCUUCCGACCAUUGAUUCUAUAUGACUACCAACUGAGCAAGUAUGUGAAUGGACUAUCUGAAUUUUGCAUUCGAUACUUAUCUCUUGCGAGGAUGAGUGCGGUUAGUCCCAAUUCGGGGAGCUCUAGGUGCCCUAGGUGGGCUGGUCUAAGUAAGUAGGACUCCCAGAGUAGCAUCAAUCUUUGGAGUAUGAGCUUUAUUUUGGUUCCUCAUCCCAUGAGUGGGAUGGACCUCAUCUGUCUGUGCAUUCUGAUCGAUAGUACGACGGGGAGGCAUGAUUGUUUUUUCUGAAAUGUAAGAGAUCACGGAUUAGAGGACAGCUUAGAAUCCAAAGCACAAAUGACAUUAAAAAGAGAGAAAACAUUUUUAAACACCUGGUAGGCUCCUGCUUAUAAGUAAGGCACGCUACACACCCAUAAAUAAGACUCUACCCGAUGCAAUUUCGUAGACACCCUGGGACCAUGAACUGUGCUUUGAUACCAAGUUUGUCAUGACUCAAACUAGGCCCUGGCCAUGACGGACGUCCUGAAUCAAGAAGGCCCGGUCAUCCUAUUCUCUCUGGUAAUCAUGCAUAAUAUUCACAUAAUAAAAGAAAAUGCAAGAAUAUAAUCUGAUACGAAAACAUGGUCAUACUCUGGAUUAAGUUUAAAAAUAAGGAACGAAAUCUGAAAAAAUCACUAACAACAUCUGGAACAGUCUGCAAAAUCUCUACUAUAUGAUCUAAAGAUAACUGUCUGAAAAUAUGGAACAAGGACCCCAGUAGACCAAAACCAUAAUUGAUAAUAAAUGUCUAAAAAUAACUAGGCCUUUUGAAGUAUAGAAGGCUCACCGACUAGAUCCUGCACUUCUAUCUGAAGAAAUCUACUACUUAUCAGGAGUCCUACACUAUGCUUCAGAACCUGGAAGGUAAGGGUGGGUUAAUACAGAUGUACUGGUAUGCAGACCAAUCCAAAAUAAAGCUUUUAAUAUAAAUAAAAUAGUUGAGAGCUAGUCAUAAAACAUCAUAUAUGAUAUAAAUUCCAAAACACAUGGGCAUUUUGAUAAUCAUAUAAACCUUUAUGUCAGUUCAAUUUCUGAUCUACAUAUUACUUCUGAGUUAGGUGGUACACCACUACAAGUCUAAAACCCCACGGGCUAUAUGGAGUCCACCAUUGACUCGGCGGGGAAUCCCCCAACCCAAAUGUGCCACAAAGGUUUGAGUGUCUAAGUCUAAUAUGUCCCAGGGCACUAGGAUAGCAUAAUACAAUGUACCCAAAUUGGCAUAUCAUAGUUUUGGGCAAAGAGUUGUCUGAAACUUGUUCCUUCUUCAGGGGACCACCUAACAUCUCUUUGUUCCCAAUUUUAUCCAUUUCUAACACAUAUCAUUCUGAAAUCUCAACUCAUAAAAAUCUGGUUUCUAAGCUUGUCUGAGUCUAUUAUGGCAUUGUCUAUUUUUGGUAUCGUCAUAACAAGACUUGCAAGUCAUCUGUUCUGAGCGAUAAAGCAUAAACCAUGAUCUUUCAUUAAAACAUAGUUCAGACAACCCAAAUAUGCAAUUUAACAAAGAGAAUUCAUGUUCCAAAACAUACGUCAAAGCUAUGCAAAAGUUCUCAUCAUUUCAAUAAACAAGUGGUGGGCAUGUAAUCUUUAACAAACCAUACAACUCUUUUCAUUAUAUGAUUAUGUUCAACAUUCAUCAACAUAAACAACUCUCUCUCUUUUGGAAUCAAAAUCAUAAUCAAUAAAUAAAAUUAUUCAAGACAUUUCAUAACAUUCUUUUCAAGAUGCAUUCAAACAACUUCAUAGUAUAUCAUAAGUAAAUAAAAAUCAUUACAAGAGAGGGAAUUUUUUCAUGAAUCAUGCUCUCAAUUCAAUCAUCAACCUUAAAACAUAUGCUUAUAUAUAUACAAAAUUUUAAACCAUGUUUAAACUGAUAAGAGGGUGCAAAAUACCUAAUAUAACCUUAAUGAGAAGGAAUAAAAAUAUCAAUGGGAGCCCAAUUUUAUGGGCCACCGAGACGCUCCACAAUCCCAAUGGCUCACUGGAAUUCGAUGAAUGAGAUUCUUAAGGUCACCGCGAUGCAGAGUCAUCGUGUUGUCCUACUUGUUGGGACCUGGAGCUUCAGCGCUAUGCGCUAUAAUUGUGCUAGGCUACUGGAAUUUGAAAAUUUCUAAAUUGACCCACUCCGCGAUACGCCAAGAACCAAAAUGAUGGUGUUUUAUGAUUAGGACUUAAAUUAAGCAUAAAUCCUUGUCCGGGUACCAGAUCUGGGCGAAUCUUAUAUCGACUGAAAGCUAAUUCGAUUUCCCACAUGAUAAAAAGUCAAAAUUAGGGAAAUUAUAUAUGUUUUAAAAUUUACUCAUUUUGGAAGCCAAAAAUGAGACUAAGUCUCUUUGACACUAUUCUAGUCAUUUAACUCUAAGAGCAUAUUACCACGAGCUAAUGCAUGGAUGAUUUUGCAGGGUGUUACAAUAAUAACAUGUCUUACAACUUCAAUGAAUAACUUUGAACUCUCACUAUGGCUUUACUAGCUCAUAUUGCUUUCAUCUACUUACAUCCCAACACGACAUUCUAGCCUAUAAUUAUAACCAUAUAUGAACUUCAAGGCAAACACACAUAAGGCAUACUUCUGAUAUUCCUAAACCUCUAUCUACAACAACUUUCUUGCACCAUGCUUAAGAAUACAUACCAUGAAUUCUCAACUAACUACAGCAUAUACCAAAGAUUUACCUCAAUAUUCCUUCAUCCUUUAACCUUAGAUCGAAAAGCAUAAAUAAUCUUCCUUAAUGAGGGUCAUUAAAUCUCUCUCAUCUAAAUCAUUGCUUAUCCAUUAUCAUCACCACUAUCUUUGCAUAGGAAGAUAUCACUAAAAUCCUAAUGCAUAAGAACCUGAAGAACUAAAAAAUACUCUACAUAACUUUUACACUUAAUUGAGGCCUGAGGAAUAGAGAGUCAAAGAAAUGGAUUCGUUAAAGAGAUCUAAACUGAAUGCAUUCGUAACAUAAACUGAAUAUCAUUAAUAAUUAGUAGUGUAGAAUGAGUAGAUACUGUGAUGACUAACAACUUUGCACAGAUAUAAGAAUAGGUUGGGUACCAUCCUCUUUCACUGUUAUUCUACAAAAUAUUGGCAUUACUACUAGAAUCUGGGAGCCUGACUUUAUUCAUUGUUCUGUGAUCUCCCCUUUAGCUUUAAGCCAUCAUUCUAUGUCUGUGGAACUAUUUACUAAACUCUAAUAUAAACUAAAAUCACUUUACUCUAUAGUUUGGGGUAUAGCAAUACUCAUCAAUAAUAAACUUACCCUGAAAGACUACACCAGAAAGUGUGAAAUCCAUUGCUAAUACCUCCUUCUGAGAUACAACUCUAUGUUUCUAUAGCCCAAUAGUCAUCAUGUGAUAACUUGAACACUUACUAACUUAGAAUCUUCAAGAGUAUCACCAUACCCUAAGUUCACACCAUCUAGAGCUUCAACUCUUAUUUCUGCUAGCUCAAUCUUCAAAGAUUAAAACUUAGAUCUAACACUUGCUAUGGAUAUCCCCAAACCUUCAGCGAACCAUACUAACUUCAUUAUAGGACAUUCUCUUAGUACGUACCACCCUUAACUUACUUUAGCUUCAAUAGUCAUCAUCAUAGACUUACACUCUAUUAACUUGACAAACAUACUUGCCUCACUAAACACAUAAUCAUAGCCUACCAAGAUCUCAUCUCAAAGUUAUAUUUUUCCCAAACCAUAAGAAAUAAAAUCACACUUAAAAUGCUCACCACCAACUAUCCAUAACUCCUCACUUAUCUACUACGAACACCAUGUCCGAUAUAGCUAGCCUUCUUCCACUUAACCACUCAGGGUACUAUUAACCACAAAUAAUACUUAAUAAACUUUGAAGAUAAUACAACCCCAUAUCACCUUCGGCACACCUCUAUAUCAUACCUAUAGUAUCAUACUGAAUUACGAAUACAUGAACUUAAGCUCUUGCAUACAUUGUUCAAGCCUACUAGACCACUUCCAUAUAACUAGAAUCACCAACCAAGCAAUCGCUAUGUCCACCUUAAUGAUCAUCCACUGUUCAAACUUAGUGUUAAGUGAUAGACAUGAUUAAUGACCCAACCUUACAUACUAUUCUCUCUUGGAAUCUACAAAAUAAAAUAUCACGAAACACUUGUCCACUAGAACUUCAUAACAACAAUAAUUGGUUAUAAUAAUAUAAUAUAUCUUAUUAAAUUACAUUAGCACAUCCUCCUUCUACACAUUAUGAAUGUUUUCCCAUCUAUACACCUAGAUCUAGAAACCUCAACCAAUUUAUCUUUGUUUUCACAACCAUACGGGAAAACCUACAUUAACAAUACUUGACCACCAAAUAUUUUCAUUAAUAACCUAUACUUCUCUAAUGCAAUAAUUACCAUCAAUAACUCUUUUUUAUAUACUUCAAGCUAGCAAUAAUUCACCUUAACUAAUAACUCUUUCUCUACUCUUUACCAAGGAACUUUUACCUCAUUCAUUACCCCUAAGCAUAUACACAAAGAACUAUCACCUUAACACAAACUAAAAAGCAUAAAUAAGUUUAUCUCUAUACACUCUAUUAAUCGUCAUUCCCACUUUUCUUUUCACUACAUUUCUAUAUGCAUACUUUGAACUAUAAGAAAGUUCUACUGCUUAUGAAUCAUAACACUCCAGGUUACAAUAUCCCUAAAAUGCAAACUCUAUUCAACAAUCUAGGUUCAUACUCUCUCCCCUUAUGAGGACUAUCUGUAUUGAAGAAAUAAUGAGAAAUCUGAAUGCGUAUCUUAUUUUGUCUUAACUAAACAAAUCAUAUGGAUAUGGGCAUAACUUUCAAUUUGAGGAAAUUAUAACACACUAGAGAGCUCCUCUUAAGCCCCUUGUAUGACUUCUGAAGUUAUUGAUAGUAAAUUUGAGAGCAUCAUCUUAGGAGGAAUUGGAACUUGCUAAUCAUAUUAUCUCAAAAAUAUAACAUAGAUGGAGAAUUAUGGAGUAACAUACGAAUCGACAGAAGUUUCUAAGAGAAGAACUUUACAGCACGAUCUAGAGUAUGAAAGAAAGAAGACAUUUCUUAAAUGCCUUGCAGCCUCUCGAAGACUGCAAAAAUCUACUUGACAUAGCUGCAAGACUCUACUAGAAACGACUUCAUAGACACACUAGUAUACUUAAACUCUAUACUCUAAUUCCAAGUUUGUAAAGCCUCUAGACUACCCCCAGGAUGUCACACGGUGCUUAGGACCACAAGUGAUCCCAACCUAACCUAUGUACUGGAAUAACUCAUAAGUAACUGAAAUAAAUACGUAAGUAUGAAAGAAUAAUGCGGAAGAUAAAUCUUUUCUAAAUAUAAUCAAAACAAACUAUAUUAGGAUGAUUACAACUAUGAUUUUACAAAACAAUAUGGAAUCAAAUACAUCAACUUCUAUUGACUAUCUAUGAAACCUCUACUAGUAUUGACUAUAGGUAGCUGGGACAAACCCCCAGCUAUCCUAAAUCAAUACGACUCAAUAAAGAAAAUAAAAUACUACACAAACUCUAACUGACUUGAUCCCUUGAAUCAAAAGGACUCGUAACCUACUGACUGGAAGUUACAACUGUCUGGUUCUGAUAUGCACACUACAACUUGUACCUACAUUAUUAAAUAAUAUAGCACAUAGAUGUAUACAUGGAUCGAUACUUUUUUGAUGUACUAAGCAUUUGGGGGUGAAUGAAUAAGUAUAAAUAGUAACUAACUAUGCAUAUAACUGGUAAAGAAUACUUGCUAAGUAUAAAUGAUUCACAUUAGUAGGAGUACUGUAAAGAUUGCAAAAUAUAAGCAUAUUGUAGUAAAGCAUAAAAAAAUCUUUAUGAGCCAUCACACUUAGUUCUAAAAUUUGUAAUUUUACUUUUUCUGUUUGUGGAAUAAGUAGGACUGAUAACCCUAUUUUUUUUAAAUCAUGGAAGCUAAGUGUAAAAACGGCUUACCUUUAUCAUCUGUAAACUGAAAGCUAAAAUCUCAUAGAAAAUGUCUUAUGUAAAACAAUAACUGAAUAAAAUUGGGAGCCUUUACACUUAGUUUCUAAAAGCUGUUCUAUUAUUCUGUCUUAGGACUUAGGGAGUUUCUUAUAAAAGCUUUCUCGUUAUUAUUUUAUGUUAGGGAGGUUCUUUUAACCGACAUGAACCAUGUGAGCUAUCAUGGAGUCCAACGUCUAGUUCCUCUAAGGGGAAAACCUCACAUUGGGGAGAGGUGUCAUACUCUUGCCAAGGAGUAUAACCUGAGCUAAGUGAUCACAAUUUGUAUCUACACCUAUAUAAAUGGAAAUAAUCUGAAUCUGAACCUAUGUUGGCUCGUAGUUCUGGGGUAUGUAAACUGAGACACAUAUCCAAUUCGGUGCUAAAUCUACUCCCUUUUAUUUAUAUGCUCAUUUUUAAGGAAAUCCACUUUAAAACUAGUAUAAGGGUUUAUAAUGAAAAUCAGUUAGGCAUCUGCCUGUUUAAAACUAUAAUAAAGACUAACUAUGUGGAUUCUGUAUCUUAACUGAGGACCAAAAGAUCAAAUAUUUUCUUAAAAUUUGAAUACAUACUUAUCAAAGAAUGCUUAAACAUCAUCUUUCUUGAAAUAUCAAGAUUUAAACUUGGGGCUCAACCCAUUCUUGAAACUCAUAUAAAUAACAACAAAUUCAUGCUCAAUAACAAUAAUCUUGAAAUACUUAACAACUCUAAUUAAGACAAUGGAAUUCAAUUCUCAAUAUAUAAAAUAAAUUCACACACAUAAAUUUGUGAAAGUAGUUAUACAAUUCAACACUUAAAUCACUUGGAACAUCAUAAACUUCAACAAUGAUAAUUGGGUAUGAACCCUAAAUAGCAAAUCUUAUAAUUUCAUAUAAAUUCAACUUUAAAAUCUAGCUUUGGACACAAGGACGAAAGAAGUAUCCUUGUUCAUAGCCUCACAUACCUUUAUUGAAAGAAUCAUUGGAGAGAACUUUGAAUUUGGAACUAACUUCUUGAUUCUUGAGAGAUGUCACUUGGAUUUUUGUUCUUAGGAGUGGAAGAGGGCGUUUGAUUUGUUUAAUAAUUUCAUAUGGUUAAGAUAGAGGAGUUUAUGUGUUUAAUAUCUAAAAAAAAAAGGUUUUGAAGUAAUUAAGGACGGUUUAGGGGUGUAAAUUACUUCAACGCCCUUGAUCUAAGUCAACGGAGUGUUUUUGGCACUUGGCAAUGACUUAGGCGGCGCCCAGUCAAUAUCCUAAGUCAAGGUGGGUGAUUCCUUGUCAAUUGCCUAAGUUUGGUUAGGCGGCGCCUAACCAAUCGUACAACAUUACUGCCUCUCACAAAAAUGGGCAUAACUUUUUGCUCGGAUAUUAGAUUAAAGCGAAAUUGGUAUCGUUGAAAAGAUAAUUUAAUUAUCUAUAAUUUAGUGGAUCUUUAACUGACAAAUUCCAUAUAUACAUAUAGGUAUACUUGUUCAAAGAUGACCCUUGUGAAAUCGAACACCAAAAAUUGGCCGAAUCAAAGGCUCUUAGCUCACUUGGCUCUAAGUGACACUUAUAAACAUCUUUCCCACCUCACAAUCUUUAUUCUCACUAGGUUAAUGAUUAUGAAACAUGGAUUCAAGAAUGAAUCAUGGGACUAGAGUUUACACUUAUAGGAACGAAGGUCAGAUUCCUAGCUUACAUGCGUAUGGGGAAUUACUGUUAGUAGCACCAUUAUCUAUAAUCCAUUUUGUGAGAAUCAAAAGAGGAUAUACAAGAAGAAAUACCUACAUUUAUUACAUUUACAGACUCACAAGGUGUUUUGACAAAGUUGUUUUUAUGGAUCAUUUGCAAGAUUUGUUCAUAUUGUUCAUUGGGGAAUGCAGCAAUUUCCAUCUGACUCAACUGCUCCAACUAACUAUCAGAUACUAGUGACUGCCCUGCAUCCUUAGUGGAACACUUCUGAAUAGACUUAGAAUGAGAGUACUGACCUGCACACUGAUCAUAGCCACCCUGAUCCAUUGAAGACACAUUGUAAGUUGUGUUGUUUCCUUUAUGUUUGAACUUCUUCUUGGCCUUGUAAUCUUGAGGAUAGCCAACUAUCUUACAGCACUUUUCUUUAUUGUGCCCCUUCAGUUUGCAGAAAUCAUACUGCAGAUUGAAAUUUUUCUUGAACUUCUGAUUAUUGUUUCCACCUAUUCCAUUUCUUGCAUACAUGGAUAUCUGAAGGUUCUUAGCAUUAACCGUAGGACUUCUUCCCAUAUCCCUUCCUGAACUAUAAUAGAUUUGUGACUUUCAUCACAUAUGAUCAUUGCAUAAGCUUGGUUCACAUUUGGGAGAGGGGUCAUAAGUAAGAUUUGACUUCUUCCUUGUAUGUAAGUCUCAUUCCGACCCAUAUGAAACUAAAAUAGUUUUAAUUUCUACAAAUAUAGUACAUACUCUUUGGAUUUAUCAGAUUUACACACAGGUGUAGGCACAAGAGCCUCAAAUUCUUCCUAUAGAUCCUUUAGAUUUGAAAAAUACAUAAACACUGAAGUAGUUCAUUGAGACAAUAUGGAUCUUUCUUUGUGUAGAUUAAAGUUUCUUGCCCCAUAAACCUUGUUAAAUCUUUCAGAUAGCUCAUUUGUAAUUCCCUAAAACCUGGUCAUGAGAUGUCACACGGUGCUCAAGACUACGAGUAGCCUUAAGCUAACCCUGUUUGCAUACUACUGAGCCUAAAUCUCAUAAUGAUGGAAAUACAGAUAUAGAAGUCAUGCUAGAAUGCAGAAACUGUCAAUAAUAUCUGAGAAUAAAAUCUAAAACAUCAAUACUAAAUAAUUUGAACCAAAACUAGCAUCUGAUAAGCCUCUACUACUAAUACUAGAGAUUCAUUGUGACAAACUCGCAGCUAACUAGAACUGUCUGAAAGAAAUGCUAGGAUCUCAUAAACUAAUAAACUACAAAAUCAGAGUAAUAAGUCCCCAAACUGUGAGGACUUAACAACUGAUGGAUGUAGACAGAGAUGCUCGAACUACUCAUGAGGUUGAUACUGAGAACCUGAACCUACAUUAUGAGACAAUGGAGCACAUAGACGUAUAUAUGGAUUAGUACUUUGAGGAUGUACCGAGUAUAUGAGGGUGAAUGCAUAAGUAAAACAUCAUCUCAUAAUCAUUAUUUAUAAAAUAAUGCAUGCUAAAUAUAAAUAAUUAACAUAAGUUGGACUAUCUGAAAUACUGAAAUACGUAGCAAUAAGAAGUAAAACAGACUUUAUAAAUCUCAUGAGCCAUAACAUUUAGUUCUAGAAGAUGUACUUGUAUUCUCCCUUUAAAUCAUAUUGUCUAAGUGUAGAAAGGACUCACUCUUAAAUCUGAGAUAUGAAAGCCGAUAAACUGUAGCUAAAGUCUUUCUGUAAAGCAUAGUCUGGAUAAAUUCGUGAGCCUUUACACAUGGUUUUCUAAAAGCUUUUCUGUUAUACUUUUUUAUUAGAGAAAAUACUUUAUCUUUCUUUCAAAACUUUUCUUUACUAGUAGAAAAAAAUACUUUAAAACUACUCUAAAAAUCUUUACUAAUAGGAAGGUUCUCUUUACCGACAUAAACCAUACGAGCUUGACUCAUCCUCCUAAGGAAGAAACCUCACAUUGGGGAGAGGUGUCAUACUCUUGCCAAGGAGUAUAACCCCAGCUUAAGUUAUCACAUCUUAGACCACUAUGGGUACUUAAUCUCAAUUCUACGGUGGCACAUGGUUCUAGGGUAUGUGACCUUGGAAUCAUACCCACUUGGUUCUAAAUACUACUCCCUUUUUAUUCGCUACGCUCAUCUUGUUGGAAAUCCACUUUAAAACUAGAAUAAGAAUUUAUUACGAAACCAGUUGUGCAUUUAUCUAAAUUAAUCUAUAAGUAAAGCUAUUUUGCUUUUUGUGAUCAUUAAUAAAUCUGUAAAGUGGAUUCCAAAACUUAUCUGAGGAUCCAAAAAUAAAAACUUUACUGUAAAUCUGAUAUAAUCAGCUCAUAAGAUGCUUAAAGCAUCAUUUUUCUCAAAAUCUCAACAUUUAAACUUGGGGCUUAAUAACCCAUGUAUCAAAAUCAUGUCAAAACAUCAUAAUAAUCAUGCUUGAUAAUGAAAACAUGACAAUUCAUCUCGAAACCUGUAAUUUAUUGCAAUAGGCAUGAAAAUAUGAAAAUAGACAUACAAUUCAUCUUCAAAAUAUUUUAGAAACUCAUAACUUUGCAAAUAGCAAUAAUGGGUAUGAACCCUAAUUCAAAACUUGUGUAAUAUCAUUCAAAAUUAUAUGAAUUUAAUAUAAAAGCUUGGUUUUGGGUACAAGGAUGGAAGAAGAUCCUUGUUCAUAAACCCCAUAUACCUUGAUUAAUGAUUAUAUGGAGAUUCUUGAAUUAUGGAUUCCUAUUUGAGUUCUUGGGGAUGUGUUAUUGAUUAUCUUGCCUUGGGAAUCCUCAAUUUAGAGCUUUCUUGGAGAAUUUAUGGAGGAUUUUGAUUUCUUGGAGAAGAAGCUUUGGAGCUUUAGGGUUUUGCUUUGGGAGAGAAUGGAUGAAAUGGGGCAUAAAGUUCUUAGAAUGGGUUUAAUUCCUUGUUUUGGACGAAUUGGGGCUUAGAGAAUUAACCAAAAUUCCGUCUUUAAACUUAUGGACGGAAUUGAAAACAUAACAAUUUUCCAAUUUAGGUGGCCACCGCGACACACCACUAUCACGGUGGCUUACUUGAAAAUGAACGAGUGGAAACUGGACAUUCUCUGUGAUGCGCUACCAUUGUGGUGCCCCUUUGAAUUGUCAUUUUGGCCACUGGCAUGAUACGCCAAUAUCGUUUUGGCCAACUAGAAAUCUACAAUUGGGAAAUUGGGUUUCUUCGUGAUGUGGGGCUAUCACGAAGAUCCACUGGAAUUUGACAAUUAUCAUUUUACCCUCCUUCGCGAUGCGCCGAUUGCUCAAGUGGCACACUAUCGACCUAAAAAUGUCAUACCUCUUUCACCGAGUGUCGAAUUUAGGAGAAAUCAGUAUUGAUGGAAAGCUUAUUCAAUUUUCCACACAAUAGGAGCUUAAAUCUAAAAAAUUCUAUAUGAAAUAAAUUUUAUUCAUUUUGGGAGAUAUCUCUUAACAUUCUAAGGGCGAAUUCAAGCUACGAAAAGCACGGGGUAUUACAUCAUUCCAAACUCACCAUCCACAGAAGUAUACAUGAUUCCACCAAGUAACUCUUUAGAAACUAAAUUCAUGAUCCAAAAAAGUACAAUUGCAUUGACUCUUUCUAGGUGAUUACUCAACUCAUUUGAGAAUUUAUCUUUAGAACAUUUUCCAUCAACCAUGCCUAACUUAUUCUUCCUUUGUAAAGCUAUACGCAUGGAUCCAAACCAGAUUGAUGGUACGACCUGAACUAGGGCUUGGACAUGAUGGACAUCCCAAACCAUAAAGGCCCGGAUGUCCUACUCUAUCAGGUAGUCAUGCACAACAUUCAUAUAAUAAGAGAAGAUAAGGAAAUACAAUAUGAUACGGAAAAAUGGUCAUACUCUGAAUUCAAUUUAACAAUUAGGAAUGAAAUCCAAACCCAACUAAACAACAUAUAGAACAAUCUACGAAAUCUCUACUACAUGAUCAAAUGACAACUGACUGAAAAUUGGGACAAGGCCCCCAGUAAACCAAAAUAAAAGGAAUAACAUAAUUUGAUAUAAUAGGCCUUCUGGAACAAAGAAGGCUUACCACUACACUGAUCACUUCUCUCUGGAUACUCUACUACUUAGCCGGACCCCUAGAUUGAGCCUCCGAACAUGAGAGGUAGGGGGUCAAUACAGAUGUACUAGUACGUAGAGAAAAUCCAAAAUAAUAAUUGGUAUUCAAUAUAUAUGAGAGAAAUUCAGUUCAUAAAUAUGUCAUAUGGUAAAAAUCACAUGGGUAUUUUCAAAAAACUCUGUAAAAUCAUUUGAACUCUAUAACACUCUUUGUUUUACUUCUGCACUAAGUGGUAUACCCAACAAUUUCACAAUUUUGACCGACUACCUUAUCUCAGUUGCCACCAAGAUAGGAGUACUAGAGAGGAAAGGUCAUACAAGACAACAUAGCAGGGUGCCACAACCCCAAUCAAGUCAUUAUAUCGUGGUUGGGCUCAAGAUCACGAAGCAGGCUCUAAACCAUGAGUCCUGAUUUAGGAUAACAAAGUACGAGGUAGACAAGAUCACAUAGCAAGGUACCAAGUUCCCAUGUCAGCAAAUCAUAGUUUCUAGCAUAGAGUCAUUUGACUUAGGCUUUCUUUGGGUAACCACCAAACUCACAUCAACCCAGUUUUUUACUCUUUAAAACAUAGAUUCUCUGAAAUCAAACUCUAAAUCUGUCAUGACUUACAUUUAUAGGCUAUCAUCAUACCAUUGACUUACAAGUCACAUUCUCUGAGCCAUUUAGUAAAUUAUAUCUCUAUUCUCAAAAUAUGGAAUUUAGGACCACCAUAUCAACAAUUCUUUUCAAGAACUCAUUCUUUAAAUCUCAUGUAAACAUAUGCAGGGAAACUCUCUUUGUCAACAUUUCAGGAAUUCAAGGUGGUCAUGUCAAAGUUCUUAAUUGCAUGCAUUUCUUUCUCCUUAACACAAGAACAUCACAGUUACAUCAAGAAACACCCUCUCAUUAUUACUAAAUCAUGUUUCAAUUACGAUGACACUGAUAAAACUACUUUCAAAUCAAUAGACAUGCAUUUCAACUUUUUUUCCGACAAAACCAUAAUCUUUAAUUCAACAUACGGGAGGGAUUUCACAAUAUGUGCGCUCAAAAAAUAUUCAAUAGUAGUUUUCAUACAUAUACGUAUACUUGUAAAUCAAUUCAAGAGGGAAACACCUAAAUGCCAAAUCAACAAUAUCAUAAAAAUAUUUAUAAUGUAUAAUUAAAACAUAGAUUCCAAAAACCUUUUUAAAAUUCAUGCUUGAUAAUCUUUAAAUCGUGAUCUGGUUUUUACUAUCCCAUGUAGUUUUUAGGAUAAAAUCCACGUUCUUCAAAUUAGGAAUUUGAUAGAUGCUUCUUCAUGCCUACAACUUGGGGAUUCCAAAUCUUCAAUCAAUUUCUAAAAUCCAUGGUUGAAUCUUGAGGGAUCUUGAUUCUUAGUUGAGACCUAAGUGUUUAGUUCUUGAGGGAGUUGGAGAAAAUGGACAUAUUUUGGUCAAUUAGGUGCUUAAUCACCUGUUUAUGGCUGAAUAAAGGUGGGAAAAAAGAUUAAAAUACCCCUAAUGAAACAAAGAAAGUCGCAGCAGUCCCUCAGUUGAUAGGAUGAUAUGCUGAAGUAAAUUGGGCAUAAAUUUUUACUCCAAUGUUGGAUUUGGAUAGACUCAAAGAUAUUUCAUUUGAUAUAUAGCAUCCCUCCCAUUUCAUUAUAUACAGAAAGUUAUGAUCGUUUGAAGUUGAUCCAGAAAUUGUGGUCUAAAAUGCGCCCAAAAAGCUGGAGAAUUUCAAAGGCAUCUCAAACCGCUGUGUUAUGCCCCUAAAAUGAACCCAUGAUGUACUAUUUACUUUCACCAUCUCUUAUCAACAAGAAAAUCAAGAAACGGAGGUCGGGAAGGUCGCGAAAUAAUUCAUCAAAGAUUGGUAGCUAAAAAUGAGACUAAGUCCCUUUGACACUUAGAGAAAUUUUUGAGUUUUUACUCUAUAAGCAUGCUAAUAGAAGCUAAUACAUGUAUGAUUUUUGUGGGGUGUUACAUUAUCCCCCCUUGGGAUCAUUCGUCCUCGAAUGAUAGCGCAGGACACAGAUAAGUACGAUUUCAAGCACACUAAGGCCAUAAAUGAAUAAGAAAAAGAUUGUACACUCUAUUUCGUCAUUCACUAGAUCAAACAAGUCUGUGUAUCUAUCUCUCAUGUUAUCUUCUGAUUCCCAAGUUUAUUCUUCAACUUUCUUAUUUUUCCACAACACUUUAACCGAAUUUAUCUCCUUGCUCCUCAAUUUCCUAACUUGGCAAUCUAAGAUUGUUGUAGUUCUUCUUCAUAAAACAUGGAGUCUGUCACUUUGAUCUAUUCUACAAGCAACACUAAUGAAUGGUCUCCAAUACAUUUCUUCAACAUGGAUAUGUGAAAUACCAGAUGAAUAAAACCCAGAUUUGCAGGCAACUCUAACUCAUAUGCAACCCAACUUAUCCUUUUCAAAAUCUGAUAUGGCCCUAUAUAGCGAGGACUCAGCUUACCUUUCUUCCUGAAUUGCAUGACUCCCUUCAUAGGGGAAACUUUUAGAAACACCCAAUCACCAACCUCAAAUUCCAAAUCCCUUCUUCUAAUAUCGGUAUAGGACCUUUGUCUACUCUGAGCUAUCUUAAGCCAUUUUCUAAUGAUUUACACAUCCUCUAUUUCCUGAUGAACAAGAUCAGGCCAAAACAAUCGUGUCUUACCCACUUCGUACCACCCUAUUGGUGAUCUACAUCUUCUCCUAUACAAUGCUUCAAAAGGAGCCAUCUUAAUACUGGCAUGGUUGUUAUUAUUAUAAGGAAACUCUAUCAAUGGAAAGUGAUCUACCCAGCUACUUUUGAAGUCAAUUACACAAGCCCUCAAUAUAUCCUCAAGGGUCUGAAUGGUACGCUCAGCUUGUCCAUCGGUCUGAGGGUGAAAUGCAGUACUUAGGUUCACUUGGGUACCUAAAACCCUCUAAAAAGAACUCCAAAACUACGAAAAGAAUUAUGUACCUAGGUCAAAUAUGAUAAAUGCAGGUGAUCCAUGCAAACGAACUAUCUCCUCAAUGUGUAACUUGGCAAAAUUAUCUCCCGAAUAGUUGUUCCUCACAUGCAGAAAAUGCGCUAACUUGGUUAGCCGAUCAAAAAUUACCCAAACAGAAUCAUACUGAUUUCAGGACCUCGGAGGUCCCAUGAUGAAGUCCGUAUUAAUCACUUCCCACUUCCAUCAUGGGAAAGCUAUCUCUUAAGAAGUACCACCUGGCCUUAAAUGUUCAACUUCAACUUGUUGGCAAUUUAAACACUUGGAAACAAAGUCAGCCACAUCAUGUUUCAUAUAAUUCCACCAAUAUAUAGAUUUUAGAUAAUGGUAUAUCUUAGUAGAGCCUAGGUGAACAACAUACCUCGAAGUAUGAGCUUCAUCGAGGAUCCUUUUUCGCAGACCAUCUACAUCUGGCACACAUAAUCUACCCUAAUAUCUCAGAAUGCCAUCACCACCAAUUUCAAAAUACAUCAUCUUUUAUUGACCCACAUCUUUCUUGAUCUGCAUCAAGAUAGGAUCCUCAACCUGCUUCUCUUUAACUUUUGCAUAAAGGGAAUAUUUUUCUAUCUCAUGGACAAUCACUCCAGCAUAUUUGGAAUCCAGAAUUCACACUUCCAAGUUUGCUAGUCAGUGAAUGCCUUUCACCAUCUCCCUCUUUCUUUUCUAAACAUGAGAAAGACUGUCCAUAGAUAAUCUGUUGAGGGCGUAGGCUACCAUAUUCUCCUUGCCCGGAUGAUAGUACAGACUCAUGUCAUAAUACUUCAAAAGCUCCAACCAAUGCCUCUGCCUGAGGUUCAAUUCUUUCUGCAAGAAAACAUACUGUAAGAUCUUGUGGUCAAUAAAUAUAUCAACAGUACCCCAUAAAGAUAAUGUCUCCAGAUUUUUAGCACGAACACCACAGCCACUAACUCCAAGUCAUGGGUGGGGUAGUUUCGCUCAUGCACCUUCAACUGCCUAGAUGUAUAAGCCACUACCUUACCUGCAUAAGUACACACCCAAGUCCCGCUCGAGACGUGUCACAGUACACAACAAAACCCUUUGUACCUUUUGAAAGAGUCAAAACAAGAGAAGUUGUCAACUUUUCAUUCAACUUCUUAAAACUAUUCUCAUAGGAGACAGACCACAUGAACUUCACCUUUUUCUAAGCCAACUUAGUAAGUGGAGCAUCUAUGGAAGAAAAAUUCUGCAUGAACCUUCUGUAAUAUCUUGCCAAACCCAAGAAGCUUCGAAUAUCGGUUAGAGCCGUGGGUCUGGGCCAUUUUCCCUCUACCCCAACCUUUUGGGGAUCAAACUUAAUCCCGUCACUAGACACAAUAUGCCCCAGGAAAGAAUAGCAUUAAGCCAGAAUUCACACUUUGAAAACUUUGCAUACAACUUAUGAUCUUUAAGGGUCUGAAGAAUAAUUCAAAGGUGAUUGGUAUGAUCCUUCCCACUCUUAGAAUAAAUCAAAAUAUCACCAAUGAAAACUAUGAAAAACGGAUCUAGAAACUGAUGAAACACUCUAUUCAUCAGGUCUAUAAAAGUUGCAGGGGCAUUAGUCAACCCGAAGGAUAUGACUAAGAAUUCAUAAUGACCGUACCAGGUUGGGAAAGCUGUUUGGGGAAUAUCUGAUUCUCUAACCUACAACUGAUGGUAUCCUGAACAAAGGUCUAUCUUUGUAAAACAUUUAGCACCCUGAAGCUGGUAAAAGAGAUCUUCAAUCCUAGGAAGAGGAUAUUUAUUUUUAACAGUGACCUUAUUCAGCUGACGAUAAUCUAUGCACAUAUACAGGGAACCAUCUUUCUUUUGCACGAAGAGUAUAGGUGCACCCUAGGGAGAAACACUAGGACGGAUGAAACCUUUGUCUAGAAAAUCUGCUAUCUAUUCUUUCAACUCUUUCAGUUCUAUUGGAGCCAUUCUAUAUGGAGGAAUAGAAAUGGGAUGGGUAUCUGGCAACAAAUCAAUACCAAAAUCUAUCUCCCUAUCAGGUGGUAUUCAUGGGAAAGACUUCUGGAAAUUCAUUUACCACAGGGACAUAUGAAAAGGAAGGACUUUCAGUAUUAAAAUCUUUAACCCAAAUAAGAUGAUACAAAUAGCCUUUGGAAAUAAGUCUACAAACUUUGAGAUAAGAUAUAAAUUUCCCUCUAGGUGAUAAAUAAUGCCCCUCCCAUUCUAUCACUGGCUUAUUCAGGAAAGAGAAAGUAACCGUUCGGGUUCUAUAAUCUAGCAUAGCAUAACAUGAAUGAAGCCAGUUCAUCCCUAGGAUAGUAUCAAAAUCAACCAUAUCUAGGUCUAUGAGGUCUGCCAUAAUAUCCCAGCCACAAACAGUCACUACACAAUUUUUAUACACCCUCCAAUCCGCAACAAAAUCUCCCAUCAGAGUGGAAAAAGAAAAAGGCUCAGUAAUUACAUCGGGCUCAAACCCAAAACCAACAGGUACAUAAGGGGUCACAUAAGACAAGGUAUACCCAACACAUACACAUCAUGAGAGAAAAUAUCUAAUGUACUAGUAACUACAUCUGGUGAGGCCUCUGCCUCCUGGAGGUUGGUCAAGUUAUACAACCAGUUAUGACCUCUAUCGACGGCUGAAGUAGCGCCCUUUUGAGGCGGUGGUGGUGCGGAAGAAUUAGCCAAUGACUUGGCUCCUCCAACAUUACCUCCAGUAAAAGGUGUAAUCUCUCUGGCCACAGGAAUAACAAUUUCUCCUUUCAAAGUAACACUUCCCAGGAUGAGUCUUCCCGCAGAUACUACAACGGGAAAAAGAUCUCGUGGGCUGUGUCACGCUACCCUGUGAAUGGGUGUCCUGCAUCUUUUCUCCACUAUUAGCCUGAGCAUAAAAGAUUUAUUUAUCAUAUAGAGGCCUCGGUGCAGGGGUGUUGGCUGUAGGAUGAGCAUUACCCUAAUUAUUUCUCUUCUGCCACUUGUUACCCAAAUUUCCACUCUGCGGUUGACUAUGGCUCUAGUCUGCGGCCUUGGCUCUCUUUGUCUUUAUUUCUUUAUCCCUAGAUUCAGCAAUUUUAUUUUUCUUCUCCUCAACUUGGUGUAUAUGGACUGACAGUCUGGCAAAGUCUAUAUCCUAGUUCAGCAUUGCUCCCUGACAUUCAAGCACUAAGUCAUCUAAAAGGUCGGAUGCAAAUUUUCUCAGUCGAUCUCUCAUAUUACCAGUCAUCUCUGGAGCAUAACGAGAUAGUUGAUUGAACUACAGAGUGUACUCCUGGACACUCAUUUUUUCUUGCUUUAGGUUCAUAAACUCCUCAGCUUUGGCUUCCCUCAAGGAAGGCUUCCACAAACUCGCCCCAAACUGUAGGCUCAGCGCUCUUACCCUUCGCAUCCUCCCACUCGUUAUACCAUUGAUUUGCAAUAUUUAUAAUCUGAUAAGAUGCUAAUUUCACACCUUCCACCUUAUCUACUUGCAUCACUUUAAAGAUCUACUCCAUUACAUCCUAAAAUUCCAGUGGAUCCUCCUCUACCUUGAUGCUAAAAAACUUGGGUGGGUUCAUUCUCAUGAACUGACCCACCCUAGUAGCCUCAGAUGUAACAGAUGCAAACCCAAUAUCUUAUAAGUGUUGAGUUUGUAUGGCCACCAAAUAUGGAAGCAUAUAAUAGACUAUCUAAAUUCUACACUAGAAACCUCUCUCUUGUAAGGCUGGAUGUGGUUAGUCCCCAUUUGGGGAGCUCUGGGUGCCCUUGGUAGGCUGGUCUGAGUAGGUGGGACACCCGAAGUAACAUCAACCUCUAGAGUCUGAGCUUUAUUUUGGGUCUUCAUUCUAUGAGUGGGAUAGACCUCAUUAGUCAGGGCAUUAUCGUUAGUGCAAUGGGGAGGCAUGGCUGUUUUCUGAAAUACAAGAGAUCAUUAAUUAGAGGACAGAUUAGACUCUAAAUUAUGAACUAAAUCAUAAAGAGGUGAAAUAUUCCUAAACGGCUAGUAGCCUCCUGCUUAUAAGUUUGGCACGCUAUACACCCAUAAACAAGACUCUACCCGACUCAAUUUUGCAGACAACCUGCGACCAUGAACUGUACUCUGAUACCAAAUUUGUCACGAUCCAAACGAGGGCCUGUCCAUGAUGGACAUCCCCAACUAUGAAGGCCCGAACAUCCUACGCUAUCUGGUUGUCAUGCACAAAAUUCAUAGUAAGAGAAGAUGCAAAAAUACAAUCUGAUACGGAAACAUGGCCAUACUCUGAAUUCAAUUUAACAAUAAGGAAUUAAAUCUAAAAUCAACUAAACAAUAUGUAGAAAUAUCUGUGAAAUCUCUACUACAUGAUCAAAUAAAAACUGUCUGAAAACUGAGACAAGGCCCCAGUAAAUCAAAACAAAAGGAAUAACAUAAUUUGAUAUAAUAGGCCUUCUAGAACAAAGAAUGCUCACCACUGCACUGAUCACUUCUCUCGGGAUACUCUACUGCUUAGUUGGACCCCUAGAUUGAGCCUCCAAACCUGGGAGGUAGGGGGUUAAUAUAGAUGUACUAGUACGUAGAGAAAAUCCAAAAUAAUAAUUUAUACUCAACAUAUAUGAGAGUAAUUUGAAGCAGUUCACAAAUACGCCAUAUGGUAAAAAUCACAUGGACAUUUUUAAAAGACUUUGUAAAAUCAUCUGAACCCUGUAACACUCUUUGUUUUACUUCAGCUCUAGGUGGUAUACCCUACAAUUUCACAGCUUUAACCAACUACCUUAUCUCGGUUACCACAAGAUAGGAGUACUAGUGAGGGAAGAGCACACAAGAUCACACAGCAGGGUGCCACAACCCCAAUAAAGUCAUUAUAUCAUUGUUGGGCUCAAGAUCAUAAAGAAGGGAUCCAAACCAUUAGUUCCGAUUUGGAUGACAAAGUACUAGGUACACAAGAUCACAUAGCAGGGUACCAAGUUUCCGUGUUGGGAAAUCAUGGUUUCUAGCAUAGAGUCAUUUGACUCGGACUUUCUUCAGGUAACCACCUAACUCACAUCAACUCGGUUUUUAACUCUUUAAAAUAUAGAUUCUCUAAAAUUAAACUCUAACUCUGUCAUGGCAUGCAUUUAUAUGGUAUCGUCAUACCAUUGACUUACAAGUCACAUUCUCUGAGCCAUUUAGCAAAUUAUAUCUCUAUUCUCAAAACAUGGAAUUUAGGACCACCAUAUCAACAAUUCUUUUCAAGAACUCAUUCUUUAAAACUCAUGUAAACAUACGCAUAGAAACUCUCUUUGUCAAUAUUUUAGGAAUUCAAGGUGGUCAUGUCAAAGUUUUCAAUUACAUGCAUUUCUCUCUUUAACACAGUAACAUCAAGAAACACCCUCUCAUUAUUUCUAAAUCAUGUUUCAAUUACUAUGACAUUGAAAAAACUACUUUCAAAUCAUAAGACAUGCAUUUCAACUUUUUUUACGACAAAACCAUAAUCUUUAAUUCAACAUACGAGAAGGAUUUCAUAAUAUAUGCUCUCAAUCAAUCUUCAAUCUUAGUUUUUAUAUAUAUAAAUAUACUUGUAAAUCAAUUCAAGGGGGAAAUACCUAAAGGCCAAAUCAACAAUAUCAUAAAAACAUUUAUAAUGCAUAACUAAAAUAUAGAUUCCAAACACCCAUUUAAAAUUCAUGCUUGAUAAUCUUUAAAUCAUGAUCUAGUGUUUACAAGCCCAUGUAGUUUUUAGCAUAAACUCCACCUCAAUUUAGAAUUUGAUAGAUGCUUCUUGAAGCCUACGAUUUGGAUAUUUCGAAUCUUCAAUUAAUUUCUAAAACCCAUAGUUGAAUCUUGAGGGAUCUUGAUUCUUAGGUUGAGACCUAAGUUUUUAGUUCUUGAGGGGGUUGGAGAAAAUGACCAUAAUUUGGCCAAUUGGGGACUUAACCACGUGUUUAUGGCUGAAUAAGGGUGGCCAAAAAGACUAAAAUACCCCUAAGGAAACAAAGAAAGUCGCAGUAGUCCCUCAGUUGAUAGGCUGAUAUACUGAAGUAAAUUGGGCAUAAUUUUUUACUCCAAUGUUGGAUUUGGAUGAAAUUAGUUGCAUUGGAAAGAAGACUCGAAGACAUCUCAUUUGAUAUACAGCAUCCCUCCCAGUUCAUUAUAUAUAUAAAGGUAUGAUCGUUUGAAGUUGACCCUGAAAUUGUGGUCUGAAAUAUGCCCGGAAUGAUGGAGCAUUUCAAAGGCAUCGCAAACCAGUGUGUUAUGCCCCUGAAAUGCACCCAAUAUGUACUAUUGACUUGCAUCAUCGCGUAUAAACAAGAAAAUCAAGAUAAGGAGGUCGGAAAGGUCACAAAAUAAUUCAUCAAAGAUUAGGAGCGAAAAAUGAGACUAAGUCCCUUUGACACUUAGAGAUAUUUUCGAGUUUUUACCCUAUAAGCAUGCUACUAGAAGCUAAUACAUGUAUGAUUUCCAUUGGGUGUUACAAUUGAGAAGUUCUCAACUCCUGUCAACUGAAAAGAUAUGAUUUGUAUACCACUUACAUCAGAUGAAUUGAGGAAGAGAGGAUGAUUAUAAUCCAAUGAACUGGGAGAAUCUCUACUUGCUUUAGCAGUAUUAACAGUAGCAAUUUGAUUCUCCAUUGUAGUAUCUUUGUAACCUUUGAUUGAAGACUUCUUGAUAUUGAUUCAAUAUACCAAAAUCGACCUUGCUUUACUAGUUUUUCUAGUGAGUAAUGGCUCUGAUACCAUGUAAUUGCACAAGAUAGCAGUAAGCUUCGUGUUAAUUCAAUAAUAGAGGAAGUACAGAGUUUGAUAGUUUUAGUAGAGGAAGGAAGGAAGAGAGAUGAGAGAAAAAGAAGAUUGAAGAGAAGAUUAAUUUUUUGUAUUGAUUAAUUAAGCGCAAUGUACAUGGUCAUAUAUAUACUAGCUUGUGAUAUUCCUAACUAACUCAACUAGCCAUUAACAACCUCUUAUAACUAACUGCUAAAACAGUUGUCGCACCCCUUUUUCUGCUCGAGGAGCCGAAGUCGAAGGGUUUUUCCAAUUAAAGUGAUGGUUUUGAAUAGGAAUUAUUUUAUUUUACAGAGUCUCCACUUGGAAUUGAGUUUUGGUAUUUCAAGUCACCUUUUUGAAUCCCUAGUCAAAAGAAAAUGACUCUUUAUUAUGGUCUGUGAAAAUAGAAGACCGGGUAAGGAAUUCUGUUGACUGAGGGAAAGGUGUGAGGCACCCCUCGAGUCCCGUGGUUCUAGUACGAUCAAUUUUAUUGACUUAUCUUGACUAAAAUUAUUUUGAUAAUUAUGUUUGUAGGCCUAGAUUCACUCAUUUUUAUUAUAGCAAAAUUGUCUAUAUAUUUUAUAUUAAAUCGAUGAAAGUUAAUUUUAGAAAAAUAUUUGUCAAGGUGCAUUAUUGCAUCCUUAAAAUUUUAAAUAUCUCGAAAAGAUGUGUAUGCCGCAUUCUUAAUUGAGACGAACAUUUUAAACAUGCCAAAAAUUUGUCUAAUGUUAAAACACUAAUUUGUCUUAUAUAAACUCAUAACAAUUUAUUUGUUUGAAAUAUUAUUUAACUUAAAUAAUAAAAUCGAGAAAAAUUCAUUUAAAAUAAUAAACAAUUUAAUAAAUAAUUAAUAAAUUUAUUAAUGAUAAUAAAUUAUAAUAAUAACUGAUGAUAAAAAAAUAAUAAAAUAAUAAAAUAAUAAAAUAAUAAAAUAAAAUACACAAAUCUAUUCAUAUUGUAUUAAAUAUUAUACCCAAAGUUUAAUCUUUUAAAUUUAUACUAACUCAAAUCAUAUUUUUAUCUGACAAAUUAAACACAAAAAUCCUAUUAAUCUAAGUUAGAAUACAAAUUAACGAAGAAAAUAAACAAUCCGAAAUAAAAGAUGCACAAAUCUGAGGGAAAUACAAUUGUUUAAAUUUAAAUUAAUAGGAUUCAAGAUAAUGUUAUAUUUAAUUAAAAGUUGGUAAGUGGCAGAAAUAUUUUCAGAGAAAGGGAUUAAAAUAAUUUUUUAAUGAAAGCAAAGCAAAAACAAAUUCCUUAAAGGUAUCUAAAAGUAAUAUUUAAAUUGUCAAGUUGUAUAACAUCAUAUGAAAUUAAUAUUAUUAAGGCCACUGUGAAGGAAAAAUUCAAUGGCAAUGUUCGUUCACCGGUGAUGGCCAAAUCCGAUAGAACUUGAGCCGAAUUUAAGCGGCAGGUGGGUAUAUUUUGCCAUUCAGUAAUAGUUCACAAUGGCUGACAGCAAGGAAAAAGGGAAAAGGAAGUCAGUGUCAGCGGGUUUUCGUCAUUUUCCAGCGAAGAGGGUCACCGCAAUAGCGACCGGACGGACUGGUUUUGGGUGGCUUUGGAGAUUUCCAGUGAUUUGGUUUGCUGAUGGAGAGAAUCAAUCAAUUUUUAUUGGGUUUUCGCUGGACCUGACUGGAUUCGGGCAACAGAUAUACUGUAAUACCCCGACCUCUUUUUAGCUAAAUUCCAUCCAUGAAAAGUCUAAGCAUUAGCUUCUAGAAUGAUAUAAAUUAAUUUUCAUGUGGAAUUUCCUACACUUCAACCUUUCAUUACGUAGAUGACUGAAUUAGCUUUCCAACGAUAUAAGAAUCGUCCAAAAUGGACCCUCGGUGAAGAAGUUAUGAAUAAUUUAUAGUUCCAGUCGUAAACGUCGUCAUUUUGGGGUCUAGCGCGUCUCGGAGAGGGUCAAAUUGACAAUCAUCAAAUUCCAGUGGGGCUCCGCAAUGGUGGCGCAUCGCGGAGGCACCAAAUUUGCCACUCAUCAAAUUCCAGUGGACCACCGCGAUUGUGGCGCAUCGCGGUGGCACCCGAAAUCGGGUUUUUAAGUUCAAAUUUUCAGUUCUGUUUAGGAGUCAUUAAAGGUAAUUUUGACUUUUUUCUAACCUUUAAAACCAUCCAAACAAAGGAUGUAGGGUAUGUUUGAGCAACUUAACCCUAUUUUCAUCAAAAUCAUCAAGAAUCCUCUCUAGGGUUUUAAAAUAAAAACCCAAGUAGUUCAAGAUUCAACCGAAGGUUUCGAAGUUGAUCACAUAUUUGGAAUCUCCAGGUCGUAGUCUUCAAGAAACACCUAUUGUCUUCCUAAAUCGAGGUACGCAGGGUUUUUCCUAAAAUCUCAUGGGCAUAGAAAUCAUAUUUUAAGAAUGGGGUUUUGAAGUUUAUGAAUAUAAUCAUGUUUUAGAAGUUUUGACGGUAUUGUUUUGGUCUUUAGGCCUUUCCCCCAAAUCUAUUUGAAAUUAUGUAUAUAUGUACGUAUGUGUUCAAGAAUGGUUAUUCAAUUAAGAGCAUGAAUUAUAAUGAAUCCCUCUCUUGUUAUGAGUUUUCUCAUCUUCGUAUGAUAUAAAUUGUUUUGAAUGCAUUUUGAAGAGCAUCAUAUGAAAUACUUUGGCUUUUGCUAUGUUUUAAAUAUGAUUUUUGAAUACGAAAGAGAGGGUUGUGAACGUUGAAUAUACAUAUAAUGAAGGAGUGCAUGGUUUUGCCAAAAGCACAUGACCACCAUAUGUUUAAUGAGAGUUUUUGUAUGGUUUUGACUUGAGUUUUCGGAACAUGAAAUCUUUUAUGCAAAUUAUAUUUUUUGGGUGGUCUAAAACUACAUUUUUAUGAAAGAUCAUGCUUAUUGCAUUAUGGCUCAGAAAUAGAACUUGCAAGUCUUUGUGUGACGACACCAACUCAGAAAAUGCCAUGAUAAAUUUAGAACAGAAUAGAAUGCAUAUUUGAAAUCAUAUUUACAAAUUAUGAGAUUAGAAUGUUGUAUAAUUAGAAAUGGUUAAAAAUUGGGCAAAAGAGAUGUUAGGUGGUUCCCCAAAGAAGGCAUGAGUCCAGAUACUCAUUGUCCAAAAUCCUGAUUUGCCGAUCCGGGUAUAUCUUAUAUUACGCUGGCCUAGUGUCAUGUGGCGUAUUAGAAUCAGAGACUCAACCCUUGAGGCACACUCGGGUUGGACGCUUCCCCGCCGAGGCAAUGGCGGAUUUCAUAUAGCCCGUGGAAUAUCAGAAACUGUAGGGGAGUGUCACCUAACUCAGAAGUAAUACAAAGAUCAGAAACUGUUUUAACAAGAAUGAUUUAUGAUUACUCGAAUGAUGCCCAGGUUCUAACAUCAUAUGAAAUUAAUAUUAUUAAGGCCACUGUAAAGGAAAAAUAUAUGUAUAUAUUUAAAUCUCUUAAAUAUUUUUUAAGAACAAAAGAAACAAGUAGCGUCUUUUCCAGUGGCAAUGUCCGUUCAUCGGUGAUGGCUAGAUCCGAUAGGACUUGAGCAAAAUUUACGCGGCUGGUGGGUAUAUUUUUCCGGUCAGUAAUAUUUUUCAGCAGUUGACGGUGAGGGAUAAGGGAAAAGGAGGUCAGCGUCGGCGGGUUUUUGCAAUUUUCUAGCGAAGAGGGUCGCCGGAAUGGCGACGGGAUGGACUGAUUUUGGUUGGGUUUUCGCCAGACCUGAAUGGAUUCCAGCAACAGAUAUACCAGCUGUUUCGAUGGUUUUUGAAUUGCCUGCGAAAAACAGUAUUUUUUAUGAGAUUUUGUCGGGCACUGUUCUCUCAUUGUUUCUAUCUUAAUCUUUCUUAUCUCUUUUCAUACUUCCACUGAUUUUUAUUUCUUCUUCUUUUUCAAUCACAAGGAUAUGUGUACAUACACUGUAUGUUAGUGUGUGAUGUGUAGAGAAUGAUAGGAAAUGUUCUUAUUGUUGCUAAGGAAUUUGUAUAUGAAUUUUAUUUAUGUUAAUGUGUUUGUUGUCUAUCUGUAUGUUAGAAUCUGUGUAUAGUAUGAAACAGUGUAAUACAUGAAUAUGUUAUUUUCUGGGUUUAAACAUAUAACAUUCAACAAUUUGAAAAACAACACAUAAUAACGAAUAAAUUUAUGUAACAAAUCAUAUGCACAUACUGAAUAAUACAUGAAAACCAUCUAAACAAACUUCCUUCAUACUUUGAUUCACACUUUAAUUCACAAUAAAACUUAUGAAAUAUGGUACAAUAUGAGAUAAAAACCUGUAUUACAAAUUGAACUAAGUAUCUAUGCAAGAAUGUUGUCACCGAAAAACUCAAGCAGGAACUCUGAUAUUCAAAUCUUUUCUUUCUAUAUUUUUUCUCUCUUUUCUUGAUCUUUUCUACUCACUUGUUUUUCUCCCUUUUUUUUCUACUGGUUUCUCUCAGUUUCUGUGUUGUCUGAUGCAGUGUGUAAUACAGUGUAAAAAUACGUAGUUUUUCUUUUUGGGGGUGGGAGACCUUUAAGUAGAGGGAUUUUUUUCGGGGGAAGAAUGGGGGGAGUAGUUAUCCAUUAGGAUAGGAUUUUUUGAAUUUUGAAUAUAUAUAUAUAUAUAUAUAUAUAUACUGGAGCACUCAGGGGAGUGUCGGGAUUUUAGCUAUUGUAGACGUUUUAAGGUAGACGAGGUUAGACAGGCAGUCCGCAGGAUGCGAAGGGGUAGGGCGACGGGGCCGGAUGAGAUACCGGUGGAGUUUUGGAAGUUCGUUGGAGAGGCUGGUGUAAGGUGGUUGACUUCAUUGUUCAAUGAAAUUUUCAGGACAGCAAAGAUGCCCGAGGCGUGGAGGUGGAGUACCAUGAUCCCCCUCUAUAAGAAUAAGGGGGACAUUCAGUGUUGCAAUAACUAUAGGGGGAUUAAGUUACUGAGUCACUCUAUGAAGAUAUGGGAGAGAGUGGUCGAGGUGAGGCUGAGACGGAUAGUGUCUAUCUCGGAAAACCAGUUCGGAUUUAUGCCCGGCCGCUCGACGACGGAGGCAAUCCACCUGGUACGGAGGUUGGUGGAGCAGUAUAGGGAGAGGAAGAAGGAUCUGCACAUGGUGUUCAUCGACCUGGAAAAGGCGUACGACAAAGUCCCCAGGGAAGUACUUUGGAGAUGCCUGGAGGUGAGUGGAGUACCGCAGGCAUAUAUCAGAGUAAUUAAGGAUAUGUAUGAGGGAGCGAAAACCCAGGUGAGGACGGCGGGAGGAGACUCAGAGCAUUUCACUGUCCUGACAGGAUUGCACCAGGGAUCUACUCUUAGUCCCUUUUUGUUUGCGUUAGUAAUGGAUGUGUUGACGCGGCGUAUCCAAGGGGAGGUGCCGUGGUGUAUGCUUUUUGCAGACGAUGUAGUCCUGAUAGAUGAGACUCGAGGGGGUGUGAAUGACAAAUUAGAGUUGUGGAGGCAAACUCUGGAGUCUAAAGGGUUCAGGGUGAGCAGAACCAAGACAGAGUAUGUGGAAUGUAAGUUUAAUGACGUGAGGCGGGAGAAUGAGGUAGUAGUGAGGCUAGAAGCACAGGAGGUAGGGAAGAGGGAUAAGUUCAAGUAUCUCGGGUCCGUGAUCCAGAGUAACGGUGAGAUUGACGAGGAUGUCUCGCACCGUAUUGGGGCGGGAUGGAUGAAGUGGAAACUCGCAUCGGGGGUGCUGUGUGAUAAGAAGGUGCCGCCCAAGCUUAAAGGCAAAUUCUAUAGGGUGGUAGUCCGUCCGGCCUUGCUGUAUGGAGCGGAGUGUUGGCCAGUUAAGAACUCCCACAUCCAAAAAAUGAAGGUGGCAGAAAUGCGGAUGUUGCGCUGGAUGUGUGGACUGACCCGAGGGGAUAGAGUUCGGAAUGAGACUAUCCGGGAGAAGGUUGGUGUGACUUCAGUGGAGUGUAAGAUGCGGGAAGCACGAUUGAGAUGGUUCGGACACGUGAAGAGGAGGGGCACGGAUGCCCCGGUCCGUAGGUGUGAGAGGCUAGCGUUGGAUGGUUUUAGACGGGGUAGGGGUAGACCGAAGAAGUACUGGGGUGAGGUGAUUAGGCGGGACAUGGAACAGUUACAGCUCACCGAGGACAUGACCCUAGAUAGGAAGGUCUGGAAGACGCGAAUUACGGCAGAGGAUUAGGGCCAGUGCGGGUCGCUAGUGCAGGGAAUUAAUUGGUGGGGGUGUAUGCCUGUUAUGAUUCUGUAUUCAGUGUUUCGUGUUCCGUGUUCCAUGUUUAUUACGAAUAUGUGUGCUUUCCUCUGCUUUAUAUUCCUGCAUCCCUGCUUUACUCUGUUUUAUAUUCCUUAUGGCUGCAGUAUCUAUGUUAUGUCAUCUGCUUCUGUGCUGUACUAUGUGUUUGUUUGAUAUCUCGUAACUUGAGCCGGGGGUCUUUCGGAAACAGCCUUUCUACUUCAUCAGAGGUAGAGGUAUGGACUGCGUACAUCUUACCCCCCCCAGACCCCACAAAGUGGGAAUACACUGGGUUUGUUGUUGUAUAUAUAUAUAUAUACUUUAAUUGAAUACAAUAAAAUAAUAAAAUAAUAAUAAGAAUAAAUAUAAUAAUUAAUUAAUUUUAUAUUAAUCAAACAUAAUAACAAUUUAUUAAUAGACAAAAAUAAAUAUAAAAAAAUAGUAUUACAACUACUAAUUUAUUUAUUAAAAUUUAGAAUAAAUAGUAUAUAUAUAUAUAUUAAAAUCUUGUAUUAUUUUUAAAAUUAGGAUAAAAAAAAUAAAAUAAAAAAAAUCUCAAAAUUAAAUUUAUUUAAUUAUUGAUUUUAGCUAAAACUUUAUUAAAACUAAAAUAAAAUAAGACAUUAAAUAAUAAUAUACAAAUAUAAAUAUUUAAUAGCAAAAAUAAAUUAAAAUUUGAAAAGGAUCAAAAAUCACGUGUCUACAACAGUUAAACUGUAAACGGAAACAAGUCUACUUUAUUUUCUAUUUGAAGUCACCACUUCUUCAAUGUCUUCAACAGUUUCAAUACAAACAAGGAGACAAAUACAACAAGAACUUUGAGACACUAAUGACAGCUCAUUAGCAGGUCCCUUGUCUUCAACAGUUUCAAUACAAACAAGGAAACAAAUACAACAAGAACUUUGAGACACUAAUGACAGCUCAUUAGCAGGUUCCUUGUUGCAGUUGAGGCCUAGAAUCUGAGAGUUUCAAGAGAAUUUGAUUAUAUUGAGAGUAUGGAAGCAUUAGGUUUUCUUGUUGUUGAAAUGAGCAUAUCUAUGAGACAAGAAAACCUUGGAUGAAUUUCACUGGUUGAGACAAAAAGGCAUUGCAUCCUUCCACCAAGUUUCUGCAGAAUGAUACUUUGUCCAGCUGUACUGUCGACCUGCGAUAGUGACAUGAGAACGAUCAACCUGGUCCCAAAGUAAUUGUGUCUUUAGUGUCAACACAGCUUCAUGAAUGAGGUCCGAAUGUAAUGGUUUGUCAAUCAUCAAAACUAGGAAGUAGGAACUUAACAAGUAUAUACUCACAGUGCACAGAUUCAUCCUAGGUAUUCCCUUUUAUUUUCUGAUAUUAGAGAGGUAUGCAGCUUACUUGGAUGAGCUAACAUAUUUUACACAUUUUCAUACUCUUACUCUAUGACUGAAGUGUGGGAUCACGGAUAGUGCUGGUGUGUGAAUUCCUAAAACAACAACAUAUCCUGUGAAAUCCCGCAAGUGAGGUCUGUGAAUUCCUAAAACAACAACAUAUCCUGUGAAAUCCCGCAAGGGAGGUCUUUGCAGGCCUUAUCACUACUUCAGGGAGAUAGACAGGCCGUUUCGAAAGACCCACGGCUCAAGUGCAUCAAAGGUGUGUGAAUUCCUACACUAGUGAAAUAACUGAACAUCAAUUUGUUGGCGUAAAUAAUAUUGACAUAUCGUCACGCCUUGCAAAGUUUUAUUUACUGUGGUUGCUCAUUGUCUCAUGAUUUUUGAUAAAUACCACAUAGAUGUGUUUUUUGUUGGAUUGGAUGGAUCGAGGCUUAUGAAUGCACAGAGAGCUGUGAGGGAGUUAUGAGUUUGUUUUUUCUUUAUAACUUGAUAUGUUAUCUUUGGUAGACUCUUGAUAGUCCUUUGCAAUGUUAAACCAUUUCUUGGUAUGUCUGCUAUGUUCAAUACCUGUCACUUUCUUCUGAUGGUUUCUCUCAAUAACAAGGCCUUCCUUGACUUUCAUCCCAUCAUUAUGCUAUUGUAAACCUUACUAAAGAAAAUAUUGUUACUUGGAUAGCUACACACAAGCUGCGAGGAUCGGGAAUCUGGCUAGUUUGUAAUUCAGACAAAUAAUCAAUUAAAAAGACAAAAUAAAGACGAUAGUAACUGUAAGUUGAGAAAAUUGAGGCACAGAUUUAUGGUGGUUCGGUCAACGUGACUUAUGUCUUCAAAACGGAGAGAAACAAGUUUUCUAUAGCAACCGACAAACAAAAGAGAGCAUUCAAAAUUAGAGACGAAACUCUAAUGAUCCCAAAAGUAUAUCCCACGAGAAUAACCUCAUAAUUACAACGCAUGAAAAGAGGUUCACACAAAGUGUUUCCCAACAUUACUCUACCGGAUAUACAUAAAAAUCUGGUCAUAUUUUUCACAAGGUGCACCUUCUUCAAGUACUAAUUCACAAGUGAGUGAAUUUAUCAAGAUAUGUCUUACAGGGAGGCAGAUUAUUAAUAUUGGAGACGCAACCUGUGAAUUUGCAGUCUCAGAUCUAUGGAUGGAGAUUCUCAGUUUUGUCGGGCCUUUUAGGGUAGCUUUCACUGCUCACUCUUAUAUAAGGUGUUCCCCAACCAUGCCGUUGCUUUUACUAAUAAUUACGACAUUAUUCCUUGAUCAUCCUAAGGAGGAAAUGGAAUGCUAUCUUGCUCAAGAUGUCGCCUUUAGUGAACAUGUGCUAGUUGGCUCCUCGUAUAGCCUGUGGGCGAUUUUCUUAUUCAAUUUCGCUUGGUUUGGGCCUAUGUUGCUUGUGACUCUACAAAAAUGUCAAAUUUUGGAGGAUCCAACACGGGUGCGGCAACAUUUUUGGAGAGUCCGAGCAACUUAGGUUUGGGCUACUUUGAAAGAUAGAAAAAAGAAGAUGGAAGACAAGUUGAAGAAUUGCAUUUUGGGAGAGUUCGUAAUGUGUUUCGUGAUUCUUCAAAGCUCUGAGUUUAUAUAUGCUCUAAUACAUAGUUAUAAUUUUUCAGCAACUUGGAAUACAAUUGGUCAAAAUAUGGUGCUGUUAUAAACACUACUCCCUCCGUUUAAAAAAGAAUAAACUUGACACAAAGUUUAAGAAAAUAAAAAAACUUUUGAAUUUUGUGGCAUUAAAUUAAAGUUGUGUCAAAUAUACCAAAACGCCCUUUAAUCUUAUCGUCCUAAACAUGUCGUGUGAAAAAUUGAAAUUAAAGUAUUGUAAAAAAAGUAAAGGGGUCAUUUUUUUUUAAAUGGAUUAAAAAGAAAAACAAGUAAUUCAUUUUUAAACGGAGGAGUAAUUCGACGGCGGCUUGACAAUAGUUUAUUCAUCACAGAGGAGUUGAUGAAUAACUAGUAGUUUCCACCUUGGAAUUAAAUGACUUGAAGCAAUUUUGACUGAUGUCUGAAUACUAUAUUAUGGGUUCUUAGGCACAGAUGCCUUUUAUCUUUGGGUGCUGUUUAAUUUUUAUAUUUCAGCACUUAAAGUAAUAAUAAAUAAAUUGUCGAAAAUACAUUUGACCUCAAAAUAAUAAAUAUUUUUUUUACUCGGCAUAAAUUUAUAUUUUGUAUCAUAAUAUCCUACAGAUUAUGCUCUAAAAUGCAUAACAUGUUAUGCCUCUGAAACCAAAUAGAUAUUUAUUUUUCAUUAUUCACAAAAAUGCUUCUACUUUAAUCUUUGUUUAGUUACCAAAAAGUAUCUUGCAAAUAUGCUCUUGUACAAUGAUUUCAAGUAGGGCGACUAGGAAAAUAUUAUAAGAUAAGCUCACUCUUAUAAUAAUUGAUAGAUUUUCAUGGUUCUGUAUAGGGUCAAGUAGGGCAACUGGGAAAAUAUUAAAGGAUGGAGGCUCAUUCUGUCUAGCUAGAAAACAAAUCACUCCAAACUUCCAAAAUUGGUUAUGUCUAUCACCACUAUAAAUACUUGUCCCUUGUCUACCAUUUUUUUCAUCAACUUUGAGAGUUUCUUUCAUUCUUCCUCUAGAACCAAAAACACUAUUAUUGAUUGCAACAAUGGCCUCAGUCGUAAUUGGAAAUAAUGUAGCGAGCCAUAUUGAAGAAGAGAUUAUUUGCCCUGUUGCCAACUUUUCUCCAAGUCUAUGGGGUGAUCGUUUCUUUCUUUCUCAAUCGACAACCAGGUAACUAAUUAAUAUUCGCCAUCUUUUCUUCAUAGUACCUUCUUAUUUCUUUGCUUUUAUUAGACAAAGUAGUUUGAUUUCUUUUGUCUUUUGGAUAUAUUGGUAGGUUGAACAAAAGUAUGCUCAAGAAAUUGAACCGUUGAAGGAACAAACAAGGAGUAUGGUGUUGGCCACUGGAAUGAUAUUGCGGAGACAUUGAAUUUGAUAGAUGUUAUUGAACGCCUUGGCAUAACCUAUCACUUCGAGAAUGAAAUCGAUGCGAUUUUGGAUCGGAUUUACAAUGGAAAUUCAAACUUCGAGGGCGGUGUCAAUAAUGAUGAUCUAUGCACUUGUGCUCUUCAAUUCCGAUUUCUUAGGCAACAUGGUUACAAGAUCUCUCUAAGUAAGUACCUCUUGAAGUACUACAAGUUCAAUAUUGUCGUAAUUAUAUAGAUAUAGAUAUAUAAUCAAUUUGAUUUGAAGGCUAAUAUUGUGUAUUCUUCAUUGAAAAUCAGAAAUCAUCAGCUAAUUCCUAGAUGGAAAUGGCAAACUCAAGGAGUCUCUUGCUAGUGAUGUGCUAGGAUUAUUGAGCUUGUAUGAAGCUUCACAUGUACGGAGUCAUGGUGAAGACAUCUUAGAAGAUAGACUCGCUUUCUCCACUACUCAUCUUGAGUCCGCAGCUCCACAUUUGAACUCUCCUCUUAAGGAGCAAGUGAUGCAUGCCCUUGAGCAAUCUUUGCACAAAGGUAUUCCUCGAAUUUAGAUUCAAUUCUUCAUCUCAUCAAUCUACGAUAAGCAGGAAACAAAGAAUGAUAUGUUACUUCGAUUUGCCAAAUUGGAUUACAACAUGCUCCAAAUGCUGCACAAACAAGAACUUGCUUAAGUAUCAAGGUGAGAUUCUAUAAAAAUGGUAAAACCUUUUGGAUUGAUCAUUUAUCAAGUACUGAUGUUAAUUUGUUAUGCUGCAGGUGGUGGAAAGAUUUGAAUUUCGUGAACACACUUCCAUAUGCUAGAGAUAGAGUAGUUGAAUGCUACUUUUGGGCAUUAGGAGUAUAUUAUGAGCCUCAAUAUUAUCAAGCUCGUGUCAUGCUCGUUAAGACCAUAUCAAUGAUUUCGAUUGUAGAUGACACCUACGAUUAUUAUGGUACAGUUGAAGAACUUGCAUCUACACUGAUGUCAUACAAAGGUAUGGACAUCACCAAUUCACUUGUUGAAAUAUACCUUGAAAGAGAAUAUCAUGAAAAAGAUUAAACCAAGAUUUUGCUCAUUAUAUUUAUACUGAUUUACCUUAUUUUUGUCUCCUUACAGAUGGGAUAUUAAAGAAAUUUCUCGUCUCCCUGAUUACAUGAAAAUCAGUUAUAAAACUCUUCUUGAUCUUUAUGAGGACUAUGAAAAGGAAAUGUCUAGCGAUGGAAGAUCUCAUGUUGCUUAUUACGCAAAAGAAAGAGUGAGUCUCAACGACUUAACUAUCAAUUUACUUUUAUCCUUUAUACAUUUCUGACUUUGCUUUUUCCUCACAUGUUUUUGUGAAUAUAAACUAGAGGUGAUUGGGUUACAAUUUUCUAACACUUUGAAUUUGUAUGCUUGGUUUUCACAGCUGAAAGAAUUGGUAAAAAGUUAUAAUAUUGAGGCAAAAUGGUUUAUUGAAGGACAUGCUCCACCUCCUUCUGAAUACCUGCGCAAUGCAUUUGUAACUACCACUUACUACUAUUUUGCCACAACAUCGUAUUUGGGAAUAAAGUAUGCUAAGGAGCAAGAAUUUGAAUGGUUGUCGAAAAAUCCUAAAAUUCUUGAAGGUUGUGUGACAAUAUGCC